rnacentral:lncRNA from 1 species
GAAAAUGUCAGUUCUUUUUUCAUAAUUGUAGUAGCAUUUUGCAUGGCGCUGAUAUCGCUCUUUUCAAUGUUUCCGGAAGUUUGUUUUGGGCCAUGUUUACACUUGGAAUGCAACUAACGAAGAAGUCCUUGAAAGAUGCUAUUCGCUUGUGAAAUUUAAUUGCCAAUUGCUUUUAUGGACGUUCUCGAACGAUGUGGCCACAGAUUUAUGGAAGUUGGUACAUUGUCGUGACACCAUCAGAUCGACGGAUCCUCUUGACAUUGUAAUGUCGAGUUUGUUUUUGGCCACCAACUCAAAUACUAAUGUCGGAUCUUAGUUUCCUCUUGAGUCUUGACAUCCUCAGAUUGACAGAUUUUAUGGAAGUAUCUAUCACGUCAUGACUGGCGCCUCCUAAGAGCAGCUGGAGCGUGCGUUUUUAGGUAGUGCUAAGAUGAGAGAGUGAGGUGAGGAGGUGCAAUACGCUUGGAGCACCACCCGCAGCUUUACUUUGGCACCCACAUUUGGAGAAGAGUUGCCAAAGAAUAUUUGAAUGAAGGUGCAUACGUUGGAGAUGAAUUGAAAAUUUAUCACUGGCAGUUUGUAGCACCUUCUAAACUAUCAUAAGCAUAGUUGCUUUAAUGGUAGCAGAUCCGAACACUGCCUGCAAAGAGCAUCUUCAGCAGUCUCCUUUUCCCCAAUCCAAUACUAAAAUAGUGCUCCAGUAGUGUCCAUUUACUUUUCCCUUUCCCAAUAAUUAUUGGGAUAACCCAAUAAUUCACCCAAACUCUCCCUAAAUAAAAGAUGAGUUGUGACUCUCCCAAUACGGUAGUUAGAUUGGGAUGAAAUAUUUGGGAGAUUGCAAAAACAACUUUUACAAUAGUGGUGAAAGUAAUAUUGGGAUAUCCCUAUUAACUAAUUAUCAGGAAACAUUUGUUGGGGGACUGUUGGAGAUGCUCUAAAGACGAUACUCCUUUCCUGUUUGCAGAGUACCAAUAAUACCUUGAGAUUAUAAUGUAGAGAAAACUGAUACUCUUUUUAAUAACUAAUGAAUUUCUCGAAUUGUGAAAGAACUCCUGAAUUUUUUGAAAAAACCAAUCAGAUUUUUUAAAUCGGGUGCAUAGCUAAAGCAAUUUUGAGGGUGAUUGUACAAACGAAAUCGAGAAAACGUUGCAACUGGAGGAGAUGCCUUUAGCUGUGGAAGCGGUCCACUGCAAAGGAACGCAUGAGCCCAUCUGAUUGCGCAGCGAGCAAUGAAGAAAUGUUAGGAUUGAGGUACAAAGAGUCUGUUUGGUAGCCCGAUCUAUCUUAGCUAGGCUCGUCGGUCAGUAGCAGGCCAACCUACCUAGAUCCAUAGGAUGUAGAGAUGUUAUUUGGGGAAAAAGAAUUAUAUAAGCCAUGUUUCACUUGGAUCCUGAUUGGUAGCCUGGAUGAAUUUGUGUGAAUACUACAUGGGCUAUGGUAGAGUUACUAGCCAUUUUUUUAAUCUCUCAGCGAGUAGUGCCACUACACACCGCGCAAGGCCCAAGCGACAAAAAUGGGUAGGUGCACGGCGAUGUGAACAUACACGAAUGCUCACAAUCGAGGUGAAAGUGGCGACUCCCGUUCAAAAGCCGCCAUCGAGCAUUUGGUGAAGAGCAUGAAGUAUGAAAAAAGCAUUGAAAGUUGUCCUAACCCUUUUCGCUUGGGCAUUCUGAGCCCAUACUGCGUGGAAUGAUCGAAAUUUUCAUUCCACGUGGUGUAGGAGCUGCUAGGUCUGGUUCACAACUCUCAACAGUCUAGCAAACAAGUCUUCCUGCACCAACUGGGUCUGGCCCAACCCUCAUACAUGUUACCAACCCAACGAAAGGAUACAAGGUAAAUUGUAGAAGGUAGAAAAUCAAUGCUCUAACACUAUAGACUAAAUAAGAAGGGAAUUUUGUCCACCGGACACCAUCGAAACGUAGAUUUGUGUGUGACACAUCCAACUCGUCGAUUUAGUUUCACGGAUACUACGAUUUGGUUGUUUCGUAUGCAGCACACUAUACCAUAUAAAAGGACCACCUUACCCUCAUCAUCUCUCCUUUCCCGUGCUCAGUGUAAAGCUCAGUAGCGGGUCAGCGAUAUCGGGACGGCACUGCGCGACGAGAUCGGCAGCGGUGGUCCACUAUGCUUUAGGUGGCGAACUUGACAAUGCAGAAGCAGAUGGCGGCGCUGUGCUGCAGGUUUUGCGAAAUAGGAGUACCGGUAGCAGCAGGCUUGAAUCGAUUCGGUGGUAAAGUCAGACUCGAAAUCGAGUUCAUGCUUGAUCGGCUGCAAGAAAGAAAGAUGCUGACCCGUUUUGUUUUGUCUGAAUGAUCCGUAAAAUGAGAUAUUUUUUUUCCAAUUUAUCUACAAAUCUAUGGCUGUAAACCUUCCCGGAAGGUAUUAAACAAAUGAGGUUCUAAUCUUCUCAUAACUGAAGAAAAUUAUAUGAACUGUAUGCUUACUUUUAUGUUGAUUAAAUUGUUAAUCACAUGGUGGUGGAGGUCAUCACCUCCGUGGGAGCUUGGAAAGGACGGGUGAAGGAGACAAGGGAGAGAGCAGAUUAUGAGUGGACCAGCGUUGGGUGGAAAGAAAAAUGGGUAAUAUAUUCAUUUUAUGUACUACGGUGUAAUGGAAGAAAAUAUAAAAUCGUAGUGUCCAGUAGAUAAAAUCGACGAGUAGAGUGUGCUAUAGAUAAAACCACACAUUCGCAGUGUUAAGUGGAUAAAAGAUCCUAAAAAUAAUUACUUGGUUGAAAUUCAUGCACGUGUGAAAACGUAAAAUGCCUCGCGGGAGUGAAGUAAUUUUCGAAAUACGCUUUCAUUGGUCACAAUGCGAGACUACCACGAAAGCGUUUUCAGCUUUUACGAGUACACGAGAGCAACUAGCCUGUUCUCAUCAACCCCCGGAGGCCCUGAUCCCCAGCUAGCCAGCUCAUCCCCCAAAUGGCCAAAUCUUUGUGCUCCACCAAAACGCAGGUUGCCGAAUCGAGCGUAGCAGAAUCGAGCGGAAGGCGGCGCAGCUCGCGGCAGGCGCCUAGACUUUGGGUGAGGGCACGAGCGGCACCACCUGACGAACGGAGAAGUCGGCGACACAAGACACAAGACUACCCUAGCGUCCGUGUCGUGGCUUGCGGCGGUUGAGCCGCUCCCCGAAUCGAUCCGCCUCCAUGCCUGCUAAUCCUCCGCCUCCGCCUCCCGGGUCGUCGUCUUCGGCUCCGGCGGGGGCCAGCUACUUCCCGCUCCCUUUCCACCUGCAGCAGCACCAGCCGCAGCCGCAGCCGCAGAUGCCGCCGCCGAUUGCCGCGAGCAGCUACCAGCAGUACCAGCAGCAGCUGCAUCAGGCGCACCAGCUUUUCCAGCGGGACGCGCAGACCAUCACCCCUGAGGCGCUACUGAGCGUCAAGGCUGCCCUCGCCACCAGCGACGUCCUCGACCCCGCCGUCGCCGCCAGCGCCAGGCCCUCCGAUGCCUCCACCAGCAAGAAGCCCAUCCCCCGCCGCGCCGCGGGACAAUCCUGGGAAGACCCCACCCUCACUGACUGGCCCGAAAGUACCAAACAUGCCUUCUCUUAAUUCAGUUUCCUUUGUUUUAUGCCUCACCUUCUCCCGUUUCAUUGGGUCUGAACUCUCAAUGAUCUGCAGACGACUAUCGGCUAUUCUGUGGAGAUCUAGGGAACGAAGUUAAUGACGAUGUUCUCUCCAAAGCAUUCUCACGGUUCCCCUACUUCAACAUGGCAAGGGUAACUACUGCCUCUGUCCAAAAGACUUAUUGUGGUGAAACUUGUUCUUUUAAAUUUGAUAUGCAGUAUAGUGCCAAAUUCUUUCGAGAGUUUUUAUACGAAAGUCAAGGUAACGAAAAUGCUCACAUUUUUAGUUGUGGCAUAUGUAGAAAUAUAUGAAAAGACAAAAGUUAUGCAGAUAGUCUGGCCUGAAAUGAGUAAUGUAGUCAGGUAACUUUGACAGCCUGCAUGUGGUACUUCGAGGCUGAUGGGGACUUUAUUGCCAAAUUCAUAGCCUAGGGUAGAUUCUACGGUAAUUUAUACCCCAAAAUGAUUAAUCUUGGUAAGGUUUAAUAUCAUGCAUCAGCUUCAACAUAAUAUAUGCACUAAUAUUCGGGCUGUGAAUUAUGAUAUAUGUACGCGCAUCAUCGUAUUUAAAUAGAAGUUGGUGGAACCAUGCUUUGCGACAACUCUUGGUCACAAAAGGAAAAAAAAUCUUCGAUUUUGUCUUAUCUGCUGCUUUUAUUAUCUUUUCUAUAGGUAUUUAGUUUAGGAUGUGUUGAUUUGUUUCAGAAUAUUUAUGUAAUAACUUAAUUGGGUUUUAGUUUACAAUAGAAAACAGUGGCGUCCAAACUUCAAAAUGUCCUUUUCUAUGACUGGCAAAAGUAAAUUCAUAAAUUGUUCUCUUUCUUUAGAUCUGCGAAAGCUAAUUCAUAGGUAUCGCCGUUUUGAUGGCAUGAAAAAGGUUCACGACUACAUAUAUCUAAAAUCCCUUAACACACAAGUGUAAUAAUUAAGCUCGGAAGAAGUUAGAAUGAUUGGAAAUACAACUGGACACAAUAACUAUAUGUUAUAAAAAAUUUUGCAUGUGAGAAACCCAGCAUUUGAAAGAUAUUUCCCAAGAAUCUUUUUAAUGGUAUAAUCUGCUACUUCUCAUUAGCUAGCUCUGGAAAAAAAUUCCAUUAGUUUCUAUUCAUUGACACAUGUGAAGUAGCAAAACUUAAAAAAAAAGCAACAGCCUUCAAGUAAGCUUACUCACCCCUGAAGAAACUUGUAGCUAACAAUCAACAAUCUCCUCUUUGUCCAACAUGUUAUCUGCUUUCUUCACAUUCUCUUCAUGUAAAGAGACCUAAACUAGCUCGCGUAGGUUGAUGGAGAGAGGAGCUAAGAGGUCAGGAGGCAAAUAUUCUGAGGCUGGCCUGGCCACUAGAUUCACCACCACAUUCAAUUCCUAUUUAUGAUUGAUCCAGAUGCUGAGCUAUAUGUAGCAUGGUUUAUAUGGGUCAUUUAUGCAGUUAUUUGGUAUGCAUUUGAUGAUUGUAAACGACUCUAAUUUGGAUUCGUACUCUUUAUUCAGGUUGUUCGGGAUAAGAGGACUGGUAAAACUAAAGGUUAUGGAUUUGUGAGCUUUUCAAACCCUACUGACCUGGCUGCGGCAAUAAAAGAAAUGAAUGGUUUGUAUCUCCAAUAUGUUCUGCGGAUUCAGUUGCUGCCGCUUAUCUGCAUGUUUUCAUUGAUUCCCUUGUUACUUUUGGACGAACUUCUUUCAGGAAAAUAUGUUGGGAACCGCCCUAUUAAAUUGCGUAAGAGUAAUUGGAAGGAGAGGACAGAUGUUGAGGCUCUAGAAAGGCAAAAGGUGCCUGUCUGUUUCCUUCUUUAAUUGUUUUGCUCCCCUCAUGUCAUCUAAUUUUGUCCAUACUUUUUCCAUCUUUCAGAAUCAUGUCCAGAGGAAGCCUAAAAUGCCUAAGAAGGGUAUUCUCCACAAGUAAAGCUAUGUCGGCCCUACCGAGGGUGAGCCCUGCAGAUGGUAAGUUCCUUCUUAGUUUACAAGCUGGCUUGGUUGUAAACAAAUGCUGUGGCUCCACAGUAUGGCGCCUCGGAAUGUUUUCUAAUGUAGAUUGUUACCAAAUUGUGCAAAAAUGUUCUAUUGUUUGCACAAAUUGCAAAUGCACAUGUUACCUUGCUUAGGCUGAACUAGUGUCUCAGCACGAUCUUGUGGUUUGUCACUUGCAACUUUUCAUGUAGCAAAUGCUGGGUGUGUACAAUAAUAUUAUGGAGAGAAACUGAGGAAUGAAAAAAAAUGAUAUGUUGGUGUCAUUUUAGUCCUAUGUAAAGAAUAUAGCCAGCCUAGUUAUUUCCCGUAGGUCUUGUAUAAAAUUGAGAAAGUAAUUCUUAUGGCAUCCCAGUUGCUUCCUUCCAUUUUUUUGUAAUUCUUAUGGCAUCCCAGUUGCUUCCUUCCAUUUUUUUAAUCAUCCAGCCUGUGCUGAUAGGUCUAAAUUCUAAUGGUUUUCUGAUGAACUUCUCAUUUUGCUUUUUUCCUAUGUUGUUUCAUCGCAUGUAAUUCAUGCCUAGGCUUUUUGUAUGGACCUUGAGAAUGCUGAUUUUACCCUACCUAACUAUCCUUGCCAGGCAACUUGCCAUGUUCCUGCACCGUUUUGCUUGGCCGUACCCAGGGUGGCUCCCGUAGUCCCCCCCCCAGAUGCAAUCUGCAAGAGCUGUUACUUCUUUGGUGGAAAUGGGAAAUGAGCUGCUGCCUUUCGGUUCCCUUGGUCAGUGUGGAACCGUCCCCAGGCUUGUAACAUAAAACCUAGCCUUAGGUGCCACUAUACACAAUUGGUGCCCAUUUUGCUGUUUCUUUUUCUUCCAUUUUGGUAUUUCAUUUUUAAUAGUUUUGCGUUCAUAUUCCUUUGAUAUGCUGGAGCAAUGUGGUGACUAAUGAUUAAUGAGGGCUUUGACUUGAUGAGAUGGUGGCCCGUGUUGGGAGCGGAAGAAGACAACCAAAUGUACUUUUCGCAUUAGGUUUCAGCCAAGUAUCAUCCCGUAUUGAGCUAUUUAUUUUUUUUACGAGAGCAGGGCUCCGCCUCUGCCAGAAAUUAUGGAGUUGCUAGACAAACAAGAGUACUAGAUCGAGUAAGGUCCUGUUUGGGAGGAAGGUGCUAAAAUUUAGUCCUGGACUAAACUUUAGCCCUCCCAAAUAGAGUGCUAAAUUUUAGCCCUUUGGGGUGUUUGGGUGAGGUGCUAAAUUUUAGCACCUGUGUUGAUAAAAGAUUCAUUUACCCCUGUUUUCUCUCCUCUUCUCUACCCCUCCUCUAUUUCUUCCAAGUGCAAAUCUUGCCCAUGCCGUCCCGUGCUCGUGCCGGCAUCCCCGACUCCGCCGUCCGCACCGGCCUCGGGCGGCACCGAGGGUGGCAGCACGGUGCCCGUGAUGGAGAGGAGCUCGAACUGGCCCCGGAGCAGCGCGGCGGCGCCGCGCACAGCGACGUCCGCGACGGCGCCCAGGACGCAGACGCCGCGGCCACAGCGGCGCACGUACUCAGCGACGCACGCGGACACGUCGGCGCCCGGCGCCACCUCGAGGACGCCCUGCUGCUUGCCCUCUGGUGAGGCGCCGGUCGCCGCGGCCGCGGGCGCCGGCGCCAUGGCCAGCACCAGCAUGGCCACCGCCGGAUCCAGCUGGAGGAGGUGGGGGCCGGCGCGGAGGCCGCGGGGGCGGGCGGGGCCGGCCGGAGGCGGCGGGGGUGAGCGGGGCUAGCCGAAGGCGGCGGGCGAGGUGGAGGCGGCGGGACUGGCGCGGAGGUCCGGGCGGCGGUUCGGGUGAAGGAGGCGGGGAGAGAGAGAGACGGGCGGUGGCGGGCGGAGAAGGAUGGCGGCGGGAUCUGGCAUGGAGGAGAGAGAAGAGCGCGGGGGAGGAGAGAGGGGAGGGUACCGGGUGGAAUUUUGGACGAGGGGACCACUUUUAGCACUUUUAGCCAAUUUAGCACCUCUUGAGAGGCUAAUGGAUUAUGGGAGGUUAAAAUUUAGUCCCUCCAUUUUAGCCUAGGUGUUUGGGAGCACUAGGGGCUAAAAGUGACUAAAAUGGGGUGCUAAAAUUUAGCAUCCCCCUCCCAAACACCCCCCUAAACCACUUGUCCGCUUGGUACAUUUUUGUCGAAACGGGAGUUUCUAUUAAAAGCUGAAACUAUCCCUCCACACCGACGCGUCCCACGGUCCUGCUCUCCAGUCUCCACAUUGCACAGGUUGCACGCAUUGACGCACCCCUGGUCAGUUUGCCCAAGCCGCAGUAGGGACUUCUAAGCCGCAGUAGGGGACUUCCCUGUAUGGCUGCAUAUCCAGAGAAGAUUAUUGUCAGCAGUGGCUCACCUUAACGUGAAAUUCCACAAGCACAAAAACAAACAUCUAAAGAAAAGCUUUUGUCUCGAUCAAGUUGGCAGGCUAGAAAGAUAUAAUUCAUUAAUUCUACAUAAUUCACAGAUAACUUUGACUUGUAACCUUGUAUAUGGGCACCAUUUUUUUAAAACCAGCCGACGAUUGUGGGCUAUAACAAGUGGCACGACAUGCUGCUAUUAUUUCAUGACGACAUUGCAUCCAAGAGAUGCAUCUUAAAGAUAGCAUCAAUCAUGAUAAUAUAACAAACAGUAUAAGGAUUUUUUAGAGUUCAAAACAAAAUAAGGAUUUGUUCUUGUUGAGAACUACCUGAUCAGCGCAGGUUUUUGACAUGAAUGCACUUGGCAGCAUCGCAUAGAAAAGUAUUCCGCACUGGUAGGCAGUGACUUAGAGCUCACAAAUCUUCAAAAUUUAUCUAAAAUUGAGGACCAAAGGGGUUUCCCCUGUGAUCUAAGGGUGGAUCCGUCCUUGACUCAGUCAGCUCCCACUGUUUCUCUUUGAAAAUGAUGGUGGGCUUGUCGAAGUUAUUGCUAGCAUAAACCUUCAGAGAUUGAACAAUACCCUUCGUGGCAUUACUCGGACAAGCACGAAUCAAGACCUCCUUAAGAUUCAAAAGAAAUUCUAUACCUGCAAUCUCUUGGAUGUAAGUUCCUUCGAACAGAGACAGCUCUAGCUUUUCGAGCCUUGGCAAAGCUCCUUCAUGAAAUCUUGCUUUCCAAGCUUCAGGCAGAGCAAGAUGAAUGACAAGCAGUUUAAGACAUGGAAAUUCUGAUGCAGCAACAACAAAUUUGUUUUCGACGUAAGAACUGUGAUGCAGCCUAAGGUAGAGCAGGCUAGGCAACCGUGCAAGCACCUUCAGGUCUUCCUUGGCACUUAAUUCAGUUGCACGAAGGGUUAAAUCGGUGAGGUUGGAAAGCAAUGGGAUCCACUUAGGUAGUUUUCUUAACUGGCCUCGGAAGUUGAUACUUUUCAUAAACAUUGGUGGUCUGGAUAAUGCAUCAAGAGAAUCAAAGUUCAUCGCACCAUCAGGUCGCCAAAGUAACAAUGAGCAAAGGUUGCCACUUAGAUUCUCAAGUGCAGAGAUUAAGGAUGCCCAGCUGUUGUCAUCAUCAACAAACAUCAUUACUCCAAGCUUUUUCAACCGAGAUAGCUUGCCCAGCUCAUUAAUGCAAUGGGAUGUGGACUCUGUGAAUUCUACCUGUGCAAGUGUUUUAAGGGCAUCCAUGUUGCCUAGUUUCUUAGGUAUAUGUAUACCCCAGAACUCAGAAAUUGGCCACGACCCAUUGUGAUGGUAAUGCCUUUUCCCUCCAAGUAAAUUUUCCAAAUGCAGAAGAUUGGUAAUGCCUGGAGGCAAACGCUUUAUGGCUGUGCCCCUUAUAUCCAGAGUCUCUAACUUCUUCAGCUUUCCUAUUUUUGUGGGAAGUUCCAUAACACGUGUUCCUCUGAGACUAAGAUACUCCAGCUGAAACAGCCUGCACACGUUUUUGAGAUCUCUACUCGUCAGCGAUUCAUGGCCUUCCAAGUCUAAUAUCCUAAUCAGUUUCAUACAACCAAACUGCAAUAUUUCUCCAUUGGCGAAUAUGCUCAAGGACCGAACAUGGGAUAACAUUCUGCUCAUACCGAUAUCUCUCACAUCUCCACUGUGAACAGAGAGACGCCGAAUCUUCUCUUGUGGAACUAAAGUGUGCUGUUCACCUACCAGAGUGAUAAAAUUCUCCUCAAUUGACUUUGUUACAAUGAUCUCCAACAUCACAUCAUGAACUCGAAAUGUUUUAACCUUCCCAGUGAAGCUAAUUUCAACCGGCUGGAUAAUGCUUCGAUUGAUGAAUUCGUCAAAGUAGCUUUCUGCCACCUCAAAAACACUUAGUCCACGCCUUUCAGUCACAAAACGCUCUGCUACCCAUCGUCUUAGUACACUUUUCCUUCUGAUCUUGUGAUCCUCAGGGUAAAUACUCAAAUAUAAGAAACAUGUUUUCAAGUGGUAAGGCAGAUCAUUGUAGCUAAGCUCAAGUAUUUUCUUCAAUCUCUCAAGUGAUGGACUGGUCUCAAGCUCUGUACCAAGAGAACUAUAAAUCUUCUGCCAUUGAUCUUUACUGUGCACAGGCUUGCUAGUCAAGAGACCUGCUAUACUGACAAUGGCUAAGGGACUACCCCCACAUUUUCCCAAGAUCUUUUCUGAAAUUUCUCGUAAGUUCUCGGGACAAUUAACUGUGCUGCCAAAUAUUCUAUUGAAAAAAAGGUCUCUCGAUUCAUAAUUAGUGAGAGGUUCGAUUUCAUAAGCUCGGUCAUACUCAUGGAAACAACAAGAGUGUGCCACAGCUCUGAUUCGUGUAGUAACCAGUACCCUGCUACCAUUAUUUGAGUCGGGCAGAGAAAAUCGAAAAGCUUCCCAUGCAGCUAUGCUCCAAAUAUCAUCAAGAACAAUUAGAUAUCUCUUGUUUUCCAAUUGCUGCCGCAACAUGCUUGCAAUUACUCCCACAUCCCAUGUUUCCAUGCCCUUGAGCAUGCCUUCUCUGGAUGCUUCACCAGCUUCAGUUGAUGCACGAUGGCCUUGUCGAUGGACUGGUUGAAUAAUUUGUAGAAGAAUGUCUCUUAUCAGCACCUUGACAUCAAACCUCUGCGACACAGUUACAAAAGCUUGGCACUGGAAACUUCCACUUGUUGCAGAUAGACUUUGAUAUGUUGUCAUAGCAAGAGUCGUCUUGCCCAAACCACCGAAACCAAAUAUGGAUAUCACCCUACGUUUUUGUACAUGCCUGUCCGUCAACCACCGCAGUAGACUUUCUUGGCGUGCUUCAACACCUACAAGCUGCUUUCUCUCUGGAACAAGUGCAGUGAUGCGAACAUCAAGAGUUAAAAGAUUAGUUGGGGUGUCAUAAGCCAUGCUAUUCCCAGCAGCUCCAAAGAUGAAAUGAUUGCCACUAUACCUACAUGAGUAGAAUCAGCAAGUUAUAACCACAAUUUGUGACAAAGUAUAGCACAAAGUAACAAAGGAAAAAAAAGAAACAUUUUAAUGGAUAAUCCUUGUAUAUGCAGUUUACAUGCAAAAUGCAGUCCAUUGAAGAAGGUUGAAGUUACGCUUAUGUGAUUACUCAGUUGAUGUUUCAUUUAUCAAGGAAAAAAUAACAUAUAUAUCUGUAAAUCAACUAGUAACUAAAAAAAGCCAAAACAACCUACAAUUUGAAACGGAGGAAGUAUAACUUAAAAAAUUGCUUACAAACCUUUACAUAUUCUUGUAACCUAGAAAAUAAUCAACCUAGGCUGCGGACACUGCAUAUCUCACAUCUCUAAGUUAUGUAUAACCUUGGGGACUAGAGAAUUUGCCAGAGUUCAAUAACCUAUCGAAAAGUAUUACUGUCAAAUCCAGUUUCUUAAGAUGUCAGACUGCUACCAUAUUUUCACCCAUUAACUAGUAGCAGAAGAGCUCAUACAAUAGUGUGCUUAUAAAAAGGCUAUGGAUAUGAGAAGGAUAAAAUAAAUGAUGUUGCUCAAUCUUUAGUUGCCGGCAUCUUGCUGGCGAAUGAAUUUCAGAAGAAGUGAAAACAGAAGUCCAGAAUCUGAUACUGAUAGUUUGAGAAAGAAAAGCAAAAAUUGUGCGAAUUACCUAGAAUUUCGGUUGGUAACAUUUGUAGCACGCAUUUUUAGUUCUUGGAUUUGUUUGGCUAAUCGAUGCCGCACUCUGGUGGUUCGUAAUAUGUGAGUGAUCCUGUGAAUAAACACAGGUCCGCUGCCUCUACCAUCCCUGCUGUCUCCAAGAUGGUGUUUGAAUUCAUCAAUACAAUCCUCAACAUCAUAUGCAAGCUCACGUACUUGCUUCAUCCAAAUCUUAACUUGCUUGCGAUGUUCAUUUCUCUCAGCAAGAUCUUGAAGGAAGGCUGUCAUGCUUUCCAGCUCAUCCUUCAAGUAUUGCAGUUCAACCUUGACACUGCCUAGAAGCUGGGCUUCCUGGACAACGACUGCCCCAAGCUUUCCCAAAAGAGUGUGGAUUGCACCUUCUGCAGCACUAACAACCGCAUGCUCCAUUUCUGCAUCAAAAGGUCGAGUCAAAGAUAAACAAAAAGAUACAAGGUUAGCAACUAAGCUUCUGUUCUUGUGACCUCAAAUGAAAGCUGGAUAUGAAAGAACACACCAAGUUAGAACCUCUUAAAUUGUUGUAACCUCUUCAAAUAACAGCUGGAUGUGUGAGACAUGGAGCUUGAAUACUCAUCCAGACUCCAGAGUCAACUGUCAGUUACAUAAUAUUAUCUUCUUAAGGUUAAUAAAGCCGUGCUGAACUUGCGAACCAAAGUUUGACUAGUAUAACGUGGACACCUUGUAUUGUUUACUGCUGGUACUUAAUUUUAAAUGUAUUUGCAGACUGCAGGUGCAUCAGUACCUGGAUACCCAACACAAGUUGCACAAAUUAGGUGUGAGGAAUUCAAACAUAAACUUGGGUGACCAUAAAGUGUAGGAAAACACUAAAACAUUACAGGUAACUGAAUCCUUGUAAAGGAGUAAAGUGCACCAUGAUCCUUUGAUGAUCUGACCUUAUUAUAAGCAAAGUUUUUUUAUGUGUUUGCUAAGUAAUAUGAAAGGAAAAGGAAUAGCUGGUGGGUGACACCACCAAACAUCAAUAACAUUGAUUGGAACAAUACACAGAAAUGCAAAUGACUCAGCUUGAAAUUAACUUAUCAUGUGUGGUCAAUCCAAAGGACCUACUGAGACAAACCCAAUGGUAAUCAAUUCAAUCCCUAGAAUUGCAGAAAUAUGAACACAAGCAUGAAUUAUUUGCAUUUUCCUCCAUAGUUCAGACUACAUGAGCAGAUCAUCUAGAAUAUGUACUUUUCUGCAGAACAUCAUAAGCUCCUAGCUCCUGAGAACACAAUUAGUAACAACCAUCCUGAACUGAUUCUAGAAGUCCAUUCAUUGCUCUCCUCCUCCUAUCCCUGGUGGUCAUGCGCUCUCCAUAGGUUGACAAAAUGUCUGCAAGAUCAAAUAGUCCAACCUCCCUCAGUCUCUUUCCAACCUCUUCAAACAUUAGUGCCCCCUCUUCAUUGGAGAAAUAGUAUAGGAACUUGUUAUAAUCGAACCUUGGCACGUUCACCCCACCCCACAUCGUCCUCUCAACAAACUUAGUUGCCUCCAAUGUCCUCCCGGCUUUCACCAAGCCACCAACAAAUAUGCUCUCGAAGUUCACCGAUGGAUCCUUCCCCUUCCGGCCCCUUUUCCCCAAGUGCCCCUGAAGCAACAUGAUGUAAGUGUGCAUGUUCGGUUCACAUCCCCUUGUAAUCAUCUCUCUGAACACCUCGGUUGCUUCCCCUGCCCGCUUGAUCCUCAGCAACCCCUUCAUCAAUCCAUGAUACAAGGCAAUGUCCUUCUCUCGAACACCAUGAAACAUCCUGUAUCCUUCCCUAACCCUUCUCCUUGCCAUCAGCCCAUACACCAAAUCCCCUAGCGCUUCCCCAUCCACCUCCACACCUCUCUUCACCAUUUCAGCCAACACCAUGUACGCGCCCCACACCUUCCCAUCCUUGCAGAGCCAAGACACCACCGCGCGGCAGCACCCACCUCCGUCAUCUUGCACUCCGCUCCUCCGCAUUCCGUCGAACACCUUCAUGGCGUCCGCGGCGCGGUUGUUUUUGAACAUGGUCACCACGAUCUCCUGGUACGCCGCGGCGCCCGGCUCGAGGCCGCGCCUCUCCAUGCCGUUCCACACCCUGCAGGCGUCCGCGAGCGAUCCGGCGCGGCAGUACGCGACGACCAGCAGGUCGUCGCACCUCGCGGUGCGCGAGACGCUGUGCCGGUGCUCGGCGCGCUUGAUCACCUUCUCCGCCACGUCGGGCAGCCUGCACGGCUCGGAGCACGCGACGUCGGUGACGAACGUGAGGAUCCGAGCGCGGUGGCAUUCGGGGAAGAGCGUCACGAUCGCGGCGACCUUCCCGACCUCGCGGGCAGGGGCGAGGCCGCGCACGGCGGCGCGGAGUGCCGCGGCGGAGAGGAGGGUGCGGGGCAGGGAGAAGAGCGUGGAGUGGAGGAUGUCGAUGUUCCCGGACUUGGCGAGGACGUCGAGGAGGCGCGCGGCGGUGGCGGGGGAGUGUGGGAACCCGCCGCCGUCGCCGGCUCCGCCGUGGCGGGCGGAGAGGUGCGCGAGGAGGCGGUGCACGGGGCGCCAGGAGAGAGGGAACCGCGCGGAGGCCUGGAGGAAGAGCUCUCGGAGGUCGGUGGGGGCGGUGGGAAGCGGCAGCGCGGAGAGGCGGCGGUGCAGCUUGUCGUCGGGGGCGUACUGGUGCUGGUAGAGGAUCGUGCAGAGGCGGAGCAGAAGAGCGGGGUCGUUCGGCCUCGGCACGGUCGCCGGGGCGGGAGACGACGUGGAGGUGGAGAGGAGGCGGCGGAAAACGAGGGGACGGAGGCGGGGAGACAUGGGUGGGCGGAGGCGGGACGGCGGCGAGGAGAUAGAUUGAAGAGCGCGGCGCGGAAGGUGGCAGGGCCGUGCGAGCGGAUUCUCUUGGUGGGUUGGGCUGUUGUCUCGUGCAAAAUCUGCUCUUCAAUUUUUUUUGACGUGUGGGCUGUGUGUGUAUGGGCCUCCUUGUGGGUAUGCAGCAGAUUCUUGGACAAAAGCCCAUUUGUAUCAUGCUACCGCAGCAUGCGCUCGUAUAUCGCAUGCACGUGUUGUCUUUCCGAGUCCCAUUUGUGUUUGGGUAGGCCACCGACCGGUGGACCCAGCUGCAGGUUACCUUGGGAUGUCAGUUUACUGUUUCCUGGUCCGAUGACGCAGCUUGUUUCAAUUAGUCAUCGAGUUAGUUGAGGAAGAGUGAUCAGAUCAGCUGGUUGGUGACCACGUGGUGGUGGUGCACCCAUGAGGCGAUUUCUGGUGCAGAUAAAAAAUCGCGUGCAGGUGCAUAUGGAAUGAUACUGGGUCAUUAUGAUCUCUGCAUGAUGCUUGGUUUCCAAAAAAGGGACUUGAUAAUGCACGGUAACUACUGAUGUUGAUGUAGGAGUACACACAACUUGGAGAAGGUUGGUGCUGCUAAAAGCUGUUGGUUUGAGUUUACCUGCUGGUAGAAAUUGCUUUCGUCAGUUUCUUGGUAAGCACACGGUACUGACACAUCUUAGAGCUGUGCACCAUUACUCUUUCACAGAACAAAACUAGGAAAAAUAAUACAGGAACGAUAAUAUUGGUAUUGGUUUAGUAAGAAACUGCUAGCAGGUGCGUGCGUGGAUUAUUGCUAUCCGAUCCACAGCAUGGACACAUGGUGAAUUUUAUCAGGACAGAUAGUGAAAUAGGUGCUGGUAGGUAUAGCUCUUGGUUACAUGUUUUUUCUUCGAAAAUAGUUUUCUUCAUAUAAUUAUUUGAUUGAUCGGCCAUCUUUUUCAUAUAAUUGCGCACUGAUGCAUUCUCAGUGAAGUGUUAAUAAGAACACCUCUAUGAGUUUACUCAAGAUGGUCUUUAAACAUUUUUGGAAAAAAAAGGGCAACCUUAAUUAAAAUGGAUCUGAAUAAUUCGCAACAAGAAAACCUGACUAACUCUGGUGUUGAUGUGCUUCAACAAUGAAAUGAUAAGGGGAUCACGUAAUUCAUAGGAUUUUUCCCGGAAACAAUGUUCGUAAGAUUAUAGUCCUACAAAAUAAGUAAAUAACCUUUCCAUUCCCUGCAAAAUUCCAAACAUGCUGGCACUGAGUUGUUACGUAGCUCUCACUGAAAAUGGCAUGCAGACGCUUGUGGCAAAGAAAGUACCGCGCUAGACAUUCACUGCAAAAACUAUGGCGUGUAGACGUUUGUCCCAAAAUUAGCAACCAUUUAACUCUUCUUCUUAAUACAAAGAUACGCAGCUUUCUUGUGUAUUCACGAAAAAAAUUAGCAACCUCUUGAGAUUCACUGCAAAACUUCACUUUCAGCAUAGUAGCAUGUAUUAUUGCUCUUAACCAGCUUUCUGGAAAACGAGCAUUGUAAAACAGCUUUAAGCAAUACUAGAAACACACAGUAUUUUGCAAAUAUGAACAACUCUCAAGAAUGUGAUAGAACUCUUUUAUUCAUACAAAAGAUAUACAUACGGUGAAGCACAGAUCUCUCCUAGCUGAAAGCGCAGCGCUAACUAGCUCAUCACAAGCAAGCUCUCGUAAUAAGCAAAGCACACAGCAAUACAGCAUCAGAACUCAUACACAUAACUGUGCAUAGACACAACAUGCACGGGCGUAAAAUGAUAGAAUAUAGAUCAAUAGAUGACUAUGUCUGCAAUCUCCGCUCAUGGUUUCGCCUCCGCCGGCUCCGGGUAGUGCUCCUCUGGCUUCGGUGGCAGCUCGUGCUUUGGCUCCUCCGGCACCUCUGGGUGCGGCAGCUCCGGCACGGUGGGGUGAGGAGGCAGCUCGGGCUUUGGCAGCUCCGGCACGGUGGGGUGAGGAGGCAGCUCGGGCUUUGGCAGCUCCGGCACGGUCGGGUGCUCUGGCACGGUGGGGUGAGGAGGGAGCUCGGGCUUUGGCUGCUCUGGCGCGACCGGGUGCGGCUCCUCAUGUUUUGGCAGCUCAGGCUCAGUAGGGUGAGGUGGCAGUUCAGGCUUCGGAAUCUCCGGCACAGGGUGCGGCACCUCGGGCUCGGUAGGGUGAGGAGGCAGUUCGGGCUUGGGCAGCUCUGGCACGGGGUGCGGCUCCUCAGGUUUGGGCAGCUCUGGCUCGGUUGGGUGAGGAGGCAGUUCAGGUUUGGGCAGCUCUGGCACGGGGUGCGGCGCCUCAGGCUUGGGCAUCUCCGGGACGGCGGGGUGGGGUGGCACCUCGGGCUUUGGCAGCUCAGGCACGGUAGGGUGCGGCGGCAGCUGGGGCUUGGGCAACUCCGGCACAGCAGGGUGCGGGUACUCCUCCUUGGGCGGCGCCUCCUCCAGCAACCGCGCCGCGCCGCUCAUGCCGCUGCAGGAGAGCAGCAGCGCCAUGAGGAGAAGCGAGGACAUGGUGGUGCUGCUGGAACUCCAAGCCAUGGCUGGGGUGGUUUGCACUCGUGAUCGAUCUACUGUGUGCUUCUUGUCCCGAUGAGAGAGCAAGAUCGUUGUGUGUGAUGGCUGGGAAGGGAGCGAGGCCUGGUAUUUAUAGCGCUCGAUGAAGCCCUUGAGCUCUCAUCGUUUGGUAGCUGGUAGGUCAUCUGCAUCAACGUGGUUGUUUAACUUUGUCCUUGCGAUAAGGUUUAAUUAGUUGGGAAAUCCUGAGACCUGGGUGAUCUGGUUGGUCGAUAUGAUGCAGUGGUAUUGUGGCGGCUCGUACGUGUGCAGUGUGUCUCAUCAUCAAAUCUAUUUUUGUUUGGCCACCGGGGGUGGUUGGGCAAAAUUAUGGACUUGCAUGUCAAGAAUCGACUUAGAAACAGACUAACAUGGAUACGUCUGUAGUGAGGAGAGGAUGGGUGGAUCUGCUUGCUCUAAACUAAAGAGACCCAGUUGAAAAUGACCCUACCGCCGAAACUUAUCCAAAGUGUUAUUUUUCUUUUUUGCUUGAUGCUUUAGCUUUCCUUUUUCAAUAAUUUCUUUGAGUUGUAAAUGUGAAGUAGUAACAUUUACAUAUAGAUGUCCUGGAAGAUAGAUGCACUUCAAGUAUAAAUUUGGGUACACUAUUGUCACAUGAAAAAAAAUAUUAAUAAGUCCACUAAAAUUAGUUCCAUAAAAAAAUUUAUGCCCAACUAAAGAUGUUGGAUUUAGUUAUUCCAAUAAGUAUACAUGAUGGUUGGAUUAGGAGUAGUUUGCCAAAUUUAUCUGCUUGUUUUCCAACCUAGCUUCUUCUUCAUGCAUAUGUAUAAAUGAUAUUUGUUUUGAAACAGGUUAUGCAUGCCGUCAUGGUCAAAAGCAUAUACUAUUGAAUUGUAGAGGUAGGAAAUGACGGGGAGGAAGAGGGAGAGCGCCGAGGUGAGGAAGAGGCGGACUUUGGGGGUCGAGGAUGGCGCUGAUGUCGGAGAUGCCGCUGAAGAGAUUGAGGUUGAAAAAGAGGCCGGCGAGGACGAACAUGAUGACGGAGGCGGCCACCAUGCUGGGCUCAUUGCGCUUCUCUGUGUAGGAUGACGUGAGGUUGCCGAUGCACGAGUUAAUUUCUACUACUGGGCAGCUGGGGAGACCCAUCGUUCUACAAGCUAGCUUGAGGGUCGUUUUCAGGGAUGCUAGCUACCAUGUAUGGCCUGCACGCAUAUAUAGGCCAGUGUGCAAGGUCAUCGUCGUCGUCAAUCGUCCGUCGAAUGGCAUCACGUGCAUGCCAAGUAAACUUGUUUUGCUUUGGUGUCAAGUACGUUGAGAUGGAUCGACGGAUUGUCGAUGCAUGUGUGGAUCAAGAGACGGCGUCGCAGGUUUAGAGGGCUCUUGGCAUGUGCAGAUGUGCUCUUGCUGAUCAUCACGUACGUGAUGAGCUAGCAGUCUUUGCUUUUAUUCUUCUUCUCCGUCUUUGUCUUUGGUAUCUGUUCCAUUUUUUCUUUUCUUUUCCGAUGUUUGCCAAAUCAAGGACGUACAGGGCCACGAACCUGAUUCACAUUAUAUUAUUGGAGCUAUGCUUUAACACGAUGAAUCCGCUGAAAGGCUGCACUAAUUAAAGAUUGAUGCAACUUUUUGUCAGCUGUAUGGAGCUUUUGUCAUGUGUAAGGCAACUCUAAAGUUGUGGAAACGAAGCCGAUAGUCUUUUAUUAUGAGCAAAUUCUAGUUACGGCAUCACCAUCAGCUCGAUCUCCGGUUAGGUUAUUGCUGGGAGCAUCUGAUCUGGUCAGGGGGCCGGCUAAUUGCUAGCUAGCAAAGCACAUGCACCUUUUGUUUCUGUAGCUGGAUACUGCACUUCUCUCUGUCCCUUCUAUAUAUCCCAGUCAGCCUAUUCCGAAAUGUGUUGAUGCACAUGAGGACUAUGGUGGUGGAAUCUCAUCUUCCUAGUUGUCUCGUUGUAACUGUAUCUUCUUAGUUUGUAAAUCAAUGGAAGGAAAGAAAAAUAUCCAUCGCAGCAAUGGUGCAUGAGUUUUCGCAUAGUGCUAAAUUUUAUCUUACAAGGUAGUUGUGUCAUGACACCUUCACGACCAUGCACAAGAUGACUGAUGUCACCAAUGUAUUUUUACGUGGAUCUUGAAUGAUGCUCGACUAUUUCCCCUCAAACAAAAUUAGUAGUUUGCUUGCUUGUUUAUUAGCAACUACUGAAUAUAGAUGGCACAAUCUUUUACAUGAUUUAAAGGGAAAUUGUAAUCAAACCCAAAUUUAAAGUCGAUAAUUAAAUACAUUUAGUCCGUCCACCGUACUCUCACAUGGGACUAAAAGUUUAGAGCGGCAUCAAAAGUAAAAAAAAUAGUAAAAAAGUUAAGCCCAUAGCUAAUAAUAAAAAAUAUUUAGAAUAAAGGAAAAAUAUUAUCACACUAGUAGAAAAAUGACCUUCCAUCCUCAACAAAAAUCUCAGGUGUUUUUGGACCCGGGACUAAAGCAAAUUUUGUAGUCCUUAGAGACACCUUUAGUCCCAGUUGACUAAAGGUGAUCCUGUAGUCCGUGGAGACAUCUUCAUGCAUAUAUAUAAAUGAUAUUUGUUUUGUAACAGGUUAUGCAUGCCGUCAUGGUCAAAAGCAUAUACUAUUGAAUUGUAGAGGCAUAAUCUUUUAAUAGUUACCUAUGAAUAAAUCAUUACUUAUAUAAGUUCUUUAGGUUGUCCGCGGUCAUAUUAUCUAUAUAUACUUAUUUUAUUUCACCAUCAAUCUUCUUUACAUGUAUGUUGAAGCCGAAUGACUGGAAGUAGUAUUGGUAGACUUAUAUAUUGAAAUGAAGUUUCAAAAUACAAAUUUAUAGUAUAAAAGUGCCAUUAUUUUACUUUUGUAAAUAUAUAACAAAAUAAACUAAUUGUAACUAGUGGCCUUAGCCUUGUGAUGGAACCUUCAUUCCUAACCGACUUCAAGUCCGUGACUUAGCACAUGUGCAUGUGCUCAUAUGUUCAACUUACUAUUUUUUAGUGGUAGACGAUAUGUCCAUUAACCGCGAGACACGGUGCAUUGUGUUUUGAAAAACAAAGCCUGAGCUGUUGGUAGCUACUUCCUCCGUCCCAAAUUACUUUUCGUUUUAGCUUUUCUAGAUACAUGACCUUUGAAAUGCACCUAGAUAAAUAUUAUGUCUAGAUACAUAGCAAAAUUUAUGUAUCUAGAAAAGUUAAAAUGAAUAAUAAUUUAGGACGGAGGGAGUAGAGUAGUAUCUAGGAGGUCCUUUUGCCAGAAGUGGAGCAGCUUUGGCACAACUGUUUUCCUUGUUUAUUUCCACAAACAUCCGUAUAGUCAUUCAUAUCUUAUUGCUAGAGGUAAAGGACUGUACUGAUUUGCAACAUUCUCACGCGCAAAAAAAAACUAAAAAUAUAAGCAAUUUUAAGCCACAUCUUCAUAAUAUACAUGUAAAUAGAAGUAUUUGGAGGACUCUAUUGAAUCAUAUACAGAAAUGAUAGUGCAUAUAUAACAUGAAGAUAAAUAAAUAAAUAAAAAACGUGUGAUACAUACCAUGCAUAGACUCGCAUGCAUACAAAGCAAUGUACAUUACAUCAUCAAAGUACAAGCAUAUACAUACAGAGUAAACUACUGGUAACAUCGAUCAUGCUCUCCUAGCUAGCCCAUGGCCAAAGAGGUCGCAGCCUCGCAGGCAUACGUCGAAUUUUACACCAUAUGUACGUACACGGUACACAGAUGUAGAAAAAGAAAAAGGUGGUUAUUGAUACUGGGGCAAUGCGGAUGCAAGUCGAUCAUGGCUUGGUAUCUGGCACCGGGUAGUGUCCCUCGGCCUUCGGUGGUAGCUCAGGUUCCGGCAGAGGUGGCAGCUCAUGCUUUGGCACCUCCGGCACGGCGGGAUGCUCAGGCACCUCAGGCUCGGCGGGGUGCUCCGGCACCUCAGGCUCCGGUAGCUCCGGCAUGGCGGGGUGUUCCGGCACUUCGGGCUUCGGCAGCUCAUCAGGCACGGCAGGGUGCUCCGGCACCUCAGAGGCUUUGGCAGCUCCGGCACCUCGGGCUUCGGCAGCUCGGGUACAGUAGGGUGAGGUGGCAGCUCAGGCUUCGGCAGUUCUGGUACGGCGGGGUGCGCCGGCACCUCGGGCUUCGGCGGCUCCGGCUCGACUGGGUGCGGCGGUAGCUCCGGCUUAGGCAGCUCAGGCACCGUGGGGUGCGGCGGAAGCUCGGGCUUGGCAGCUCCGGCACGGCAGGGUGUGGAUACUCCUCUUUGGGUGCCGCCUCCUCCAGCAACCGUGCCGCGGUGCUCAUGCCGCUGCUGCACGAGAGCAGCAGCUCCAUGAGGAUCCAUGAGGAGAAGGGAGGCUGGCAUGGUGCUCCUGGAAGCCAUAGCUAGGUUCUUUGCACUAAUGAAGCGAUCGAGAACAAGAUCGCUAUGCAUGGUGACUGGAAAGGGGUCGAGAGAAGCAUGGUAUUUGUAGUGCCAAAUUAUAAAAAUCGACCGAUCGUUUGGUAACUCUUCAUGAUUGUUUUUUUUCGAGAAUACGUAGGAGAGCUACGUAUCUUUGAAUUAAGAAAGGAAUAAAGUUUUAGUUACAAUAUGAGACUCCCCGGCACACGCACACAGUUCAACACUAUUAGUAGAGUGAUUACGUAGAGGAAACAACAACUGAAAACAAUGUCCCAAGCGAUUAGCUCACUAACUAGUUGUGCUUCCACCGGUACCGGCCAUCCUAAGAGGUGUUUAGCACCUGCACAGGACCAUAGCAGUGCUUCUUCCAGAAUGUCUUGUGCCAGUUGUGCAGCCUGCUUAGGAGAACCUCUUCUGAAGACUCGAUCGUUACGUUCUUUCCAUAACUUCCAUGAGACGAGCAUGAAGGUAGAGUCCAACCCUUUUCUCUGUUGAGCGUUGAUUCUCUGUCAUUUCUGAAUCCACCAAUCCAUGAGACCUAUACCUUGAGCUGGUGCCUGGUAUUGCAAUUGCAGUAGCGAGGUAAUGUUUUGCCAGACUUGCUGAGAGUAAGCACAUUGGACAAAAAGGUGAUCAGCGGUCUCCAAAUCCUGAUUGCAUAGCGCACAAGUUGUGUGGUCUUGUAAUUCCGCUGUCUAGAGAUGGUCUUUGGUAGCCAACCACAUGAAAGAGCCCAGGUCUUCCAAAUUAGCUUCCCCCCGGCGAACUUUGCUGCAUCAAUGAAGAACAUUCUUUAGGUUGAUCUUGCUAAGUAGGAGCCAGAUGACUCCCAUCUCCAAGUGAUCGUGUCUUCUAUGCCUAGGUUGAGGUGAAUCCGUUCCAUUUCGUGCCACAGCUGAAUGUAUUGUUGGAUGGCGCUUACUGUUACCGGUCUGACAAUAUCCGCUAUCCAUUGUUUCUGCUGCCACUACUAGAAAAAUGAGCAUUCGUCCUGAGGCUCAGUACUGGUUGCAUUUUGGCCCGGUACUAAUAUGAGCAUUAGUACCGGACCUAUUGGAUAGUCCCCGAGGAGGCCCCCCGUGACCCGCUUUAGUACCGGGAUGGAGCCUGUGCCUGAGGGCUUUUAGUACCGGGUGGAGCCUCCACCCGGUACUAAGGGGUUCCCUCUGUCCUCGCGCUGCCUUUUUAAUUUGCACUGGGCCCCUCGCUCCCUUAUCCUCUCCCUCCGCUCUCCUCAGCCUCCUACCCCCACAGUGCCAGGAGGUCCUUCUUCUCACCCUCAACGCUAGGAGCCCCUCCUUCCCCUUCCACCGGCCCCCUCCCUCCCUCUCUCCGGCCUUCCCUCUCCUCUCCCCUCCGCUCGCCCCUCACCUCGUGCCUGAGGCGAGGAGCGGCGGCGGCCAUCGGGCGGAGGGCGACAGCGGGGCAAAGGGCAGCGAGGCGGAGGUAGGGCGGGUGGGGACGGGGGGCGGUGGCGGAAGGAGGGUGGAGGGCGGGCGGAGGGAGGGUGGAGGGCGGGUGGUGGGAGGGGUGGCGUGGCGGGGGGCGGCUAGCGGGAGGGGGUGGGCAGUGAGAGGGGGGAAGCGGGGGUAGGGCCGGUAGAGGAUUUUGUUUUUUUUUAAUUUUUUAAUACCGUUUAGUACCGGUUAUUUCAACCGGUACUAAAGGUCCUCUUUAGUACCGAACUACCAGUACCAGUUGCAAAACCGGUACUAAAGGGGUUCUCAAUCGGUACUAAAGGCGUUUUCCAUAGCAGUGUACAUUGCUUCCGCAACCGUUCACCUUUUCUUGGUUCGCGCUCUUAUGAGGUUGCACAGAAUCGGGGGCGAUGGUACAUGGGGAGGAGUCACCAUCCCCAUGGUUGUUAAAUUAGGAUCCGUGAGCUCUCGUUCUCUUGAUCCAUGCAUCCUUUGAUUUGUUCGGAAUGCUGCGCGACUUGCAUUGAGAGAGAUCAGCUGGUCGUUGGUUGAAUCACUUUCUUGGCACCUUGCGUUGUGGCUACACACGUGUGCGACGUAUCCCAUCGUCUCAUCGUUGUGCAAGUGUUUGGCCACCGGAUAACGCAAAGUAUAGGGACGUCAUUCAUGUCAAGGACAGGCUGAGACUGAGAAACCAACAUGAUCACGUGUUGCGAGCUGGACGAGAAACGCCUUACCAACCAUCAUUAGAUCAAAGCAGCGCAGUGGCGAGAUGGAAUACAAUCACUCCAUUGACAAGGGGUGGAUCUAGAUCCAAUACAACCCAAUUGAAAUAUAUAUACGUACUUACAGAAAGUAUCGUAUGUCCAGGGAAAAAGUGUUUUAAGGUUUUUAAUUAUGUCGAUGUAAUGAUCUUGAAACUAAUAAAGAUUCCAUUAUCAGAAAAAAAAAUUGGAGGAAAAAGCCCUGCAUGUCCCCUCCCAACUCUCAAUCUCACAAGCAAGGACUAAAUACUUUUUACUAGAUAUCAAGCAUAUUUCAGUAACAAUGAAUUGAUUUUCAUAGCAGUUGUAAAGCGAGUUGAAAAUGGCCCCUACAAUAAAUGUUGAAGGGCCUUUUUUCCUACAUCGAUAAUUUUAGAUUUUAAACAAGUUGCAUCAGCUUACAUGCACUCCUGAAUUAUCACCCACGUUGUGUGCUAUGCAAGUUCUUUAGUUGGCUAGCUAUCCAAGACAGGAUAUGGAUAUCGGAUCGACUAGAGCGUCGGGGAUGGCCCAGUAACCCACGUUGUGUGCUAUGCAAUACUACACAGGAGACCGGUUAUCACCUUUUCACCGACUGUCACUUUGCAAAGACAAUUUGGAUAGGGAUGAGUGCACGGACAAGGUGUGCAGAUAUUAACCCGAGUCAUUGGGACAUGCAUGACUCUUUACACAAUUGGUGGACAGCUUUAGUGGCCGCUCUAGUGGUCGGCAAAAUAGGGUUGCGUAGUCUAAUUAUCCUUGUCCUAUGGGAAAUUUGGGCGAAGAGAAACGCGAUGAUACUUCAACACAAGGAGCAGACAGUUAAUCGAGUACUUAACAAGAGCAAAGACCAGACUGCUACAUGGAUCGGGGUAGGAGCUAAACAUUUAGAGUAUUUCAUUUACGCGACAUGACAUUUGUAGUUGCCCCUUCUGAGUUUCUAGCAGGGUUUUGUUUAUCUUUUCCGCUGACGGGACGAUAGUGUACAGUAUGUAAAGAACCUUUUGUUUCUCGGCCCCUCGGACUUUCCUCUUUUUUAAUAUAGCAUCAGCCACUGGCUCGUUUCAAAAAAAAAAGAUUUCUUCGAAACACAGUUACACAUCCCGGGAGCAAACUCAUUAACACCUCCGCUAAAAUGUGUUCUACAGUUCAUCAUAGUUCACACUUCACACGCAAAUGAGCACCCCUCCUACAAGUUCUCCAACAUCAAAUAGAUUCGACGUUUCCUCCAGAUUUGGGAUUAAAUUUAGUGAGGUAUAUGUUGGAUAUAUAUUCCUACAUCCACAAAUUAGCGAGUGUACUGCACUACUACUAGGGCAUUCAUUAUAUUAGCAUGUGUGUGUAUGUGGUGCACGUGGUUGUUUGGUAAAAUUGCAUAGACACCCCUAUAAAAGACCACUUCAAGUUUGGCAUUGCUCCCCAUAAGUUAUUAUGUUACAAAUACCCACCCACCUACUUAAUUCUAUUGCAAAUAUCCACCCAGUGUGUGCAAACUUAACCGAUUCAACAUGAUUUCAAAAAUAGCGAGCUGCCAAUGUGAUCUUUAUUGAAAUUAAAUACUUCUAGGAGUAUAAUCUUGAAAUUUUUUUGGAGACUCCACAAAAAUAAUUGGUAAAAUUGUGCAUAUUGGGGUGGUUUUUUGCAACAAAAUUGAGUAUCAUGGUGGGUAUUUGCAAUAAAAUGACUUAUGAGGGGCAAUGUGAAACUUGAAGUAGCUUAUUGGGGGUUUCUGCAAUUUUACCUUACUAGAAUAUAAAUCAAUGUUUCCUCUUGUUUCUAGUUCUAAGGGAGAAUAUUUUGCUCACUUUUGGAAAUAUAAUGCAAUCAUUUGGAAAUGAUUUUGCAUUUCAUUCAUCCAUAGAGAGGCGAUAUUAGAUGCAAUUGGUAAUGAAAUGCAUCUAGAACCUUUUCUUUCCUAGAAUACUAGUAUAUGUGAAAAUGUUCAGUGAAAACAGACUUUCCUUUUCUUUUUACCAGUGGGAACUGAAUUUUUUCUAGUUAUUGGGAUCGACGUAUAUGUUAUGACAAACAAUUCCUACAAGACUUGCAAUUUUUAGUUUUGGAUAAACUAGGUUUUAGAUGAUUCACAUUGUGAAAUUGGUUUACUAAUUUUUUCUAAUUAUUUUUGCAAUGCAUUAAAGACAUACAUGGAAAUGAAGUAAGCAAGUGCAUUUGACGGGACACUGAUCCUUCAUUAGAACUAGAAACACCCAUAGAUUAAUCCAACACAAAGAAUGCUUAUGGGGAAUCCUUCAUAUAGUACUGCUACAUUGAAAGCCUACUUAUCUUGUAGUCAGUCAUGUAUGUAUUUUCAUGCCCACAUCAUUUGUAGAGUUUGGACAUCCAGAUAACUCUUUAAUUACUGAUUAAAUAUUACUCCAAGAUAAAUGAAACACAUCUCAUACACAUACUCUGUAUAUAUAUAGUGCAUAAUAAAGGACAAUAUAUACGUACAUCACCAAACAUACAACAUUGAAAAGUAACAAUCCUAAAGCUAGCUUGUGACCAACAAGAUCACAUUCAAACAUAAAAAUAUCACACCAUAAUACACAAGCACAUAACGUUUUUAUUACAGGGGCGACAGUGAUGCAGUCCGAUCAUGGCUUGGUCUCUGGCUCUGGGUAGUGGCUCUCGGGUUUCGGCGGCAGCUCAUGCUCUGGUACCUCCGGCACGUCCGGGUGGGGCAGCUCCGGCUUUGGUAGCUCUGGCACCGUGGGGUGAGGAGGCAGCUCAGGCUUCGGCAGCUCCGGCACGGCGGGGUGCUCCGGCACCUCUGGCUUCGGCAGCUCUGGAACGGCGGGGUGAGGAGGGAGCUCGGGCUUCGGCAACUCCGGCACUUCGGGGUGCGCAGGCACCUCAGGCUUCGGCAGCUCAGGCACGGUGGGAUGAGGUGGCAGCUCAGUCUUCGGCAGCUCGGGUACGGCGGGGUGCUCCGGCAGCUCCGGCACCGUGGGGUGCGGCGGCAGCUCGGGCUUUGGCAGCUCCGGCACGGCAGGGUGUGGGUACUCCUCCUUGGGUGCCACCUCCUCCAGCACCCGCGCCGCGCCGCUCAUGCCGCUGCACGAGAGCAGCAGCGCCAUGAGGAGAACAAGGGAAGCCAUGGUGCUCCUGGCAGCCAUGACUGGAUCGAUGCUUAACACUUGUGAGCUUUUCUGUGCCUCGAGUCUCAGUAUGUAGAGCGAACUAGAUCGUUGUGUGAUGGCUGGGAGGGGAGGGGAGCAUGGUAUUUGUAGUGCAAAACGCAUGUCCUGUAACCACGAUCGAUCAGGUGAGCGUUUACGUCCUGGAGCAUCUUGUAUUUUGGUAGCAGCUGGUAGGUCAUCUGCAUCUUUGGGUGGUUAAAAUUUUGUCCUCGAUUCGUGUCCUCGUGAUCUCCCUCCUGACCCCUGCUUGCGUAUGAUUUAGUUGGUUGGGAAUACACUGAUAUCUGAUCGAUCUGGUUGGUUGAAGCACUACAUGUUUUUUGGCAACACGUGUGCGAUUUAUCUAAUUGACCCGUAUGUGUUUGGCCAGCAGAUGAUGCAAAGGACGUGCAAAUGUCAAGGACAGAUUGAGAUUUGUACAAGCAUGAGCUAUAAAGUCCACGCUGAUGAGAUGUGUGGUUCGGAAGCAGUUCUGAAGUUAGUUGAAAAUGACUAGUGACGUGUGAAAUGUCCAAAGGGGCCUUGCUUCUCAUUUUUGGCCUGGCCAUUUUUCAAAUAACUUACGUCAGUUUACAUGCACUGAUAUGGUAGCAUAGAGAAGAAGGCUUAGUUGUUUUGCUUCCCUCAGUUGCUUUAGAACAUUAUUUCUCAGAGAAUCAAUAUUGAGGCAUGCAUGUUCCAAGAUACGUGUUGGGCGGCAUGCAUAUGCAUGCUCAAAGAUACGAGUUGGGCGUGGUGAUUUGAAUUGUCAGAGAAAUAUAUUUUGGGCUCUUGAAAAUAAAAUUCAAUUGUUUGAUAACUGCUUUUGCAUUUUGUUCAUCAGGGCAACAUUUUAAUAAUUAACUGGUAAUAACAUGUGCUGUUAUUUAUUAUUUAAUUUGGCCUCAGUGAUAAUAUAUAUGUGGAGACAUUAUUUCAUCAAAGCUGAAAUCUUUUAUCGACAAAAGUAUUUGUAAAUAAAAUGCUUUGUAUUUCUUUUUUUAUCUUUUGAUAAAAAGAGAAAGUGGAGUGGCAUUUGUUUUUGAUAAAAAGAGAAAGUGGAGUGGCAUUUGUUUCCCACAGAACUCUUUACUGUUUUGGAAAAACUUGUGUACCUGAAUUUUUGUUCUUUUGAAACAGAUUAGGUUGUAGAUAGUUGGACUCGAAACUGAACUACCAACUUUAUUUCUUUGUUUGUGUCGGUAAUGCAUUAAGAACAUGCUUAAAUGACAUGAAUUUUGAUAAGGUUUAUGGAAAUGGAACAAAGGAAGGACAAUCACAUGUCUAAGAAUGAACCCCUUUAAUGUAUCAACACAAGCAGCUACGUAGAAAACAUAAGGUAUUUAAUUCAUCAUAGUGGUUCUAAAUUCAAGGCUGUGACACAUACAUUUUCAGCCACAUAUUUAACAUAUGCAUACCUUGUGCACAACUAAUUUGGAGAUUUCAUUGUUUACUCCCAUGGUUUGAAAUUAUGAGUAUUUUUGUUUCAUUAGGAUAACCCUUUGAUCAAUAAUUUCUCUAUUAUAGUACAUGAUUUUUGUGACAGGAACUGAUGUCAUUUAAUUCGUAAACAUACUUUCUUAGUAGUAUACUUUUGUACCAUAUAAAUAAAAUAACAAUAGUGUAACUGUGGGCCAAAUUCAGCCCUAACAAAACGAAGUACGCCUUGAAAUUACAAAUGGAAGGAUUAUAUAAUAAGAGACCAUAAUAAUGUAAUGAAAAAAUACGUGUAUAUAUAUCAUACGCCAAAAGCAAUACACGGGUAACAUCAUCAACCGACAAAUCAAAGGAGCACAACGUACAACCCUGAACGUCAGGCUCCUACUGCAACAUCAGAUACACACAAGUACAGAACGUAUUUUACUACUGGGGAAACACGGGUGUAGCUCGAUCAUGGCUUGGCCUCUGGCACCGGGUAGUGGCCCUCCGGCUUCGGCACCUCCGGCACGUGAGGCGCUUCUGGCUUUGGCAGCUCCGGUACUUCGGGGUGAGGCGGCAGUUCAGGCUUCGGCAGCUCCGGGUGCGGCAGCUCGGGCUUCGGCACCUCCGGGUGCGGCAGCUCUGGCUUUGGUACUUCAGGCACGGCGGGGUGCGGCAGCUCGGGCUUCGGCACCUCUGGUACGUGAGGGUGUGGCAGCUCCGGCACGGCUGGGUGUGGCAGCUCCGGCUUGGGAACCUCUGGCACAGGGUGAGGGAUCUCCGGCUUUGGGUGCUCCGGCACGGUGGGGUGCGGUGGCAGUUCAGGCUUGGGCAACUCCGGCAAGGUAGGGUGCGGUGGCAGUUCAGGCUGCUUCGGGUGCUCUGGCUCGGUGGGGUGCGGUGGCAGUUCAGGCUUUGGGUGCUCUGGCACGGUAGGGUGUGGAGGCAGCUCAGGCUUUGGGAGCUCCGGCACGGUGGGGUGCGGCGGCAGCUCUGGCUUGGGGAUCUCCGGCACGGUAGGGUGCGGCGGGUACUCAGGCUUCGUCUCCUCCAGGUACCGAGCCGCGCUGCUCAUGGAGCUGCAAGCGAUGAGCAGCACUGCCAUGAGAAAGGCGAGGGAGGACAUGGUUUUCUUGGAAACCAUGUCGAAUGGCUUGUGCUUUCUCAGCUGCGAUCUCUGUGUGUAUCAGUGUGAGCUAGUUCUUUUGUGAUGUUGUGAUGGCUGGAAGGGAAGAGGAGCCCUCUAUUUAUAGUUGCGAAGCAAGGCUUGCUGCAUGCAUGCAUGGGUGUGCUUGCAGGAGUCUUCUGGUCUUGGGUGCCUGGUAGCGGUAGGUCAUCUGCAUUUUUUCCUCCUGAAACCUCUAGACUCUAGGUUAUCUUCUCGAUUUAAUUAGUUUCCAUGCAAUCUCUACUACCAGUGUCAGGUUUAAUCAGUUGAGAAUACUCUGAAACAUGCGUACGUGAUCUGGUUGGUGGAUGCUUUACUUUUACAAGCGUAGUUUCUGUUGGUGCUAGGUGACAUGUGUGCUACACGUCUUCUGUGGUUAGGCUACCAAAUGUACUACCGCAAAGUGACACCGUGCAUGUGAAGAACAGCAGAUAGCUGAGAUACAGAGAGCAAUGUGAAAACCAAGCUGACGAAACGAUUGGUUUUGGUAGUUCCAGAUAGGGUUGACAACGACGACGGCACUAGAAUAAGGUAGGAAUGAACUUGCAACGUAUGCAGUCACAGUACGUAGCAGGACAUGAACCAGAAAAGGAGUUAAUAGCUAGCUUAUCUCUCUGACUGAGAUGCCAUUUACUCGAAUGGUCAAGUACACAGAGUCCUUGCAGAUCAUCUGACAAUAAAACGGAGUGGCAGUUCAGCUGCUUCGAGUACGUGGUAGUAGGUUCUGGUCGUUUUCGUCAUCCUUUUUAGAAGCUUGUUUCAGAUGCCUGCGAUAUCGAGUUGCUGAAGUCCAACUGAUGACCCGGUUGACGAUCUCUGCUACAAAUUAAAAGAGGUGAUGGAGCACGCUUUCGCGUAGCAGCGUUCAGGCGUUAGGUCACCGGUGCAGUACGGUGUGAAUGGAGAUGUAUAGCUGGGCUCGUCCUUCUUAAGGCUCAGGAAGCCAGGAACACCGGCCGACACGUCGUCAAGAAGGACCAGUGUGAGGAGAUAUGUCAGCUGACAUGAUGAUAUAUCGGCACAGGAGAGUUGUUGGGAUGCGAAAUCAGAGCAGAAAAUGAUCGCAUGUCUAACAGUGUUGAAUUUGCUGCAGACACACUUGCUUCCGUUGCUUGCAUGUUGAGUUAAUUGUGGUUGAUAGGCCAUCGGCAUGGCCGUCUUGGAAAAUAGGAGCACGUAGCGCACAACCGUGAACCGCCCUGCCAAAUGUCACUUCACUACGGCUCCGAAAGAAAGGAAACCACAGCCAGUGGGAAAAAAAUACAGCUGGGGCGACUUGGACUCAACUCACACCCCACCUACUACUCCUGGUCCGUGCAUCACCAGAGACGUACACCGCCGACCACCGAUCGACGCUCCUGCUGUACUCGCUCGCACGGACAAUUUGGAAAGUGGGAUCGAUCGAGCCUCUCGGCCUCUCUGGUGUGAGUCCGUUGAUUUUUAUUGACUUGGCCAUUGGGCCUUCGCGCUUCACCUAUGGGCUACGACUGCCGAGCGCUUGGCAUGGCCCAAGAAAAACAAUACCACACAGCAGACACAGGGUCAUCUUUCUUCUCACGCUUGUCGUUUUGCUCAUCGUCCAUGGCGCCCGACGCCGUGCUCGGCAGAAAAACGGAUGGGUAGAGGCAAGGACCAGUGUCCAGAGGUGUAAGAGGGGUAGUGGGCUAGCACACCAGUAGCUGGGGCGGCCGCCCCACCGUAGCUCCGCCCCUGACUACAGCUAGUUACCAGUAGUUAAUAAUCAGAUGUGCUACAAAAUCUUUAGAUAAUCUCUCUGUUUUUACAAAGUGCUCAUGUAUAUGUCACAUUUUGUAAUUCUUGACCAUCGAUUAGUGUCCCAUUAUAUUAUUUUGGUGACAUAAAUUGGUUGAGAGUGUUAUAUUCAUAUUUGAUGACACUUCUCAUACUAAAUGAGUUCUCAAAAAUAUCAUCACAAAGAACAUGAGUUGAAAGAAUGCCAUCCCAAUGCGUCUUUUUCAGUUGCAAAACACCAUUCUGUCAUGUUUUCCAUCACCAACAAACAUUAGAGAACUAUUUGGAUGGAGAAGCUUUUAGAAUAUCAAUACUACCCUAAUUUUCAUCUUGUUCCUCUUUGCAUUGCGGUUUUAUUUUACUAGUUUUGCCAAAAAAAUAGAAAUUCUACAAAACUUGGGUCUUUUAAAAUCUUUUUAGAUGGAUUAAAAUAAUUAAAUUUUCUUAGGUGAGGUUAGCACCUCUAAAACAAAAUAAUCUUUUUUUUAAUAAUUUUGGAAACUUCUAACAUAUUUAUAUAAGGCUUGAAAUCACUUCAAACUGCUGUUAGAUACCUCCUAAAUAAAGAUAAAAGUAGUGGCAGUCCACAUGCAAAGAUAGAAAGGAGGAAUACGGGUAGCCAUGUGUAUGGUAUUUGCAACUCAAGACACUUUGUGAUGUCAUUCUUCAACUUAUGUUAUUUGUUAUGAUAUUUUCCAACUCCAUAGCUCUUUUAUGAUGGUACUCAGAAUAUUAAUCCAUAGACAGAUUGUAUCAUAUAACGGACUAAUAACCAAAGCUCAAUCCUGAAGAACUAGAACUUCAGUUCGUACCAUGUCAUAUAUUUAUCCAAUCAAAUUAAAGGAUCGAUUUAUUUGGAAUGCUGAUCGUUAAAUUUAUACUGAGACAACUAACAAUAACUGGAACUGAAAUGACGAGUCGGCAAAGAUCUAUAGUGACUCAUGGUUGGUUGAUAAUUGGUAUAGCGGCUUUUACCAACUCCAACAUAGUUGGUGAUAUGAGGCUGUGGUAUUGUGGAUUCGGUGAGAGCGUGCAUUGAAUGAUAUUAAUGUAUAUUUCCCAAUGAAUUGAUCUGUUUUGGAGAGAUUGGUGUUAAUUUAGCUAUAGAGUAAUUAAAGAGGACAAAAAAAAAGAUGGGUAAGACCUCAAACCAUUACAUUUUAGAUGAGAACAAAGUUACUCAAACCUUGCUGAAGCUACAUAACUACCGUAAGAUCUUACAAUAGAGAGUAGUUCAUUAAUUUGAUGGUAUUAAAAAUAAUGGCCACGAAGUAAAUGUCUUAUUCAUGUUUGUCCACAUGUUUCUGCAAUAAUAGCCGCAACAACGGCCAAAUUUCAUGAAUAAAACGAAGAGAGCUUAGGAGGUCUUUUUUUUUCCUAGCAUUCAAUGGACACAUGUAAUGCAUUCGUCCAUGACUUCAAUGAAAUUCUGAAAUCCAUGCAUUUGUUCGGUAAUUCAGGGUCGAACUCGAUAUGAAUGGUUUGACAGAAAUACGUAGAUAUACAAACGAAUCCAUUUAUUUAUACACAUGGAUCUCGGCCAGAACACACAGAGAUCACAGUCACGGCCGGAUUAGAUGGCAUGGCGAUGCACAUACAUCGCUCACGCUCCAAAUCUGAUAUGCUAGCUAUACAAUAUCGUCAAUUACCCAGCACGCAUGCAUGUGUGUCACACGAAUGAGCAAAUUACAAUAGAAAAUAAUGUCUAGAGCGCUGUUUCAAUAAUAUGCGCCCCUAGAGUUAUCAUGGUAGCUCAUCGAUCAUGGCUGUAGCGGGACCACCUCCGGCUUCGUUGGCACUACCUCCGGCUUUGGUGGAAGCUCACCAGCCAGCACCGGAGGUGGCAGCUCCGGCUUCGGGAGUUCGGGUUGGGGCAGGGGCUGUGGUGGCACCGGCAAUGGCUCCGGCUUCGGCAGGGGUUGUGGUGGCACCGGCAAUGGCUCGGGCUUGGGCAGAGGUUGUGGUGGUACAGGAAGCGGCUCAGGCUUGGGCAGGGGUUGCGGUGGCACCGGCAGUGGCUCCGGCUUCGGCAGGGGCUGUGGUGGCAUCGGCAACGGCUCCGGCUUCGGCAGGGGCUGCGGUGGCAGUGGCAGUGGCUCAGGUUUGGGCAGAGGCUGUGGUGGCACCGGCAGGGGCUCCGGCUUCGGCAGGGGUUGUGGUGGCACCGGCAGUGGCUCGGGUUUAGGUAGGGGCUGCGGUGGCACCGGCAACGGUUCUGGCUUCGGCAGGGGCUGCGGUGGCACCGGCAGUGGCUCCGGCUUCGGCAGGGGCUGUGGUGGCACCGGCAGCGGCUCGGGUUUAGGUAGGGGCUGCGGUGGCACCGGCAGUGGCUCCGGCUUCGGCAGGGGCUGCGGUGGCACCGGCAGCGGCUCGGGUUUGGGCAGGGGCUGCGGUGGCACCGGCAGGGGCUCCGGCUUCGGCAGGGGCUGCGGUGGCACCGGCAGCGGCUCGGGUUUGGGCAGGGGCUGCGGUGGCACCGGCAGCGGCUCAGGGUUUGGCAGGGGCUCAGGAUUCGGUAGGGGCUGUGGUGGCACCGGCAGCGGCUCAGGGUUCGGCAGGGGCUGCGGCGGCACCGGCAAGGGCUCAGGCUUCGGUUCUUCAGGCUUGGGAAGAGGCGGCAGGUCAGGCUUCGGGAGCUCCUGCAUCCGCCGCGCCGCGUUGCUCAUGCCACCGCAUGAGAGCAGCAACGCCAGGACGAGCACGAAGGAGGACAUGGUGUUCGUGGAAGCCAUGGCGCCUUAUCGAUCAACUCUGUGUUCUGGAUGCAGAGAACGGAAGGCGAGCUACGGUAUUUAUAGAAGAACGAGCUCACCGGAGGCGUUCAUGUCGGUGUCUUCCCGCUCACCCGAGCGCGUGCGGUUGGCCGAUGGCCAUAGCCCUGACGUUUCUGCUUCCCAGCUUCAUUUGGCUUCUGUGAUCGAUACGGCUGCUUGGGGGCGAGGACGUAUAAUUCCUGUCCUGUGAUUAAUGGGGGUUGUCGACUGAUCGGGCGAGAGGUCGCCAUAUCGGCGUACGCCGGGUUGCUUGCCGCGCCUGCGCGACGUGAUGAUGAGAGCCGUGGGGCGCCUGCCCGGGUACCCGCCGCCGAACUGAUCGAGCCCCCUCGCCGGAACGGAAAACGACGGCACCGUACGGUGGCGCUGCACAGGUCGCGGUAACAUGUGGUCCGCGAGAGACUCGCGCGGCGUGGGGAGAAGAGUAAAAGGUGGAUCACGCGGCGGCCGCGGUGAGGUAGGCCGUGGCCGUGGGAUUCUGACGCGCGAACGGCGCCGGCCUGAGGCCUUGGGUGCCGCCGGCUGUUGGCCGAGCUCAAGAGUCGUUACCGCGGGGUGAUUUGGAUGGCUCCAUGAUACGAAGUUGUUGCCCGGGGACUCUGGAGUCGGGCGCCGACAUGCUGCGAGGAAGUGUGGAUGGAGCGGUAGUAGUGCCACCGUGCCGGCAAUCGGGAGCUCCUGAUCGAGGGGCCGAUUCGGGAGGGAGUGGGUGCGGAGGGAAUGGGCUUUGGCGUGCGACCAAGAAGAUGAGAACAGAAUUAAAGUUAGAGUGAAGAAAUUUUAUAUAUGGCAGUAAAUAAAAUCGUAUGAGUUGGUUCCAAACAUACUGUAUGAGUGAUUUUGCUUAGUAAAAAGAAAAAAAUUGCUACACUCUUAGUAAACAAAAGAGAGAGAAACAAAACAUCUCUGUCCUCUCUGUUUUUAAGCACAGCUCCAAAACAGCACGUGUGAGGUAGUUAGCCUAGCGGUGGUGAUGAUUAGUGACACGAAACAAUGAAGUGGGGAAUGGUUAGUCAUGGGUGGUGUGGAAGGAAGAGAAAAAAAUAUAUUGAUGUGUUGGUGGAAGCGAAAUGAAUCUAACUAUGAGAGUUGUUGAGGUCACUACAAGACUUUAUAGACUUUUUCAAUAUCUUUUUAUUUUUAAAUGGGCAGUUUGUAGUUCUAAUAUUAAUUAUCUAGCAUAAUUGAUAAUUGUUGGCAAUUUGUUUUUUGAAUGAUGUUAUUGGCAAUUUGUUAAUAUUAUUGAGAAAGAUAAGUAAAUGUACUAAAAAAACUUUGGAUGCUCAAGAAAAUUCUAAAAACUGUUAAAAUUGUUGGUCACUUACUGAAUAACUAUCGUGAAACAUUAAAACUCUUGUAGUGAGACAAAAUGGCGGACAAGGCAUGAGCGAAAGCAUGUGUCGAACAAGAACCCUUAUGAAAUGCUUUAGGAGUGUUCUGCUAAAAUUUAGCACCUGUCACAUCAGUUGUUUGGAUACUAAUUAGGAGUAUUAAACAUAUGCUAAUUACAAAACUAAUUGCACAGAUGGAGUCUAAUUCGCGGGACGAAUCUAUUAAGCCUAAUUAGUUCAUGAUUUGAUAAUGUGGUGCUACAGUAACCAUUUACUAAUGAUGGAUUAAUUAGGCUUAUAGCGGAACAACUUCCUCGCGAAUUAGACUCCAUCUGUGCAAUUAGUUUUGUAAUUAGCUCAUAUUUAAUUUUCUUAAUUAGCAUCCGAACAUUCGAUGUGACACUGCUAAAGUUUAGCACCUGGUAUCCAAACACCUCCUUAGUGUAGUGGCAGAAUAUUGCUUGUGCUUUUGCUCUUAUGAAAUGCUUCUCUCAAUGACUCAAUCGAUCUUACUCUUAUCUCUCCAUAUGACAUGUUUUUCUCUAUCUUAAUAUUAUCUCUUAUUUCUUGCAUUCUUUUGAGCGGCGAUGAUCCUGUUCUACAUAGGCAUAUUAUCGCUUCACGAACAACAAUAUUUUUCCUAGUAUAAUUGAGUAGAAAGUUAAUUCCUAGUAGAAAGCUCUAAGUUCUAAAUUGAGCGUUUGGGAUAAAAAUUUGACUAGUUGUGAGUUUGAAAAAGUUCAAAUUUGCAAGUUGAAAGCAAAAUUUCAGGUUAAUGAUGAAUGGUUGAAAAUUCUGGUUCUAAAGUUCAGCAUAAAUGUUUUAUUGGUGGGUGAACACGUCGAUGAUAGAGCAAUAUAAUGUAUAAAAAUGGAAUAUAGCAAAGAAAUAAUCAUCUGAAAGUAGAGUAGUAUUCCCUCCAUUUCAAAUUAUAGGUCAUUUUAAUUUUUUUAAGAUCAUAAAUAUUAUUAUGCAUUUAGACAUACACUAUAUCUAGAUGAAAAAAAUUAAAACGAACUACAAUUUGAAACGGAGGAAGUAGUACAUUAUAUUUCAUCCGCUAUGUUUGGAUAUUUGGUUGCUAAUCGUAGCAGCUACGCACGCGCAAUUCGCCGUGGCAUGUUCGAUCGAAGCAAUUCCAUCCUUCGAUGCCAGGUUUAAUGAAAAAAAAAUUACUCGGUUCAAAGCCAGAUAGAAAUAAAAUAGUUCCUGGGCCGAGGGCUCGCUGGUGUGAUCGGGCCACCAGGGCAGCUUGUUCAUCUGAGUUCGGCUGAUGGUUUGGUGACAGCAUAGCGCUGUGCGCUUGUUGCUGACAUGCAGUACAGGUUUUGCGUCUCUUACGUGCAGACUGCUUAUGUGACUUCACAGUUUCCAGCAUCGUUAGAUCAGCUGCACAAGAGUAACUUCAAAAGCUCCAAAUUACCCCUAAUACCUUAAUUAGGGAUAAAAAAGAAAAAAUUCGGCCUCCAACAGCUCCCGAAGAAUCACCGUAAAGUUUCGUAGACUCAUAUCCCGCGUACCUCGCUCCGCAUAUUUCCGCGGAUCCCUCACCUCCCCAAUCACCCCCCGAGUUGCUCCUUCACGCGCGAAUGCCUCCGCCCUGCUCGCGAGUACCGCUGCCCAGGCUGCAGCAAGUGCUACGCCGUCCAGACCGGCCUCAAGGGGCACGCCAAGACCUGCGGCACCUGCGAGUACCGUUGCGACUGCGGCACGCUGUGAUUGCUUGCUCGCUCACAUGUCGCUUGCUUGCUUCUUCUUCCUCGUGGCCUGAGCUGCCUCGUGUGGCGGCCGGAGCCGUUGCCACCGUGCGUGGUGGCCUGGUGGUGUGUGCGGGGUUGCAUAUGAGCCACCACCAUCGCUCGUCUCGAUUCGUGCGCGUGGAAUCGUGGGCACGAUGAGAAGGAGCUGCGGUUGAUGAUAAGAAUGGAUGGACUAUUUUUUAUUUUUCUAUUAAUCGUGGGGUCCACACGUGCUGGUGUGAUCAGUUUUGAAGUAUUGAGAAUUUUAUUAUUGGGAUCUGCUGUGGGGUGACAUUAUUUUGGGGAAAGAAACUUUUAGUAGAGUCUCCAAUAGAUAAUUUUGGAAAAGUAUUUUUUGGAAGACUCUUAAAGUUGCUCUAAAUGAACUUCCUUUUAGACUGAGUUUUAAAAAAACAUAGAUACGUAUAUUGUUUGGGCUGAGAUUUGUAUUCAGGUGGCACGCUUUGUGAUUCUUGUGGCUUCUGCACCCCCACGGAAGAGAGCUCAUGUGCAGAUAGUGGUAGUAAAUGGCAUUUAGCAGGCAUCCAGAUGCCUAGGCCGUGGCCGGAGGAGGAGGGUGCCACGACCCGCGCGAGGCGCUGUGGGGCGGCGCGGGAACAGAGUGCACACGCCGGAGCUGCGGCAGCCUGCGCGCCAUGGGGCUUGCCUGACCGCGCAUGGCCGUCAGCAGGGAACGGACCGUCUGGGAGCCGCGGCGAACCUGCUCGGGCGUUGCCUUCGUGUGGGAGAACAUGAACCCGCUCCGCCGCGGCGUCUACCCUAGCUCGCCGCCACCGCCCGGAAGCGGAGAGGCGAUGCCGUCGGGCCCCGCCUCGAGGUGUACCCCAAGCAGCAGCCGACGCCGCCCAUGGCUCAUCCUAGCCGGCGAAGACCAUUUUACGUUGACCCCUGAUUUGGAUCGCGAUUAUUAAUCGCGAUCCGAUGUUUAACACUUUAACCCUUUUAUUUUACAUUUACCACCCUAUUUUGGAUCGCAACUAUUAAUCGCGAUCCGAUAUUUUUCACUUUAACCCCUGUUUUUUACAGAUCAGCCCUGCCCCUCUCUUUCUCCUCCACCGUCGGUGGCCCGUUCGCCGCCGCCCGGAACACCGUCGACCAGUCGUUCAGAACCAGCAGGCGCCGUAGACUUCGCUGGUCUUUCUCUUGCUCGCCCGCCGCCGUCCGUCCGUUCACCUCCUCCCGAGGCGCUCGUCUAGCAGCAGUUCGGAGCUACUACGUCGCCAUGGAUUGGUGUAGGAGGGUUCUCUUCGCCGAUGCGCCGGCAUGGGCGGAUGGUUUGCUCUCUGCCGGUCCGCCCCUCCAGUCUCUCCCGCUGCCCCUUCCUCCUUCCGCCGGCACACGGCGCGCUCGUCGAAUUGCCGUUUGGGAUGGAAGCCGCGAUGCGGAUGCUGGCACCGUCGCUGUUGUCGGAGAAGAAGGACGUCCGUCCGACGACUUGGGCUUGAUGCAACAAGCCGGGUAAAGGCCAGCCCAAAAGACGAGAAGUGGGCUGGCUCCACCAUUUUGGGCCGGAACCGAGCUGUUCCGGCCUUCCGGGCCCAAUAUACAGUGUUGGACAUUUGUAGACUUUUGCAUCUUCUCUCACUUGAAAAACAUAUAUUGCUUCCUUUAAAAAAAAUAUAUAUUGCUCAAAUUUACCGAAGACGGGAUCGCCGAAACCAUGCGUGAACUGAAUUUGUUGAAGCACACUCGAUGGAAAACGAAGCUGGCACCAAGAACACGAGCAGCACACCAUGCGGUGCAAGGAACGAUGGGACAACACAGGCACACAGCUUACGAGUAGCAAGAACAGCACAGGGCACGAACAGAACUCGUACACACGACACGAUGGAUUAUGCAGCCUGCUUUAUCGCUUUGCGUCAUGGCUUAGCCUCCGGCACCGGAAAGUGGAACUCGGGAACGGUGGGCAUCUCCGGCUUGGGCGGCAGCUCGACCUCCGGGAACGGCGGCAGGUGCACGUCCGGGAACGUGGGCACCUCCGGCUUGGGCGGCAGCUCGACCUUGGGCAGUGGGGGCAGCUCGUGCUCUGGCACCGGCAGCUCCGGCACGGGCAGGUGCGGCGGGAACUCCGGCUCCUCCUCCUUGGGCGCCGCCGCUUCCUCCAGCGUCCGCGCCGCGCUGCUCAUCUGGGCGGCGCACGAGAGCAGCAGCGCUAGGAGGAGCGCAAGGGAGGGCACGGAAGUUCGCGACGCCAUCUUGGACCGGACGGCUCGUACGAUCUGUGGGUUCGAGCUUGGGUGCGCGUUAGAACGCAGGUGCUCGAUCUGUGUGAUGGACGAGGCCUAGAGUGAUGGUGCAUUGGUACUUAUACCGUGUCGUCGUGUUUCAGCUAGCUGCCCAGCGCGCUAGCUCGAGGACUUUGGUUGUUCACCUGCCGGAGCUGCUACACAUCAGGUCGUGCCUGGUUCUGGUGUCCGAGAUCCCUGUGUGCUGAACUGCCGGCGACGGUGCCUGAUGACUCUGCACGCCGGACAACUUGGUUGAGAAAAGAGUGUCAGUGCACGGUGGAUGGAUGUCGUGUGCAGGACAGGGGUACGCGCACGGAGUAGUCUAGCGGAUCCCUGCAUCGUUUGGCAUCGGCGUCGUGGAGACCAUUCGCUGCGACUCCAACGGACGAUGAGACGACAGCCCGCGCGUACUCCCUGGCCGCGGAAUCGGCAUUCAGAUGAUUUUGCCGGGUUUGUGAUCGGGCAGGGAGCAUCCGGAUGCGUAGCCGCAGCCGGAGGAUGAUGAGACUGAUACGACGCGCGCGAGGCGCUCAGCGGCGGCGGGCGAGCAGGCGUCGUGUGCGCGGGAGCUGCAGCGGCCGCCGCCCGGCGGUGGACGCAGCCUCCGCACACCGCCGAUCGGGCUUGACCGCGCAUGCCAGUGGAGAGGCGAGCCGUCGGGCCCCGCUUCGAGGCGCACGCCAAGCAGCCGCCGCCGCCCAGCCUAGCCGGCGAAGCCCCUUUACAUUUACCCCCCUAAUUUUAGAUCGCGAUUAUAUUAAUCGCGAUCCGAUAUUUUACACUUUAACAUUAUUAUUUUACAAUUAGCUUCCUAUUUUGGAUCGCGACUAUUAAUUACGAUCCAAUGUUUUGCACUUUGACCCCUGUUUUUACAGAUCGGCCCUGCCCGUCUUUCUCCUCCGCCGUCGGCGGUCCGUUCGCCGCCGCCCGGGACACCGUCGAGCAGCCGUUCAGAACCAGCAAGUGCCCGUAGCCUUCGCUUGGCGGCGGAGGAUACGUUUUCGUUGUUCAUUCAUGGGCGGAUGGAUUUGAUUUUGGUCUCUCCCCUGUUCCUUUCCUCCUCCCACCACGACCAUCCUUCCGCCGGCACUUGGUGCUCUCGUCGAGGUUCGAGGCUGCGAGCACACCCCUUCACCGUUGCCUGUGAAGAAGGACUUCCAGCUUGGCCUUAUGCAAUGAGCAAGGUAAGCGCGAGGCUGCAAUAGCUCAGGGGUUCGUGUUGCUGCUGUCUGACUGUCUCGGCUCAAACCUGAGCUUUUCCACGGCAACUGAGCUCGUCUGUCGCUUUCAGAGCGGCCCGACGGCAUGAUCACCUAUGAAUCUUUGCAGAUUGCCCAGAUUGCAGAAAAAAAUUGGUCAUCGGAAAAACAUUGAUAUAUCCAUCUUAUUGUUGUUGAUAAACACACAAGCACUCUCAUCAUGCAUCAAGUACAUGGACCAGGGGUCCAGGGGACAUCACAAGUACACACGAUGACACAAACAGAAUCCAUACACGCACAUGACCGAUACGCAACCCGAUCGUGCAAUCAUGGCUUAGCAUCUGGCUCUGGGAAGUGGAACUCGGGAACGCCGGGGGUCUCGGGCUUAGGCGGCAGCUUCACCUCUGGCAGCUCGGGCUUUGGCGGCAGGUCGACCUCAGGGAACGGCGGCAGGUGGACCUCCGGGAACGGAGGCAGCUCGUGUUCUGGAACCAGCAGCUCCGGCACGGGCAGGUGCGGCGGGAGCUCCGGCUCCUCCUUAUUAGGCGCCUCCUCCUCCAGCCUCGGCGCCGCGCUGCUCAUCAUGAUGGCGCACGAGAGCAGCAGCGCGACGAGGAGGAGGGCAGGAGAGGACACGGCGGUUCUCGAUGCCAUAUUGGACCGGACGGCUCGAACGAUCUGUGAGUUAGAACCCCGGAAGCGUUGGAACGCACGUGCUCUGUGGAGUCGGAUCGGAGGAGGCUUAGGCGAUGCAGUACUUACAGGCCAUCGGCUGCAGGCGUGUUGUGCGUGUCGCAGGCUAGCUGCCCGGUGCUCAAAGACUUUGGUUGGUCACCAGCAGGGCCUGUGCACGGUUGGUGCCUUGUUUUGGUGCUGGAAUAUCUGAUCCCUGUGUGCUGAACUGCUGAUGCCUGAUGAGUCUGCUUGCCGGACACUUUUUUUUUAGGUGUAACGGGGGGAGAGAAUCACCACCUUUUCAUUUCAUGGAGCUUAUUGUAAGCUCAGUAAACCAGGAGGGUUCAGCAAUUUUACAAACCAUGGGGCGGGAGAUAAGAGAAAGUAAUUGUUACAUAUUGAAACAAAACGUUUGACACCAGGCUUCAGUCACCAUUUGCUCGUCGCGAGGUAAUCUGCAUCGCCACAGACGUGCUUCUUCCUUGCAGGCCAUCAUCAAGCGUGGGAGGGAGGCGUCCUGUCCUCGGAACACCACAUCGUGUCGGUGCUUCCACAGCUGCCAGGCGCACAGGAGGAUGUAUGUGGUGAAGGACGACGCAGGCAGCUGCGCCGGCCUGGAGAUCUCCCAAAGGGUCGCCACUGUCAGUUCCGGCGGGAUCACCACGCCGACUGCAGCCUAGAAUUGAGUCGCAAAGGGGCAGCGCAGUGCCAUAUGAUCAGGAGACUCAGCGCCAGAAUUGCAAACUUCACAGCGAUCCUUGUCGACGACUUUUUUCAGCAGCAGGUUGGUCUUGCACUGGAUCCUACCUUGCACCAGGAGCCACCCGAAGAAGCGCACUUUUGGGGGCGCUCUGUUGAUCCAGAUGAAUUUGUAGAAGGACUCACUCCUUCUGAUCGCGCAACCAUGGUUGCUCUGUACAGAGGGCCCGCCCGGAGCACACCAUCCGGAGCUGCAAGUGGGCAGCUUCUUAUGUCAGCGUCGCCUGAGAGUUCGAUCGGCUGCAGCAGUUCCUCCAAGGCUGCAAGUUCAGCUGCCGCUACUCUUGUCAGGCGUGGUACGAGGUGGUCCCUCAGUGGCGCGCCGAGGACAGCUGCUACGACGGCAUCUGGCGCCGUGGAGUGGGUGUAGAGUAGUGCUGGCAUUGCCUCACUGAGGCGGCCAACCGGCAGCCGAUUGUCGUGCCAGAAGGAUGUUGCGGUGCCACUGCCGACCGAGGAGGAGGAGAUGGCCCUGUACACAGGUAGGAGUUCCUUGAGAUCCCCGAGCACCUCACCUUGUAGUGUAGCCAGAUUCACUUGUGCAUUGAUCCAAUUGGCCCAGGAGGAGUCAUUUGGCCGGUGUAGCAAUUUUAGUAGGAGACAUUGGUUCAGAAGCUGUAGGUCCUUAACACCGAGGCCGCCCUGUUCCUUCGGUAGAACGACUCGUUCCCAAGCAACAAGACAUUGGGCUCCGGAGGUAGUAGCUUCACCAGACCACAGGAAAGCGCGCCGGCGCUGGUUGAGCUUGUCAAUCACACCUUGCGGGAGCUGCAUCGCGGACAUGAUGUAUAUCAGUGCACUAUCUAGUACCGAGUUCAGCAGAACGGUACGCCCCAUGGCGUUCAGGAGAGAGGCUUGCCAUCCACUUAAGUAUUUAUCAGUCUUGGAGAUCAGUGGGGAGAAGGCAUUCAGGUUCAGCUUGACGUUGGACAGUGGCAUGCCAAGAUUCGUUUGUGGGAAUUGCUCUUGCUUGCAACCGAGCACAUUCAUUAGUUCAGGUAGAUCUUCGGCAGGGACAUUCAUCGGCACAACUGUGCUCUUAUGAAAGUUUAUCUUUAGGCCAGUGGCUUCAGCAAAUUGGUCCAGCAGGUGUUUGAGACGGGUGGCACUUGUUAACUCAGCCUUGAGCACAAUCAAAGUAUCAUCCGCGUAUUGUAUGACCGGACACGGCGUGUUGCUGGCUGCUGGAUGGAGAACGCCCUUGUCCCAUUGGAUCAGCCUCUGCAAAACAUCUGCCACGAGGAGGAAGAGGUACGGAGACAGCGGGUCCCCUUGGCGCAAUCCUCGCUUGCAGGUGAACCAUCUCCCGGGGCAUCCGUUGAGGAGGAUCGCCGACUUGGAUGUGCGAAGGAUGUUGUCGAUCCAAGAACACCACCUAACAGGGAAACCUCUAGCUGCCAGAAUGCUGAGCAGGCUGCCCCAAUUAACAGAAUCGAAAGCCUUGGCGAAAUCUAGCUUGAGCACUAGUGUUGGCAGCUUUCUCUUAUGGCAGCACUGCACUAACUCCAUGGCAUAGAUGAAGUUCUCUGAAAUCGAUCGUCCUCGGAUGAAGCCUGUUUGAUCUGUGUCAAUGAGCUUGGUGAUUUCUCGCUGUAGAAUUGGAUGUGAGAAUUUUGAGGGGGCAAUUCUGCAGGCAGAUGGGCCGGAAUGCAUCUGGCGUGGUGACUCCGGGCUUUUUCGGAAGCAGUAUGACAUAUGCUCUAUUGAGGCGUUCCAGAUCGACAGUUCCAUUCUCAAAUGCUGUCAAGAAAUCCAUGACCUUUUCCUCAGAGAAGCUCCAGGUGGCCUCAUAGAAGCUGGGACCAAAGCCGUCAGGGCCCGGAGCGCUGUAUUUGUUCAUUUGCUUGACCGCCGCCCUGCCUUCCUGCCGGACAAUUUGGUCGAGGAAAGACGAAAGAGUCACAGUUGCCUAGUGUCCGGUGAGCGCACGGUGGAUGUCUUGUGCCGGGCAGGUACGAGCACGGAGCGCGUACGGCUGUUAGGCCACCAGUUGGGAGGAAACGGCAUGUCUGCAAGAGCACCAACCCUGUACUGCACGGGCAGGGAGUUCAGAAUCCGUGCCAGAAAACGGUAGGCGCAGACAGUGUUUCAUGUUCAGUGUGGUGAUGGAUCAAUGAUCAAUCGAUCACGUUAUGGAUUCAAUAUCACACUACCGCAUCGUCCACGUUCUCUGAUAUGACGAUCAAGAAAGGUUGUAAGAUUACUGAACUCUGCUCAAAAAGAAAAGGAAAAAGGAUUACUGCACUGCAUAGGUUCGUAAUAAUUAAAUUCCUUGCCAAAUUAAACAUGAACCCCGUUGAACACGAUCGAGUCCAACCGACCCAGUCCCCUUCGAUUACGCACCGGCACCCACGCAUCUGCAUGUACCAAUCGGACUACACAUUGAUCCAAGGCCCUCAGGAGUCAGGAACUCAGGACCUGCACUGCACCCGCCCAAGGUUUAACCUACCGGCCGGCGAUGGCGGCGGCGCCGCUUGUGCGGGACAAGGACCGAGCAACAACGCUCGCUGAUCCCCUCGAUCUCGAAAACGACGGCUCCGGCGCGCUGCCCGCAGACGUGCUGUACGAGAUCCUCCUCCGCAUCCCAGCCAAGGCGCUGUGCCGCCUCCGCCUCGCCUGCCGGUCAUGGCGGUCGCUCACCUCCGAUCCACGCUUUGCCACUUUGCCAGGGCCCACUCAUCCCGCUACCCCAUGAUCGCCGGCCUCCGUGACAAUGGUAUUCAGAGUAGGAUCCAAAUAGUCGACGUGCGCUCCGGCAACAUCGGCAAGAGGACAUACAACCUCGGGCUUGAGCAUCUUGCCCCAUGGCAGCAUGGACGCUUCUUCAUCAGCGUGUACACACGGGCACGUCCCCUCCACGGGGGAGUACAAGGUGCUUCAUGUCGGUGCUUCCAUCCCUCCCGCAAAUCGCCAGCCGUGUCAAGUCAUAACACUUGUUGGCUCCCAGAGGUGGAAGACGAGGCCAGAUCCUUCCCUUCCUGUAUCAAUUUAUGGGCAUACGGCCGUCGCCGGAGUCGUAUACUUCUUGUUGGACGACUUCUCUAUCCGCGACUUUCCCGACGCCAAGCAUGACGACAUAGUCGCGUUCGACCUGGCGACCGAGGAGUACGUGGAGGUCAGCGGCUAUUCGGGGUCCAUUCAGCGCCCGUCUCGUUGAUGCCAAUGGAAAAAUUGCAUAUGAUCCUCCAAUAGACUACCUCCGAUUAGCCAAGUUGAACAACUGUUUGGUCACAAUCCAUUAUAGCAGGCAAUAUCGCUCAAUGGAUUUCUGGUUCCUGGUUCACAUGGAUAAGGGGGCACUGGACCAAACGAUACACCAUACCAUGCCCACCACACUUGAAUAGUCCUUAUUCAUAUCCACUGGUUAUCUUAGAUGAUGGGAGGAUAGUACUAUAUUUUAGAGUGUCGCGGGUCUUACGAGCAUAUGAUCCGAGACUAGGUACAUGGACGGAUCUGACUAUACGGAAAGAUUAUUUUGCAGUGAGCUUAUACGAAGGAACCUAACUGCAGUACUCAAGUAUAUGCUCGAGUACCCAAAUAGCAGUCAUUCUGACUUCGCAAAAUAAAAACCUGUCAUUCUGGCAUAACUAUUGUAUUAUCCCAGAAUCAUGAGUUAUAAGUUAGUUGAUUGCUGGGCUGGUCGCUACUGUUUUAUGCUGUGAAUGUGAUUAACGUUAUUUGUGUGAAGUUUGUUUCCUUCAGAGUAACUUGUACUAUGUGCCUAUGUGUAGUGUGUGUUGUUAUAUUGAAUUCCUAAUGUGUUUGAUACAUAAUAACCAAGCUAAAGGAAGGGGGCCACAUGACCAACUCCCACAUCCAGGAUUGAGACAUGGCUACCUUCCAAUUUUUCAGUAUAGCUCAAAUUGGUUUUGAUUAUUAUUUUCUUAGAGAAAAAGAACAGGCAAGAGAGCAGCCUAAUGUAUUAGUACUGAUGAAAAGAAGUUUAGCCUGCUUGUUUCUGAGCUCACUGUCUCAUACUGAGUUGGUGCUCCGUAGACAUGCCGCAUCCAGUAUCCUAUUAACCGGUGGCCUAACAUCAGUUUUCUCAACCAGAUCGUCCGGCUAAUAACCAGGUACCAACUUUGUAGAAACCCGCAGGCUGCAGAUGACCAACCAGUGGCCAGUCCGGCAGCUAGCUGCGAGCUAUAAGUACAGCAUACAUGGCUCCUCACAUCCUCCAUCCCCAACAGGCCUCAGAAGUCAGAACACCUGUUUACGUAGUAGCUCAAACUUCUAGUCUCUGGUCACACAUCCAGUAUGGCCUCGAGAACCUCCGUGCCCUCCCUUGCGCUCCUCCUCGCGCUGCUGCUCUCGUGCGCCGUCAUGAUGAGCAGCGCGGCGCGGAAGCUGGAGGAAGAAGCGGCGCCCAAGGAGGAGGAACCGGAGUUGCCGCCGCACCUGCCGGUGCCGGAGUUGCCGGUGCCAGAGCACGAGCUGCCCCCGCUGCCCAAGGUCGAGCUGCCUCCGUUCCCGGAGGUGCACCUGCCGCCGAAGCCGGAGCUGCCGCCCUUCCCCAAGGUGGAGCUGCCGCCGAAGCCCGAGAUGCCCUCCAUUCCAGAGUUCCACUUCCCACAGCCGGAGGCGGCUAAGCCAUGAGCCCAAGAUGCAUCCUACGGCAUAUAUGCCGCGCUAGCUAUAUACUCCGCUGGUUGUGUUGUUGUCAAGCAUGGACUUGGCACUCGUGAUGUGCCCUUGUACACGGUGUGUUGCAUUGCCUUGUGUUCUCGCGUCAGCUAUUGACUUCUUGCUUUUUUGUGGUUUCAAUCUCUCAUACCAGAGCGCGUGUGUGCAAGAAGUAGGUCACAAAACAAUAUGCCCAAGUGUCCAGAUAAUUGACAUCUGACGUGUGUCAGGCACAUCAUAGCAAUAGAACAAACAUAGAAACUUACAUAUAAUCAACUCCAUACAACUCACUCCCUUCCAAAUUAUAAUUCACUUUAUUUCUUCUAAAAUGUAUCCAACCCUUACAAAGUCUAUAGAAAAAUAAAAUAACUUUUAUAAUAACAAAUAAUUUUAUUAUUAGUCCUAUGGUGGAUUUAAUGAAAUUAGGUCGUUGAUGUUGAUAUUGGUACUUGUUUCUAGAAACUUUGUCAACCUGAAGAUCUGAUCGCAAGAGGCUUCCUUCGUACAUGCUCACGUGAAAAUAACCUUCUAGCAUAGCCAAAUCUUCCCAUGUAUUUAAUAUUGGAUCAUAUACUCUUAGGGCUCGUGCCUUUCUAAACCAUACUACUAUCCUCCGUCAUCUAACACAACCAAUGGAUAUGGAAGAUUAACCCUUCCACCAUCAAAAGCCAAUGGAUUUGGAAGAUUAACUAAAAAGUACUUGGAUAAGGAAGGAUAUUGUAUGGAGUACCGUUUGGUCCAUGACUCCUUGCCCAUCUUAACCUGUAGGAACCAUAAAUCCAUUAAGCAAUGAGGGUUGUCAUGAUGGAUCAUCUCCAAGCAUCUAUUCACAUUGGCUAACUGGAGGUAGCCCCUUCGAUGACUGUAAAUGAGCUUGGCAACACGGAGAUGGGUGCUCAAGGGACCCCGAAUAGUCGUCGGCCUCCAGGCCUCGGUUGACAGGUCGAAAGAAACUACACUGUCUGACUUGAUGCCGCUAGGAAGGUUUUUCAUAGAGAAGUUACGCAGCAAGAAGUAAAUGACUCCAUCGAUGACUGUUGUGUGCCGGGAAUCUGCUAGUGAUACACAGACGGAAGGAUGUGGGCUCGUCUCCUUCCACCUUUGGCCACCACCGUUGUCGAUGACAAGUGUUAUGACCACACACCGUUGGUAAUUUGUAAGAAUGAUGUCCCAGCCGUUGCGGAGCACGACAUUGCCAACGCGGAGCAACUUGUGUUCCCCCGUGGAGGGGACGUGCCCAAGUAUGCACGCUGAUAGGUCAGAUUCCAUGCCUCCAUCCGAGAAGACGGUGGUUACACCGGUGAUCGGGUCUAGUACACGGGCUUGUGACUUGAGCAAGUUAGGAGUAGCUGCCGAGAAGCAAACCAGAUCACCUUGUGUGCUGAAACUCAACUCGUGCGGAGAAAUAAGCCCAACAAGGCCCUCCAUCCUCCUGGCGAUGCUGCCUGUGUGCACGUCGACGACGUGGAUCUCAUGGUCAAAAUGGCGGAGGCCGGUGAUCAGUGGGUGGCGGGACGAGUGGGCUCUGAUGACGCGGGGGUCGGAGGUGAGGGAGCGCCACGGCAGACGAGGCGGAGGCGGCAGAGGUCCUUGGCCGGGACGCGGAGCAGGAUCUCGUAGAUCGCGUCCGCGGGCAGCUCGACGUUGUCAGCGACCAUUGAGGCUCGGUCGUCGCGUCCCAGCGCUGAACCCAUCGUCGGCCCAACUUUGGCGGGUGCAGUGCAGAUUGACGUUUAAUUUCCAGGGCGGUGGAUCGAUGCGUCGGCGGACUCAUAUACGCAGAUGCAGGAGGGAGGGCGCCGGUUCGUCACUGAAAUGGAAUAGUAGAUCAGACUAUCGAGUUGAAGGGGGCUCGUAUUCGGAAAGGCACUAGCCAAUAAAACCCCAACCCCCCGCGGCAAGAACCCCCAAGAGCCACGCUACCCCACGCGCCGAAGCAGCUGCUGCAGGGCUUGCCAACGCCGCCGCAACAUCCGCAAGCGUAGUCCGCGUCCAUGGCGAAGGGCAAGUUCAAGCACAAGCCCACGGGGGAGCGCACCUUCUCCUCCCCGGAGGAGAUCGCGGCUGGUAGUUCAGCAGACCGUCCAAGAACCUUCAAGAAGCAAGCUGAAAAGGAUGUCUCUGAUACAAGGGGACAACCAGAAGAGAAAGAAGAAUCUGAAGGUUUGCAAAACCCAAACACAAGGGUACGGAAGGCCUUAUCGAGAUUGAGAAUCCAAACCUGGUGAAACCAAAGAAUAUUAAAGCCAAGGAUAUCGAUAUUGGCAAGACAACCAACAUCUCCAGGCGUGAAAGGGAGGAGCUUGAGAAGCAGAAAUCUCAUGACCGUUACAUGAAGCUUCAGGAGCAAGGAAAAACAGAACAGGCUAGGAAAGAUUUAGAUCGCCUUGCUUUGAUUCGACAACAGAAAGCAGAAGCUGCAGAGGAAAAAGCUGCCAAAAAAGAGAGGAAGGCUGAAGCGCGCAAGUGACCUGCCAAAGUAUGGACAGCAUACGGUUUUAUGGGAGCUGUCGUAGCUGAAUGUCGUAGCUGUCGUAGCGCUCCUCCUCGCGCUGCUCCUCUCGUGCGCCGUCAUGAUGACCAGCGCGGCACGGAAGCUGGAGGAGGCGACGCCCAAGGAGGAGGAGCCGGAGUUCCCGCCGCACCUGCCCGUGCCUGAGCUGCCCCCGCUGCCCAAGGUCGAGCUGCCUCCGUUCCCGGAGGUCCACCUGCCACCGAAACCGGAGCUGCCGCCCUUCCCCAAGGUGGAGCUGCCGCCGAAGCCCGAGAUGCCGGUCGUUCCCGAUCGAGUUCCACUUCCCAGAGCCGGAGGCGGCUAAGCCAUGAUGCACGAUCAGGGCUGCAUCCUACGGCAUGUACGCCGCACUAGCUACUCCACCCAUCCGUGGUGUACAUGUCCCAGCGUACUUGAACUGCUUCCGUGUGUUUCCUCCUUGUUCUUGCAUCGGUUCUUGUUUCCUUGUUGUUUUCCAAUGCUCAGAUUGCGUGUGCCAAAUUACUGUGGGGUACGAGGCUGUCUUACGACUCGCCAUGAUGUACAAACAAUAAACUCUGCCAAGUUCAGUUUACGUCAUUGCUUAUGUGCAGCUAGUCUUUUAGUAUUGUCAAUUUAGGAGUCCUUAAGAUUUUCUCUGUGCGAAUUGAAUUCCCUGCGAGAUGCUUCGCACUGGUCUGGUCCCUUCAAAAACAACGCGAGGGUCUAUGAAACCAUCUACACUGUCCUGUUUUACAAAUCAAAACAGCACGAGAAUAAACUAACGAUUGAGUGCAAGAACUUCUUUUGGAAAUACUUCACAUUGCGACAAAUGAGAUAGGAUAAACCUUAUCUUCGUUUAUACAGUACUCCAUACAUAUAUCACACGCCUACAAAAUAAAUAAUUUGAAUUACUAAGUAUCUAGAUAGUUGACAUCACCACUACCAUGUUUGACGUGUGUCUCGUCAUAGUAAUAGAACAAAUAUAGCAAAUUACACAUAACCAACUAACUCCAUACUGCUCCAACAGUACCGAAGUAUAUCUCACUUUAACUUUGUCAUAAUCCGAAUUAUAGUAACAUAUAAUUUUUUUAAAAGGAGAAGUAUCAUUUUGGGUCAAAGAAUAUAUUGCUCUAGCAUGGCCCCAAAGUAUGCAAAGAAAUAAGGAUUCACAAUCAAUUAGGUGCAUAUAUGCUUGAGGAAGCUCAAGGGUCAACCUGAAGACCUGAUCGCAAGAGACUUCCUUCGUACAUGCUCACGGGAACAUAAUCUUCCAGCACGCCCAAAUCUUCCCAUGUACUUAGUAUUGGAUUAUAUGAUCUUAAAGCCCGUGCCUUUCCAAACCACACUACCAUUCUCCCAUCAUCUAACACAACCAAUGGAUAUGGAAAAUUAAAUAAAAGGCAAUUCGACAGGGAAGUAGUGUAUUGUACGGUGUAUUGUUUGGUCCAAGACUCCUUGUUGAUCUUUUCCUGCAGGAACCAUAAAUCCAUUGAGCAAUAUUGGUCCGCGUGAUGGAUCAUGACCAAGCAACCAUUCAACUUGGCUAACUGGAUGUUGCCCAACAAUCGGUGACUGUAAAUGAGCAUGGCGUCAAGAUGGCUCAAGGGACCCUACAUUGGCGCCCACUCCUCGGUCGCUAGGUCGAACGAAGCUAUACUGCCAUGCUCGUCGUCAGGAAAGUCAUCGAUGGAGAAGCCAUCCAACAAGAAGUAAACGACUCCGUCGACGACUGCUAUCUUCCAGAAAUCCAGUGACACGCAAACGGGAGAAUGUGGCCUCGCCCUCCAGCUUUGGUCUCCACCGUUGCCGGCGAUGAGAGUUUUGACCUCACACUACUGGGGAUUUGUAGCAAAGACUUUGCCGACGCGGAUGUCAGCACCGAAGAGGAAGCAAGUGGGCCGCGAGCUAUGCCGAGAACCAGGAGGCCCAACAAGCGAGUCACUGGUAAUGAGUGGAUCAACUAGAGGCCGCUGACCCAUCUGCUUGCUGGGCUUAUCGCUGCUACUUAUGCUAGGGAAAGAUGGGAGAGAAGGGGAUGUAACAGAUUAGUAAACUUGCUCACGCAAGCUCCUUCAUCCUGGAUCUGUUCUUCUUGCCUCUGCUCUGUGCUACCCUUCCUCCAAUUCUAUUCUCCAGACUUGUAUCCUGUCACCGGACGCUAACAGCGGAGCACCUUGUGGUCACCCGUGGAGGGGACGCGUCCGAGUAUGCACGUUGAUAGGCCAGUUUCCAUGCAUCCAUCCGGGCAAGACGGUGGUUACAUCCGUGAUCGGGUUUAGUAUACUGGAUUCUGAAUCGUGCAUACCGGAUCGACGAGUAUUAGAAGUAGCUACUGAGAAGCAGACUAGAUCGCCUUGCGUGCUCAAAUUCACGUCGAGCGGUGUGAUCCCGAGGCCACGUAUCCUCUUGGCGAUGCUGCCGGAGUACACGUCAAUGACAUGGAUCUCAUCCUGGUGGCGGCGGAGGCCGGCGAUCAGGGGGUGGCGGGACGAGUGGGCUCUGGCAAAGCGGGUGUCCGAGGUGAGCGACCGCCAAGACCGGCGGACGAGGCGGAGGCAGCAGAGCUAGAACGCCUUGGCCGGGACGCGGAGCAGGAUUUCGUAGAGCACGUCCGCGGGCAGCUCGACGUUGUUGGCGAGGGCGAGGGGAGGAUCAGCGACCAUUGCGGCUCGGGCUUCGCGUCCCAGCGCCGACCCCAUCAUAUCGCUGGCCGCCCUGGCCGGUAGGUUAAACUUGGCGGGUGCAGAUCGACGUGCACUACAGUUCCAGGGCUGCGGAUCGAUGCGUCAGCCGUUUUUUCAUAUACGCAGAUGCAAGAGUUGGUGCCGGUACGUAUACGUGAUCGAAACGGACUGCUCGAACAGACUCGAACGAGUUGACGGGGAUACGGCAUGUCUACGGAGCACCCACUCAGUACGGAACAGUGAGCUCAGGAUCAAGCAGGCUAAACUUCUUCUCGUCAGUACUAAUAUAAUAGGCUGCUCUCGUGCGGUCUUGCCUGUUUGUUUUUUUUUUCUAUAAAAAAUGAUAAUCAAAGCCAAUUUGAGUUCUACUGAAAAACUCUGUCCUGGAUGCGGGAGAUGGCCAUGGAUCCCUUCCUUAAGCUUGGUUAAUGGUUAUGUAUCAAGCGCAUUAGGAGUUCAAUAUUACAACACACAGUACCCACAUACUAAGUUACUCUGAAGGAAACCAACUGCACACAAAUAACGUUGAUCACAUUCACGGCAUAAAACAGAAGCGACCAGGCGGACCAGCCCAGCAACCAAGUGACUUACAAUUCAUGGUCUUGGGAUAAUACAACAAUUUUGGUGUCAAUUUCACCAAUGAAGUAACAAGCAAAAAGUUGAGAGCAAAAUUAGUGAUCCAUUACUAAGGAUCUUACUUAUGCAUACUCAUGCAUAAGUGGCAUACAUAAAUGGCAAGCCCUGUGCUGUAUCUUCAUCUGACUGAAGGGGCUGCAUAUGUCCCAACCAUAAUUGACAUUGGUUGGCUUUUAGGUAUGGCUUGUCGACCAAUGUUAUCUGUGAAAUUGAACGGCAGUUAGCUAGUAGUUAAGAAGCAUCUAAGUGGUUUCACAAGGGGAAAGCGUAAGUAUACAGCAGGAAAGAAUAAAAUAGAACCAUUUAAAACAAUGUUACUUAAAAAAAGUUCGAACCUGAAUAGCAUGGACUCAAGGGGCACGACAAAAAACUUCAUCACACAAUUUCAAUACCCGAUGCGAUGCAUAACUUGGAAUCAGCUCCACCACUGAUCACACUGUCCCCUUUCCACCAGUCCGCACAUAAAACCUGAAAUAACCAAAGCUAGCACACCUCAUUCUUUUCCCCCUUCCCCUGAAAUAUGGAAAAUGAAACACCGCACAAAAGAAUACCUUGUCUUUGUGUGAGUCCACAGAAGCAAGCGGCCACUACAACAGGAGCAAUAUCAUUAGCCCCAAUUUUAUGCAACAAUUUAAGGCGCAAAUGAGGUAAAUAACGAGAUUAUUAGAAUCAUACUGCUGUUCUUAGAUCCCACAACAUCACUUUCCCAUCAAAAGAAGAUGAUACCAGAUGAAACCAGGAGCUUGGAUGCCAUUUACAGGCAGUGAUCCAGCUUGAGUGAGAGGAGAACUGAAAAACAGGAGCUAAUGAUCCUGUUUUGAAGGGGAAAAACACAUCGGCUAGUUAGAAUAUGGUCUAAGAAAGAUAAAUAAAAGUAUAGUCAUCAAAUAUUUACCAGGUUUGCGAGGGUCCCAUACUCUCAAAAUGGGAUCAGAGCCUCCAGCAGCAAUCAAGGAAGAGCCCUCACCGCCACAGUCCAAGCAAUUCAAGGCCUUCUCAGAAAACUAAGAAAAGGUUCAUGUGAAAAUGUGAAAUAAGACGGAAUCAGUUAUGAAACAGAACACGAUAGUUCAAAUAUUAAUUCACUACAUUUAACAGUCAAGAACUAUGCAGAGACUUCCAUUUUUUGCAGUCUCCUCAGCCAAACUCAGGAGAAGAUCAUCACUAGAAGUGGAGAUGCCAGUGAAUUAGCAUAGAAAAAUAGUUUUCUUCUUAACUGUAUGCUAGCAGAAAAACAGAAUGCUGUUCAUACACCCCCUUUGCAAUACACGGAUGAAUUUAAGUGAGGGAAAAUCAUCAGGACUCAUCUACGGUAACCAAUUAGAGAGUUAACUACAUAUUUAAUAUUUUAGAAUAUAAAGAAAUUGUACAUACCAUAUUCCAUGUUUCUUUCACUGCUUGGACAUCCCACUGCCGAACAGAAUGAUCCCAAGAUGCUGAAUAUAUUGUUUGCUGCUCAGGCCAUGUAACAGCAGUAACACAUUGUGUAUGUCCCAGAAGUGUUGAAAUGGCUGAACCCUGGAUUACAACAGGAACCAAACAUUGAGAUAAGUGGGACUUAUCAUGAAUUUUAAGACUAGAAAAGGGGAAAAAAUCAUACUGAGUGGCAGCCUUCUAUCUCUCACAAAAUCAUGGUAGUAAAUACACAUUAAAUACAUAUACAUGGUUUUGAAAACCAUUAGCCAACCCAAACCCAAUAACUGUAACUUAUUCAUCUAAUCCUAAAGCAGCACCAUGAAGAGAAAUUCUUGUUUUGUGGCUGAGUAACCAUAUACUUUACAGGUCAGCACCUCAAGGGCAAAACAGUAGAUAUCAAAUAAGGUGAUGAAAAUACAUAACUUCCUAACUAAAUCAGUCAAAGGACCAUGAAUUCAGAGUAGAAUGUAGCUAGUACCUCUAACUGAGACUCUUCAGGUCCAGAUGAGUCAGAAUUCGUCCUUCUCUUCUUCAAUGAAACAGCAUCACCGUCUUCUUCAGAUCCUUCAACUGCCCACAACUUGAUGGUGCUAUCCCAGGAACCAGAACAUAGCUAGGUACCCAGAGAAGAGGUCAGAAGGAAACAUGGACACAGUAAGUAAAAAUAGCAACACUUGUGAUUAUUACCAUAUCUCUUGAAGGGUCUACAGCAAUACUUUGAACUGAUGAUGUGUGCCCACGAAGAAUUUUGUAAGCCCCAACCCGCUUUGGGUAGUCCAUACUGACUGAUGUAUCACACUUCAGGAGUCCAAGGCAUAAUGUAGGAUAUAAGAAAAAUAUUACAAUGGAACGAACAAGACUUGGGUUAAAAAGUAAUAAAAAAGUAGCACAUUUACCUUGUAUAGCCGCAAUGAUCUAUCCUUUGAGCCAGUCACUACAUGCAGACUGCUCUCAGUGUCACCUCCUGCAACAACAUAAUUCAUGCCAGUAACUAUAACAUAAUAUGAAAAUGCGACAAUGGAGCAGGAAAUUUUGGAACGGAUGCCCUUGUAACAUAAUGAGCAAAAAGCUGUUAUAUCGAGCAUGCUUACCUUUAUUGAUGAAUCUGGUAGAAGUAAUCGCCUCGCUGUGUCCCUCCAAAAUUUGUGUACAUACUGCUGCAUCUUUCCAUAACCUAUGUAAACAGUGGAAGGAUAAGGUAUGCAACAAGUCCAUAUACUUGCAACAAAUCUACUAGAGUUAAAUAAAAUACUAGAUUUUGAGCUAUAUAUACCUUGCAAGACCAUCAUAGCAUCCUGUUAAUAUGAAACUGCCAAACAACAAGUAAUUUAGUAGUUACACAAACCACAUGAAAUUAAAACUUUAAAUAAGAUGCAAAAUGUUCAUUCUAACAACAGAAAUAAUCAAAUUCGUCACUUUGUAUAGCUUCCUCUGUUUUUAUGUGAUAUUAUAGAGGUGAAGUGUUCUCUUUGAUUAGUACCCCUAGCUUAUAUGGUGUGCGCUAUACUUUACAAACCAAUGUCUAUGUUUUAUGGUCAUCCUGUGAUUUUUAUUUCAGUUGUACUUCUAGUUGUGUCAUCACUAGUUCACUACCCAAGUAGGUGGAAGGAGGAGCAGCGGAACAGCAUAUAACAGCCUAACAGGAACAGGAUGCUGUGCUCAAAACUUAGCUGAAGUGCACCAAUGCCAGCAUAGUUAAAAUAUAUAUCAAGCAACUAUUAACUAAAGUAUCCAGAUAGGUAUUUAAGCAAGCAGAGCCAUCUGAUUCAUUUCCCAAACCAGAUGAAGUAAAACGCUAUACAAUCUGAGUUUCUCCUACAAAACUAAGGCACAUCGAUCAAAUCAAAAAUUUAAACCCAGGUCAUCCACACAAUACACAAGCCGUGCCAAAUAACAGAAAAUAGAAAGCAUUUAUAAUCCAGACAAGUUACUUCCACAGUUAUCAGGCUGCACACAAACAACAAGACAACCCAUACCUUGGGUUUGAUCCAUCGACCGCACUAACCCAGUCAUCAUGGGGGCAGGGUUUGUCCUGCUUCCUUGGUGCCACGGCUUUCACAUACUCGAGCUCAAGCACCCUCUCCUGCAAAACAUUCACACCCAAUCCUCGCACAAUUUACAACCGCAACCUGCCACAGCAACUCCGGAAACAAAUUCAAGCGUAGAACAAAAAUUUCGUACCGCGGUGAUGCCCUUGGCGAGGAGGAACUGCUGGAGCGGCAGCCGCACGAGCUCGCCGUCCACGAGGAAGUCGAAGGGCUGCGCCUUGUGGUCCGGUUCGGCUGCGGGACGGGAGCGAGAAAAAAGGUUAGAAAUCUGCGGCUCGUACAUCUCUACGGAUGGCAGGGACUGGGUCGUGGGGCGCUCACCGGCGGCGAGGAGGCUGUUGACGAUCUCGGAGAGGCCCAUGCGGGAGAGGUCGGCGGGGACGGCGAUGGCGGCGGGCGGCGCACGCAGUGGGGGCGGCAUCUUGGUGACGAAGCGCACGCGCACCUGGCGCGAGGGGUCGGCGUCCAUGGCUGCGGCGGCGGAUAGGAGGAGGGCGAGGAUGUGGUGGUGGUCGGCGACGGCGUGGCGGCGGCGGGAAGGGUUGGGGAAGGGUUUUUGGAGUUCGAACAGGGGUGUUGGGGUUGGGGAAUGGGGAUUGCAACUUUUGGGACAAGCCCCUCAACCUAGUCUUAUUUAUGUUUAAAUCCCGCUAAGGUUGCAAAAUACUAAUGUCUUUGACAGUUGGAGUAUUAAAUAUUCCUUGUUUUUGAAGGUGUAGAUAUAAAAUCUCCCUUUAUUAUUGGAUCAUCAAAACUGGACUUUGGACUUGCGUUUUAGAUUUCUUUUCUCUUAGCCAAAUGACUAGCCCUGACAAUUUAGCCUCUUUGAUUGUUUAGCAAAUGCAAUAAUAUGCAGAUUUUAUGUAUGUGCUCAGCUAAAAAAAACAUGCAUAAGAUGUUGUCACAUGCUCACAAAGUUGUGAUUGCUGAUCGAAAAAAGUCAUUGUACUUUUCAGAAAAAAAUUUGGAUGAUUUAUAUGCAACUUGAAGUUGGCUUAAACUGCCUAAAAGUAACCCAAGUAAAAUAUCUUUUUCCUCUCAGAAAAAAAAAUGCCAGGCAGGCCUCAGAGGAAAAUAAACUCCUUCCGCCGAGCUGCCGAGCCAACCAUUUUCAUCGUCAUGCGGGGCAAAGUAGCAACAUAUAACUUGGCCCAGCCCACCCCGACGGCCCGACCCGACAUCGUUCUGCCAGGCCGAGGGAUUUCGGUCUGAAGAAAAGCACAGAAGUCAUCAUCCUCGGAUGGGUUGUGGUGGAAGGAAAACGGUGAUGCGCAGCAACCGCAAUUCUCAGGAGCAAUCAGCUCCGUCCUAUGCCAUGGCGUACCGCGCUGAUCAAUGCUGUUAGGUACCUGCUACAGCAGACUUGUACGAACCUCGGAGGCGGCUUUCGCUGCCAUGCCGCAUGGUAAUGAGCAGCGAAAGUUUGGUCAGGUAGUCACAGCUCACAGGGCAUGGUGGUGGUGACGGCAGCUCCAGGGCACGGUGGCUGUGAGCCUGUGACUUGCAAGCUCGGUUGCACCUUCACGAAGCUCGCGAGUCGCGAGCGCAGGGUGACGGACCUGGCUUCAGGCGACGAAACCCAGGACGACACCAAGAUUCUAGUCAGCUCCACAGCUGGCUGCACUGCGCCAGGGUGGCGUGGCCUUGUCCUCGACUCUUGUCCGAUCCGGCCGGCUAUCCGGCACGGCGCGCACGGAACUUGACGAUGGUCGCCAUCACCUGGUUGCCGUUGAGUUGAUUGAUUAGCCUAGCUAGUCCUCGAACUCUAGCACUGGCAGCGCCAGUCAGUAGCCGUUCAGGCGUUCAGCAGCCAUAGACAACAGUUCAAAUAUACUAGCAGUACUAUCUCCCCCUCAGCUCCUGCCGCACGUGCACGCUAGGAGCAGACACCUCAGUCACACACACACACAUGGUUGCCCAGUCAUCCCUGCGCGAGUGCAACGGCUCCUGCGCGAUGGGAUCAGUGAACUGGGAUCGCUAGUACCAGCGGCCGCACGAGCAGCCGAGUCGCAUGGCUACUAGGAAAAAUGCCUUGAGCACAUGAUUUUCUUCAGAAAACAAAUGCGCUCGCUCGUCCGGCCGGUGACUGGUGGGCGUCCGGACACGGCGCAAUGAUUCGCAGCCCACUUGACGGCGGAAGCAUAUAUUCCCGUCCAUUCGCGCAGGCCGGCACUGCCACCAACCAGAGAGAGAACCAAUCAGUCAGAGCAUGCACCACGAUUGGAGUUGGGGAAUCUAAUCUGAGCCGCGCUGGGGUCAAAGGCGGUGGGUGAUCAUCGCCGAGCGAGUGAUCUGCCGGCCACGCGCCAACCAAACUGUGCGGGCUCUGGAUCGUCUCAGUGAGCGAGCGAGCGAGCGAGCGAGCGCGCUCUCUGCUGUCUCGCAAAGCAGCAGAAAGGCCCGGGCUCCGGAUCGGAGGCGGGUCCUCGCGCAUGCGUCGCCAGCCUUCACGCGCAAGAGCCAAUCUGGCGGCGCCGUCUUCGUAGUCGUGUAGCUACUCCCGGAGUGUGUGUUCCGGAGAGAGUGCGAACAGCCGACAGCCGGACGGCGUAUGCUUAGCUUUGCUACGUCAGGUAUGCCGUGUACAGAUUGUUGACGCCAGUUCCAGGCCCUUCUCUGCAUUUGGCUGGAGAGUAUCGGGCUGGGGACCUUACAUACAAGUUACAUCUUCUUCUCGCUCUUUUGCGGUUCCUUGCAAAUUGGAGUAUGUGUGCUCCAAACAGAAACCUGCUCGCAACGAGGUAAGCUCGACCACUUCGUUUCUUCGUGCCGGUAAGAAAGAAGAGUUUCUUGUGCCCGAGAGGUUGGCUCGAGCUUUCUUGGUGCCGGCGACGAUUGUGUUGGUGCCAACAUCAACAACAUCGCUCGGUGUAACUGCAACGUUUUUGCAUUUACAGCUUUGCUCCAGACACACUGCAAAGUGGACUGAGAGACCCAUCCAACCGGACGUAGACGGACUGUCCGGUCGUUUUCUCUGACAAGGUGGGCCCCGCCACCACACCCACCAUUCCACCAAAGUAUAAUGAGCCCCAUCAAGGUACAGUAAAAUUCUCGGAGACAGCAAAAAAAUUGCUGAAGCCCCCCUCUGACUGUGCCACCUUUGCUUUUGUAUUGACACCAGUAACCACGCUACACGACGUCUCGACGACUGGUACUGUACCGGAAAAAGGUCACUGCUGUUUUUUCACCUGGGGAGCCGUAAUGACAUGGGAGCGUACCACAUGAAGGUAUUUCCGCUGCAUUUACGCCGAUACCAGACGUGCAGGAAAUGCUUCAGGCCAGCAAGGCAUCGAUCCAUCCAUAGGAUUCUCUCUACUACUACCAAUUUGACGCGGAAUGCAGGGGCUCAGGGACAUUAAAACCAGAUUUAUGAAGCUGAUCGUCCGUGUUCGGUAGAGAGAUAAAACCUGUUCGUCGGAUCCAAAGUCACAAAUCCAUCUCGUAUCAAUGCUAUCAUAGGCAACCCUUUUAAGAUGUUUGGUGAGACCGUCCCAGCUGUGAUCAACAGCAAUACGGUUUCGUCUCGUCAGAACAUCCAGAGAAAUGCGGGCAGCAUGGUGCAUCUGAACUUUGACGAGCAUUUACUAAUUAAACCACGCAUUUUAUUUUUCUGUCUCCAUCACUGACCUAUUCAUUUCAGUCCCGUUAUAAUCUGCAAUUAAUUCCACAAGAAAAACAGUAGGGAAUUGACAGAUGCAAUGCAAUGCAAUGCUGACCUCAAGAACACCAUCCAGAAGGCGCAAAAUGCUAAUACCAGUAUCUAUUUCGAAGAAUAAAAUCCCCAGGAGAAAAGCAUAUAAAAUACCACGUCAGGAAUCAAAACUUUUGCAAAGUUCCACGCACAAAAAGGGUGGUGCCAAGCAUCAGGAGAUGAAAUUCCACACGAAAUAUGCUGGCGAUGGCAUUUUGCAACGGUGCGGUGGGCAGGCAGGAGAGCGGGAACCUGCAAAAGGCCGCAAAGCAGAGGUGGUGGGUGCGAGUGCGAGGCUGCGAGCUCAGUCUCCGAGAGGUCGUAACCGUCGCCGAUGCGCGUAGAAAAGGACGAGGACGCAAAUUAAAAUCGGAAUCAGUAGGCACCCGUGGCAGAUCAAAUACACACCGAAGCAGAAGCACGCGUGCUCCUCCUACUGCCGCGCCCUUGUCCUGAGGUGACCCGCCACUCCGUGCAGCCGUGCUGCACUGCACACGCUCUCACUCUCACUCUGCUCGCAUCUCUUCUCUUCUCCUCCGUGUGAAGGCGAGCUCACACAGGCACAGCCCCCAACUCUCACACUCUCUCCACGAAGCUCUCUCCCAGAGAGCUCUCGUCCUCCCCUAGGCAGCAGCGGCAGUAGUACAACAAGAUCAUGAAGGCCCUGGUGGUGGCGGUGGUGCUUCUUCUCUCGUCCAGUCUCGUCGCGUCACGUGAGCCCCCUUCCCUUUUUUUUUUCCCCUAACCUUUCUCUCCUCUCCUCUUAGAUUUUGUUGGUUUGACUGCCAUAAUGUCUCCGGACGCUUCUUUUCUGUCGUUCUCGCUGGUUAUCUUCGGCCGGAUCAGCUCGAGUUCUUUGUGCUUGUUUUCUGUGUUCUAAAAUGUGUGACCUUCCUCAGUUCUGGACGAAUGAGAAGGUUCCUUGUUUUCAUCUAUUGUUGCUUCUGAAACAAUGAGAAGCUUUAGUUCCUUUGGUUUAGUUCCUUUUUCCUUGUUUCGUGGACGAACCAGACGUUGCUUCUGAGAUGUACUGUUUAUGCCAUGGAAUUCUUUCUAGAUUCCAUUUCCAUAAAAAAAAAUUCCAAGUUGACGGUGGUCAUCCGCUGCAUCAUUUCAGUAUUUAUUCCUCCUGUUUUCAGGAGAUUCGUUCAAGAACAGAGCAGGGGAGAGGGAAAUUUCUUCUCACUUACUCAUGAAUGAAGAUUAGAGCUCCCCCCAAAAGGGCUUCUUUGACACCCUUUUUUCUGCUUUUGUUUAACUGACAUGCAGCACAAAACUUACACGAAAAGCUAAGAUUUCCGUUGCAAAAGUGGCGUGCCCUCUUCCUUUCGUUGUGUGAACUGGCAAACCUCACUCAAAUCUGUUGCCUUUCGUCACAUUCCCCUGGCAUGCUGGCCAUCUGCGCUGAAAUGCCCAAAGCUUUCCUGUAAUCUCUAGUGAUCUUUUUGAUAUUGUUGUGCAGAGUGGUGCGUGUGCAAGCAGGAUGCGCCGCAGGCCUCGAUGCAGAAGACCAUCGACUACGCCUGCGGCUCGGGGGCGGACUGCAACUCCAUCCAUGAGAACGGGGGGUGCUACAACCCCAACACCGUCGCCGCGCACUGCUCCUGGGCGGCCAACAGCUACUACCAGAACAACAAGGCCAAGGGCGCCACCUGCGACUUCACCGGCACCGCCACCCUCACCACCAGUGACCCAAGUAAUGGCAUCUUCAUGAGAUUGGCUGCAAGUUGCAUGCUAGUGGCUAGUCGAAUCAAUACUCACUUUGCUUUGCAGUGCAUGUGCAUCUCGAAAGUUUGUUAGGUUUUCUGAACUUGUGCGCCUGUGCCAUCUGAGCUCAACUUUUUUUUUCCGUGGAAGAUUGUGAAUCUGAUCAUUUUGCUACAUUUCAUUUAGUUAUCAGUUAGUGUUAGCAAAAGCUAUCCUGGUGUAUUGGUCAAGCUUUAGGGAAUCAGGUUCUGUACAGGCACUGGAUUAGGCUAUUGAUGUGGACUCGCUUAACUAAAAUAGUCAAGUAGAAACUUUUCAAUAACUAAAAGAAAAUUUUGCAAAGUUCAAACCUGUUGCAUUGUGCUUUAUAUUGGUUGGUGUGCGCUGAAAGGAAAUGACGAAUUGUCGUGAUAGUGGAAUCAUUAUUCAUGCCAUCUACCAUUGCAUCUCUAAAGUUCGUUAAAGGUUUUAACUUGUGUGCUUGUACCACUUGACAUGGAAGAUUGUGAAUCAGAUCAUUUUGGUACAUUUCAUUUAGUUACUAGCUUAACUAAAAUAGUAAAAUAGAAACUUUGCGAAUAACUACAAGAAAUUUUCAAGAACUUUUUGCAAAGUUCGAAGCUAUUGCAUUGUGCUAUAUUCUUUGGUGUGUGUGCUGGCACGAAUUGGCAUGAAAGUGCAUUCAAUUUUUUUCCUUGUUUUCUGAAGGAAGUAAAUUGUAGUAUGAUGUAGAUUUUUUUUGCGAUGUUAAUUGUUCUAUCAUUCAAAAGACAGAUUCCAGCGUUGUAUAUGAUGUUUAUGUUCUAUUGCUUCCAUAUUCUUCUGGCUGGUGGCAUAUCACUCAAUCAGAAUCUUUGGAAGACCUCAAUCGGAGUCUUGCUUGUAUCUUAUAUGGUCUUUAUGUUCUAUCAAUUUCAGGUUCUUCUGGCUGCUCUUACCCUACAAGUGCAAGGUACAUUGUGAACUUCACUUAAAUUAUUAACUCUGUAGUCUGUACCGUGAUCCAUGAAGUACUACUUCAAAAUUGUAUCAUGUGUGCACUGAAAUUGAAAUGAUGCUCAUGCUACUAGCGAAUUCUGGAAUAAGAAACUGGAAUUUAUACAUCAGAUCAGUUGCACUAGAGGAAUAUUCAACAUGCAUACCUAUGAAUCGCAAUUUGCAAUUGUAUGUUGGGAUAUACGCGCUAUACUUCUUCAUGGCCAUUGUUGUCCUUUUUAUGUUUCUAUAGUCCCAUGCUAGAGAUCCUUUUUUUUACAAUUCUGCAUCAUGAACUUGACUGCAGCAGUGUGUUCAAUUAGCACUAGCAGCAUGAAAGACAUAGCUGGCAGAUGAUUGUAUUAGGAAUUGCAGAACAUUCAGCAUAUACUUGAAUCAAUAUUACUAACAGCAUUGCCUUCCUUAUACAGCGCUGUUGGAACGAUGACCCCGACCACUGGAGGCACAAUGGGCGGUACCCCAGGAACCUUCACGCCCGGUGCCGGCACCACCAGCACAGGCAUGGGAACCGGUACUACUACUGGAACCACUGGCGCUGGGCUCGGUCUAGGACCGGCAGGCACCGGCAUGGACACUGCAGCGGCGAGCUUGCUCCCAAGCGCUGGGGUGGCCGCCGUCCUCACCGUGCUCCUCUCCGCCAUCGCAUUCGCAUGACGUUUGACCCCAAGAGACAAGACCCUACUCCUCCUACCUGCUAGUAGAAAGCACAUCACCCUUUUGGCAAGCUUGCUUCAGGAGUGCUCUGAUGAUCCAUGGAGAAAGGAACAUAACGGAAGCCUAAUGCAUCCUGUCCAAAACUCCACUAGUGCCUGCUUCGUGUCCGGUGCCGAUGGGGGGUGUUCAUGGGUGGGGUGGCGUUCUGUUUUCCUUUGAGACCACACCAUGUUCUUCAGUGUACCCUGUUAUUUGGUAGGAUGGCGGUCUCUGUCGUGCAAGGACGAUUGCCUAUCUUUUUAUUCCGUUGUUAAUCAUGUAAAUGUAGGGAAGCCAGUAGGUUAGAUCAAGGCUGGUUGCAAUGAAAAUGCUGCUGGGACAAUGCCAUGGUGUGCUUUUGAUCAACUUGCAUGUCAUCAGGUCCCUCACACCUGUCGCCCUGUGGGUGGCUCCUGUUCUCGGUGUCCUGCUCCUUCUGGGCCUCGUCAACAUGAAAAAUUGAGACUGAGAUAGAACUCUGUGACCUCCAGAAUAUGUGAUGUUCUCUGUCGAUUCUUGACGCAAAGACUCGCACAGCCCUCCUACCCCGUAUAGUCUUCAAAAGGAAAUCGCGGUACUUCCAUUGUCGAUGCCGUUGAGCCUUGCUAUAAAAAACACGGCGGCAGCGCAAAUUGAUGUUACCGUUAGGUGGCUUGGCGCGUCAGGUUGGUCUGGCUCGAGUGGGGUUCCCCUUGCUCUGUCGCCGCCUUGUUGCCUUGCUUAAAGCACGGAUUCGCGGUGGAUGCUGCCCGUAGGAAGAGGCACACGCUAGUUGCAAGCCGCAGACGACCCCACGGCCGGGACAUGCCGACCGAGCAGUGCUCGCCGUACCAAGGCGUCCCGGAUCCAGCGAAGCCUAACCAGCUGAGCCUGAGCUGCGUGACGAGCUAUGAUGAAUGGCGCAGCGCGGUCAGCCUGCUUCUGCCUGCCCGGUUGUGCAAAGCGACGCACUCGAUCGUGGCCGGGCGUGGCGUACCGGGAGCCGGGACGGAGCGCCGGCUGGAUCCGUGCGGAUGCGCACAUGGUGUCGCGCAGCGCGGCGAGGAGCAUGAUUGGCGCGUACCUGACGGGGGCCAGGCGAGUUACCGCGGGGGGAGGGUAGUAAUGGCGCGCAGGAGCAGGGGCAGGCAAUCAUGCGCGCGGCAUGGGGGCGCUUCUGUGCCUGCCCCGGCGCGAACCGUGGUGUGGCCGUGGGGCAGGGCCGCAGGGUGUCACUAGAAUUUGGAGAUGUCCACACGACCACGCCGGCGUUUUUGGGUGAACGAUGCUGACGCCCGGACCGCGACGGGGGUCUGGUGAGCCGCGGAGAACCCAUACGGAUGCGCGCGGGGCGAUGGCGCGACCGCCGGCCGUGGCCAGGGCGAAGGCGAACUGCUCUGCUCGGCGGCGGCAGCCGCGCGAGCUGCUGUGAUGGCUCUUUGGGACAAGGAGUCGUCAACGGUAAUACACACACACACACACCAAAGGACGUCAUCGUACGACAACAGCUGCAAUCGGACCCCAAUUGCUACGCAUGAUUCGCGCAAGCACGCACACCGUCUAGAGCUCCCCCAGCCUCUUGGCGCACUCGACGCUGGCGUCCAGCGUCUCCUCCACCCCGUACCUGUACCUGAACCCCAGGUCCUCAAGCUUGCUGGUGUCAGCCCGCACCCUCACCCCCUCCCCUGUCACCCUGCACAUAGCAGAGAUCAAGAACGAUCAGCCACUCAUCACACAUUCAAAUUCACCAAAAUUAAUUUAGCACCUAUUUGGAUGCAGGUUUAGCACCUGUCACAUCGGAUGUUUGUAUGCUAAUUAGGAGUAUUAAACAUAGUCUAAUUACAAAACUAAUUGUACAGAUGGAGUCUAAUUCGCGAGACGAAUGCCUAAUUAAUCCAUAUUUUGACAAUGUGGUGCUACAGUAAUCAUUGUCUAAUGAUGGAUUAAUUAGGCUUAAUAGAUUCGUCUCACGAAUUAGCACAUUGUUAUGCAAUUAGUUUUAUAAUUAGCUUAUGUUUAGUCCUCGUAAUUAACAUCCGAACAUUUGAUGUAACACUGAUAAACUUUAGCACCUGGUAUCAAAUACCCCCUAAAGCAAAUCAAGAACGAUCCGGCCAACGCUACGUACUGUUGGAGCUGUAUCCUGAGGUCGGGGUACUUGGCGGCGAAGCGGUCGAGGAUGUCCCGCAUGCUGGGGUACCCGGCAGCGCAGAGGAAGCGGCCGGCCAUGGCCGGCUGGUCCAUGCAGAAGGCGUGCGCCUCGCAGACGUCCUCCACGUGCGCCAGCGGCACAGAGCCCAUCAGCGCCUGCAUGAACAGGAGGGAGUUGUGGUGCACCGGGUGCCCCGUCAGCGGCGCCACGAUCACGGGGAUGGUGCUCCACAGGUCCGGCUGGAUGGUGUCGCCGCCGGUGAGCGCGCACGCCAGCGAGACCACCUCGAACGCCGGCCGGGCCUCGCCGCCGUCGUUGUAGCCCAGCAGCUCCUUCUCCGACAGCGACUUGGACCACACGUAAGCCUGCGUGCAGUGUUUCAUGAGUUGAUAUGACCGGCCGGUCACCAUUGAUGUCGGUUGGACUUGGACCAUGAGCUGAUUUUGAUACUCCUACCGUCUUCCUACGAGGAGUCGAAAGGAAAGCUUACGUACGUCCAAGUGGACGUUGCUGAAUCCGUAGGAGAGGUUGAGCGGCGUCCAGCGCGACUCGUUAAUGGAGUCCUUGUACCCACCACCGUCCUCUCUCAGCGGCGAGGCGGCCGUGACCGAGGCCGUGUGGAUGACGCGCCUCACCGUGCCGGAGCGCUCGCAUUGCCGCAGGAUGGUGCGCACCGCGUCCACCGCCACCUCCGUGGUGUUCUUGUACUGCGGGAAACCUGCAUCGUUAGGCGGCCAUUGUUGCAGCGCGCAGUGCACUACUGAACUGGACAAACACUCAAGUCUAGUAGGAUGACAAAAAGGUUACGCACAUGGUCACACAGUUCAACGUGAGGUUGCGUCAACGAAAACCUCCAGCUACACAAAUCAUCAAGAUGCAUGAACCGUUGUGAAUCGAUGGUGCCCACGACGAUUUGUCACGAUUUUAGUCAAGACAAAAUUAUAAAAUCUAGGAAGUUAGGGGUGUUUGGUUCACGGACUAAAGCUUAGUCCCCGUCACAUCGAAUAUUUGAAUAGUAAUCAGAAGUAUUAAGGUUGUGUUUGAUUUCCCCUUACUUAUUUUUAGGGACUAAACUCCUCUUGACUAAAGGACUAAAGUUUAGUUUCCCUGUUUGAUGUAGGGACUAAACAACAUUUAAUGACUUGAAUAAUGACCAUAUUACCCCUAAUCAUUGCUACCCCUCCCUUUUUUCCCUCGUCCCAGGCUGCUUCCCUCCCGCCAGAACCCCCUGUUAGGAUGCAAUGUUGACGGUUAGGCUACAGUGACUACGCGCAACCACACUUCUUCCACGAUCGGAUCCAGCACCACCACCGCUAGGUCGAGGUGUUUGGAACGCGCCAAAUCUACCGCUAGCACCACAAUCUCUUCCACGCUGCAGGAUACCUGAGUACUCUUCAAGGAAAGGGAAACCGUCAUCCUAAGAGUUGAGAUCAAGGUGCUUCAUGUGCACCCUCCCAGCCGAGAGGCUUAGGGCCGCUGGUGUGUGCGAUGACGCUUGCGACAGGAGGUCUAAGUCGUCGGGUUUGGGGACGACGGUGGAAGGAGGGAAGGCGGGAGCUGCCGAAGAAGAUGCUCCCUGCGAGAAGUAGUUGUUGACACCGAAUUAUCAGACUUCUAUAGUUAGUUUCGGAACAUGAAGCCUUCAUACUCCGAAACUGGAGGGCCUGUGUUGACACCGAAUUUUGGAAAUAUGCUCUGAAAGGAAGGAAUCGACGCUCCGUUUCCUAUCGGCUUUCUAGCCGAUGGUUAUUGCUAAAUUAUAUUAAAUCGGCUGGAUGGCCGAUGAAACAUUCACGCUUAUCAAGGAUCACAUCGGCCUGAUCAGCUGGUUGCCUCGGACAUCAAGAGGAUCAUCUUCUCCUUAUCAGUUGAAUGGUCAAACGGACUAGCACGCUCGCGCACCCCACACGCGCCGAUUUGGAUUCUGCACUGGAGUUAAGCAGAUCUCCCAAGUCCUCAUGUGCUGAUGCAGGAUCCACCACCGGCAGGAUUUUGUGUCAACACAUUUUGGCACGCCCGGUGGAAUACGAGGAAGCAUCGGCUGAUUAAAAAUGCAUCGGCCAAUUGGAAUAAAGAAAAGGGAGUUGUAUCGGCUGAUUACAGAAAAUAUCGGCUGAUUAAAAAAGUAUCGGCUGGCUUCUUUAUUUCCAUCGCCUCUUUUCAGUCGAUGGACACAGCCGAUAGAAACUUCAGCCGAUGGACAAGAAAAAAAAUAAAAAAAAGGACAGCAGCCGAUAAGAAAAGCUGUCGGCCGAUGGGCAAAGGAAUAAAUAAAUUUAAAAAAAGGGAGCAGUCGGCCGAUGGAAUAUCGAAGGAAUAAAUAAAAGAAAAAAAAAAGGGGAGCAGCCAGCCGAUGGUAAAAGAGCUAAUAAUUAAUUUCAAUCGGUUGGGUACUUCCGUCGUUGGCUAUAUAAAAAAAAGAAUUAUGCAAGCCAAUCGACUGGGAACUUCCGUCAUCGGUUAAGAUGCUACUGAGAGUACUAGCUCGCAGGCUUUACACAAAUUGAUUAUUCUUUGGAGCUGAGCUGAUAGUGGGGUAAAAACAAUACAUCAGCAUCGGCCGGUUGGUGGUGCAUCGGCCGAUAGACAGUUACAAAAUAAUACUUGGUGUCCGAUGAUGAGGCUAGUUUAUCCAGCCAAUAGGGUAGCUGAUGGCUUGCGAUCAAAUCGGCUGAGUCAUGUUAUUUAAUUAAAGACUAUGGAGGUAUCAGUAAAUGCUAAUCGCUCCCAGCUUAUAAAGGGCCGAUGGAGGUGACUUCCUCUCAACAAAGUAAAAUAAGAUGUCGAACUUACAUGAAGCUAGUGGAAUAGUCGAAGAUCCCAGCAUGAUGAAUGAUUAGGCAGUGAAGAUGAAGUUUUUUGCAAGGUACAUACCUGUUCAAGGCUCAAAAUAAUCCUUCGUUGCCUGGACUAUCGACCUGUAGACUAGUGGCCAAAGUGUUCUCAGGACAGCGGAUGGAGUGAAUCGGCUUAAAAAACAAAAAGGCUGACCUGAAUAGCCGAUGGAAUGGUCGAUGGAGAAGUCUCACCUUAUAGUCGACGGAAAUAGUAAUUUACAUGCUAAUUACGUGAUGGCUCUAGAAAAAAGUAUCGGCUGAUUACAAAAAGUAUCAGUUGAAGUCUUUAGUAUCGGCUGCUAGAUAUUUGAGCAAGCGUCGGCCGAUUGACUGCUUGGCAAAAACCGGCUGAUUGCUUGGUUCAUAAAUUUUUUUUUUGCAUCGGCCGAUUGGUUCAAGCAAAGAUUGCAUCGGCUAAUUGGUUCAAGUAGAAUAGUAUCGGCUGCUUAUUAAAUAUAUCGGAUAGUAAUUUCGAAGCAUGAAAUAGUCAUACUCCGAAACUGGGGGCCUGUACGUGUUGACAACAAAAGCUUGCUAGUUGCCGCAUCAAGUUUUGGUGUCAACAGACUGAUCUGCUGUUUUCACUGCCUGCGAAUUCAUCGGCUCAGAGUGGGAUCAAGGCAUCAAGCCAAUGGAGUUCUUUAUAUUUCAAGAGGAGUCGAUGUGGCUUUGAAUAUUGCAAUCAGAUGUCAUUGGCUCUAAAGACAAGUAUCAGACUUCUAUAAUUAGUUUCGGAACAUGAAGCAUUCAUACUCCGAAACUGAGGGGCUGUGUUGACACCGAAUUAUCAGACUUCUAUAGUUAGUUUCCGAACAUGAAGCCUUCAUAUUCCGAAACUUGGGGGCCUGUGUUGACACCGAAUUUUGGAAAUAUGCUCUGAAAGGAAGGAAUCGACUGAUGAUGCAAAAAUGACGAAAUCUCCUAAAUAAGGCUAUUUGCAAGCUGACCGUAGAAAUCAAGAACGCGUGUGCAUGAAGAAAGAGAAAGGAAGAAAGCUAGAAGAUUAAAAGAAGGAAAUCAACUCACGUACGGGAGGUUGAAUAAAAUAUUCUGGAGAUUAAGUUGGUUAGGGAUAAGCUUGGUUAGAGAUAGAGUUGGAUUAGUUAGAGAGUUUUUUUAUUAGAAAAAGAUUAUGUACGUGACUUGCCUUGUACGUAGUUAGAUGCCAAUUAUGUAACGUUAAAGGCCAUCCGCCCUAUAAAUAUAAAGGGUCGUGGCCAUUGUAAAUCAUCACACGAUCAAUAAACAAAUAUAUUUACGUAUCUACUUUUUCGGCUUCACGCCAUUGCAUUAGGAGUAGGAGUAAUGUAGCUUCUUGACGAGUUCCUUCCAAUAAGUUGGGUUGCAUCGACCUCGAUCUCCAGCAAGGUGCGAGUUCCGUCACCAGGUGUUCCAGACUUCAACGUCCGGGCGCAUCGCUGUCGUUGGGUCUGGUUUCAUCUACUAGUUAUCGAGUAUCUUGGAUCUUUGACUUACGACGCAUCGCUUCUAUCUCGAUCUAUGGUAUUCACUAGUUAUCCUGCCUUGAUUAAGCUUGCAUCGGCUGAUAUUUAUCUGUUCUUUCGUCUUGCCGUUCAGUUUGUUUUAAUUAGCUUUAGAUCGGUUCAUCAUAGACGAUAGAUCAUUUAAUAGCCUGUUGCAUCUUAAUUUUGGCUACCCAACCAGCAAGCUUUUGUUGUCAACAGUAGUCACAAUAGUCGUUGCCGUGGCCGUCCAUGGUGGAUCCGGUGGAGGCGUGGGGAGGAGUGGUGGCGGCUUAGGGAAACAGAGGGGCGGUGGCGUUGGAUCCGGGGUAGAGGGGAGGGGAACCGGCUCCUGGCGGCGGAGGGGUGAGGAGGAGCGGUGGGGGCGAAUUCGGAGGGGAGGAGCGGGCUCGUGGCGGUGGAGGUGUGAGGAGGAGCGGGAUAGGUGGCGGCAUACAGGAGCAGAUCCGGCGAAGGCGUGGCCCGAAGCAAGGGCGGUGCCGGCGUAGGGACGCGGUGGGAACAGAUCCGGGGGGAGGAGCUGGGGCGCAGCGGCGGAGGCGUAGGGAGGAGCGGGGACGCCGGCGGGAGCAGUGGGUGCGGCGGCGGGGAGGGCGGAGGGUGCGGCAGCGUCGAGGAAUGGAACAGGAGAAGCAGAAACGGAUCGAGACGGGUGGGUGCGGAGGGGUGUAGGGGGAAGGGGUGAGGGGGUCACGGACAAGUCAUAAAGGAGGGUAGGGGGUGUCCAUGGUACACUUUAGUCCCCCGUAAGCAACUCCUUAGGGACUAAAGGGCUAAACUUUAGGGACUAAAGUUUAGUCCCUAUAAGCAAGCCUGUUUGGCAUUUUAGGGACUAAAAAUGACUAAACUAUAGUCCCUGAAGUUUAGCAAGGCAAAACUAAACAGGACCUAAAUAUAUAUAGGUAAUUACAGAACCAAUUGCAUAAAUGAAGGCUAAUUCGCGAGACAAAUCUAUUAAGCCUAAUUAAUCCAAUUUGAUUAAUUAGGCUUAAUAGAUUCAUCUCGUGAAUUAGCCAUGACUUAUACAAUUAGUUUUAUAAUUAGUUCACGUUUAAUCCUUCUAAUUGGUAUCCAAACAUCCGAUGUGACCCAAACUAAAAAUUAGUCCAUGGAUCCAAACACCACCUUAGUUGUCUAGAAAUCAAGGCCCUAAGCAAAUCCCUACCGUUGAUGAUACCUUUGUGGAAAGUGUGGUCUGAUGGCGUCACUUAUCUAACAUUUAUUUGGCGACAAAAAGGAUUGAGAGGUCAAUCUUCUAUAAUCAAUCUCUGUUUGGUUUGCCCUUGCUUAUCUUUAGGGACUAAACUUCCCUCCAGUCAGGGACUAAAGUUUAGUCCCCCUGUUUGGUUCUAGUGACUAAAGGGCAUUAAAUGAGUUGAACGAUGACCAACUUACCCCUAAUCAUUGCUGCGCCUGCCUUUUUCCUUCUCUGCCUUCCCACGCAGAUACGCACAGCACACGCGUGAGCAGCGGCGUGGGGGUACGGAGGCAGCACAGGGGUACGAUGGUGACCCGACAAACGGUGGCGCAGGGGUAGCAUGGCGGGGGCCAGCAACAGGGCGGGUGUCGGGAGGGCGGGAGUGGCUGGCGGGCAGCCGGGAGCGGCGGGGACCGGUGGCGGGGCGGGUGGCCGGGAGGCGGCGGGGCGGGUGCUGUAACACCCAUUGUUAUUAAAAGCCUAAGAAAGUAAUUUAGAGGUUAAUGAUGAAAUUUAAAUGCAACGGAGGUAUUAUGGACCAAAGUCACAUUUGACCAAAGAUUCAAAUUCAAGAUUUAAAAAUUCAAAGGACUCCCACAACCAAGAGUUGGGCGACAACUUGAUAAAUGGAAUCUUUAAUCUAUGGUUAACCAUUCCAGAAGGUCUUGACCCAAGAAACAUGAAUUUAAAUUCCCGAAUUAGAACUCAAAGAGGGGAACAAGUUACUAUCGCGCUAUCUGCCGAGAACUGAAGGGCAGAGCACCCGGGGUGUUAAAAACACUCAAGAAUGGCCAAGAACAGGAUAUGACAAAGAUUUGAGAGUUAAUGAGCUUUUAUGGCCAAAGUCAACUUUUGGUCAAAUUUUAGCCAAAAAUACCAAAUAAGAGCUUCAAUUUCAGAAAAAGUUGACAAAUGCAUGAAUUUGGACCUUAUGGACAUUUGGAACUUAAAGAGGCCAUUUGAGAAAUAAAUGGACCUUAAAUUGUCCAAAAAUCAGAAAUGGAGGAUGUUACUGUUCACUAACUGGAUAUAGGCAUAAAUGCCUUUGAAAAACAGUACUAAAUGGAAUGAACUUUGAUUCAAGAGAUUUUGGAGAAAUGCUAUAUGAGCCUUUAGUUUUAUGGGGAAAAUGGAACUUUCAUGUCAAGCUUAGCAUGAUCUCCAAGUUUGGCAUGAAACAAAUGGCAUUUGAAGUGUUAAAUGGAAAUUCAAAGUUAAAUGGGGGAUUUUGGUACUUCUAUCGAGAUUGAAGCCAUUCAGUGCAAUUUCAAUUCAGUGAAAAGCAAGAAUUGGCAGCCAGCUUCAGGACCAACUUUGGAAGGGAAAAAGAGAGAUUUAGCUUUUGAGAUGAAUAAUAGAAAUGUAGAGAAAUAGGUUCUCUAUAACUUCUAUAAAGGAAAUUUUGAGAGUUUAAGUGAAAACAAUGGAGUAAACACAAUCUGAACCCCUUCAGCUCAGAAAAAUUGACAAUUCUGUCAAUACUGGAGGAUGAACAGUAACAGUUGGUUUUGGAAGCAAAUUUCAAACCCUUAGAGUAAAAAUCAGAAGAAGCUCCAAAUGUAUCAAAGAUAGUCACAAAUAUUUCCUAUAACUUUGUUUAAGGGCUCUAAGCAAGCCUCUGAUUGAAUUUUAGCCACAAAAAUCGACCUGAAGAUAAUCUGUCAAAGGCUUAGCUGUUGAAAGGAGGAAAAGUAACAGUCAGGUUCAAAAGGAAAUUCCCCUCGAUUGGUUGGGAAUCUGAAGGAGGCAUAGUAAGAUGAAUUGAAAUUCAGCAAAUUUCCUACAGCUUUCAUAAAGGGACUUUUGAAAGAUCAGUUUGGAUUUUUAUCGUAAUUGGCCGUUGAAGUUUUUGACAGCAAGGUUCAAAAAGAGAAAAUUUAGUUAAGCUGAAGUUCAAUGUCCAGAAAAGUUCAGAGACGUUUAUCACGUGGAAGGAGCGAGGUUCAGCCAAAAGUGCACAUCUAUGAAAGGUAGAACUUUGGAUUUCCUCCAACUUCAAUAAAGGGAGUUUUGGAUGUGUUGUUGGCCAGAGAAACUGGAGGAUUCAAAUUUAAAAUGAAGCUCAAAGUAGGCAAGAUGAGCAGAUUUCAGCCUCAUUGCUGAAAUAAGUUCUAAGUCUGAAAAACAGUGAUGAUUAGCAGUUUUUGGCGCAAGUUUCUGAAAAAUCUAGCGUGAAAGGCAUAUGAGUUCUUGUGCAAAAUGGAACCCUCGUUAGUUGUAGAACAAAGAUAGAUAAGGGUUGAGCGGUACAACACAGGAUUGAGUAUUUAAAAUUGAGCUAAAAGAAGGGCAAAGGUUCCUGUCAUAAUACCUGACGAAACGGAAUCAAAGGAUUCAGUUACAGUUCAUUUUUGCUCAAACUUGGGGCUUAAAAAUCAGGGUCUUAGAGUGAAUAUUUAGACUUGGGACCAAUCUAUCAAAUGAAGUGCAUGGAUUCCUAUACAAGUUUGUUUAAAGGAGAUUCGAAAGUUUGGUUUAAAAAUUCGAUGAAAAAUGGGCCUGAACAUGUCGGUUGGGAGGAAGAAGAAAAGAGAAACAACAUAACAGAGGAGGAGUCGUGCCGUCGCCGGCACUCUCGUCUGCCGACCAGCGCGACGGACACGUCCGCGCCACACUACCUGCCACGGGCCGAGGUGGACGGCAUGCACGCGGUGAAAACUUGUAUAUUUACGCUCCCGCGCCUAUCGGUUUAACCCUGCCGUCUUUUUCACCACCGUCGCGAGCAGAAGCUCGAGCGAGCAGCGCCGCCGCCGGCCAACACCCACACCGCUGUUUUCCUUCGCGUUUCCACCGCCUGAAGCCUUGACAGCCCCACCGCGAUGCCCCACGCCCAACCGUUGCUCAGUUCCCCGCCGGCGAGCUCCUAAUCGCUGUCGUUUUUGUCCGCCCGCUGCCAUCACCACCAUCCUCUCGGUGAGCUCCUCUGUGCCGCCCUUUCCCUUCAAUUUCUGGGUCUUUGGAACAUAGAUAGGCCUUGUAGAGGCCGUAGGGUGCUGCCGUCAGUCGUUUUGCGCUGCCGCCGGGCCUAGAGCCGGCCGGCCACCGGCCAUGGUGCCGCCGCCCGUGGAGGGGCCGGCUCAGGCCGCCUCCAGGGGGGCCGCUGCCACCCGUGGGUGCGCUGUGGCCUGGGGAUGCCUCCCAGCCCGGCCAUGCCGCCGGGGAGGCCGCUGCCGGCGAGUCCCCACCCCAACCCGGCGUGCCCUGUCCCUGGCGUGAGGAAGAAGGAGAGCCUGCCGCUAGGGCCCCACCUGUCAGCGACUUGGGAUAGGAGAGGCCGGUUUGAAUAGGAUUUUAGGAGAGAGAGGGGGGCCGGUCAGUCGCAGAGGGUAGAUAGGGGGUGAGCGGGAAAGGUUUUUCCGGGGGGUUUGGAUAAUCAUUUUUCUUUUGCAAAUAAAUAGUUUAAAUUAUUUUAUCACCAUUUAAUUCAUUAGAAAUGGUAGAAAUGUCCAAAAAUAGUGAAAUCAAUUUUAUUAGGAUUGUUUUAUUUUCCUUUAUGCGUUAAAAUUCUUAAAUCCUAGAAAAAUAAUAAAAUUUAGGUAUUUAUUUAAUACCUUUGGAUUAAGGUAUUUAAAUAAAUGCUUAACCUUUAUUAAAUACAUAAAAUUUUGAAUAAUGCUUUCUUAUUCAUAAAUUAUUAUUAAAUCAUAGGAAUUAAGUUUUGAGAUUAGAAAAUAAUUAUAAUGCUUUUCAAAAAUAAAAGAAAAAGGUUUAAGUUUGGUUAGUAAAGAAAUCUAAAAUUGUGGGUUAAUCUUAUGGGUAGUUUAGUGUUGGCUUGCAACUUUAUCAUGAAGAUAGGUUGUACAGUCACUUGUGGGCUUGGAAUUUUAUCACGAAGGAAAGUUGUAUAGUCAUGUGUUCAAAGUUUGCAUCUCUUAUUCCUGCAUGUACUAAAUCGUAGACACUGAAGCUUCAGAAGUGGAACUCUUGAAAUUAUCUGAAGAAUCUUCGGAGUUUGAGGAGGUUAUCGAGUUGAUCCCUUGCGAGGCAGGUUUAUCUGAAGACGCUAACUUUUUUUAUCAAGGUAAGCUCCGGUGCAUCUAAACCCAUCUACUUUUGGGAAUUACUAUCAUGAGUUCAAUUAUUGGUUAUUUCCUUACAUGCCUAUUAAGUCUAGGAGUUGAUUGCAACCCACUUUUGUGCAUGAUCAUACCUUGUCUUUCUGGAUAUCUUUGCCACUUGUUCAACUAAUUAGCCAUACUUAGAUACUUUCAAGUAACUUGGUUACUUUACUCUAAGGCCCCGUUUGGAUCCCUUCAUUUUGAAGGAAUUGGAAUCUACUUAAUGGAGUAGGCUAAUUUAUCUUGGAAUGUGGCAUUCCACAACUUUCCAAAGUUUAUAUAUAAGCCUAUCUUAAAUUCAUGGGGUGGGAGAUGGAAAUUGAUUCUAUAGAUUAUGAUUAUUAGAAUGGAAUUCAAUUCUUAUAGCACGCUCGUGGACUCACUUCCCUAUAGCAGAAGUGCAGCACAUAAAUAUUUCUCCUAUAUCACCAACAAUAAUAUACAAAUAUAUUCCACAUACAAUUAUAUUAGCUUAAUUAAUUUGUGUCUAAAUAAUGAUUAUUAGAAUGAAAUUCAAUUCCAAGGAUUCAAACGGGUCUAAAUGAAUUCCAUCCCAAUAUUGGCGUGUGAUUUCCAAUCAUUGAUUGCGUGUUCAAGCAGUGUAUCUGCAUGAUACAAUUUUCCCUCUUUUGUCGUUAAUUUACUACUACCACGUCGAAGAAACUUGAAUCACGUGGCCUCCCAGAUCGGUUGCAGCGCUACAUCAGCUGGAUCGAGUCGUAGUUUUUUCCCCAAACUAACACUGAAACAGAUCCACGGAUGGAUUGGAUUCACCGGGGUCGAGCGUACCUUGGUGCUGGUGGGGUCGUGCACCAGCGGCGUGGCGACGAGGAAGACGAACUCGCAGCCGGCGAUGGCCGGCUCGAAGGUGUCGGCGUCGUACAUGUCCGCCUGGAAAAGCCGCAGCCGCUCCGCCGCGCCGGGGAGCGACCGGAGCAGCCCCGCCUUCUUCUCGUCCUCUGCCACCAACGAACGCGGGCAUCCACGAUAAAAAGGGUCAGAGAGAUCGAUCUGGGGUUCGGACAUGCUUAUCGUCACGCACGUACCGAGGCUCCUCAGGGUGGCGUGGACGACGCAGCCUCUGCCGAGGAGCUUCCUGACGAGCCAGCUCCCGAUGUAUCCGGCGCCGCCGGUGACGCACACCACCGUGCUCCCCAUCUGCUUCUUCUCCCCCUCGUCUCUCAUAGCCCCUCCAAGGCUCCAACUCCAGUGCCUCCCACAGUCCCACUUCGUGGUCGAGCGCAGAGUCUCCGGCCAGCGGUGCCCGCGCUCCGCCGGUUUAAGUAGCUAGCGAGUAGAGCGAGCGAGAUCGCUCAGCUUUGGACCACCCUGGACAUAGAACAUUAUAUGGAUGCAUAUCAUAUUGUUCUCAUUUGCUAGCGGAUCAUUGGCCAGAUCGAGCAGCUAGGCUAAGACCCUGGUCAUCAUCUUGACGAGACGGCCGGACGGUGUCCGUUCGUUCAAUCGUUCGGUUGACUCUCCUCCUCCCUCGAUACCCUGGCACGCCGAGUGUUUUUUUGCCGUCGGCAAAAUGUUUGCCGAGUGCUCGCGUUUUGACACUCGGUAAAGUGGUGUUUGCCGACACAAUAUUUGCCGUGUGCUAUAUGCUAAGUGUAACAUUCGGCAAAACCUUUGCCGAGUGUUUUUAGGUUUUCGCCGAGUGCAUGUGGCACUCAGUAAAUUAAGUGUUUCCCGUAGUGUAGCGAGCGUGGCGCCGACGGCUCGAACGCGCACCAAAAUAUCACCACGGCCGUGACGCCAUGUGCAAGUACGAGCGUGACCCUAGUAGCGCCUGAUUCGCUGCUGGACCUUCUGCUUCCUAGUUCCUUGGCACGUAUGUAUGUGAAAGUAAUAGAACACCGUACCACACGGUCAUGUAUGUGAAAGUACGGUGGUGCCUAAGGCGCCUGAUCUUUUACUACUCGUAGCUCCCAAGUGCUAAACCCGUGUGUGUCGCGCUCGUAGCCUUGUACUUCUCCUUGGCGCGAUACGAAGUCGUGGCCAAAGUGUCGCCGUCGCAUUCGUAACGAGCCUCGGACCAUCCGCUCAGCUUUGGACCACCCUGGACAUAGAACAUUAUAUGGAUGCAUAUCAUAUUGUUCUCAUUUGCUAGCGGAUCAUUGGCCAGAUCGAGCAGCUAGGCUAAGACCCUGGUCAUCAUCUUGACGAGACGGCCGGACGGUGUCCGUUCGUUCAAUCGUUCGGUUGACUCUCCUCCUCCCUCGAUCCCCUGGCACGCCGACGAUCGGAUGGUGACAACCGCGAGGGUGUGCGAAGUUACGAGUUUGCCCCAGGCACGGACACGCCGGCCGGUCGUGGAUCGUAAUCCCCUCCUGUUUGCCAAAUGUCACGUCGCCGGAGCUAACGCACGCCAGACGGACAGAGACGUACUGAGCACUGACGUAGAAUGUCCUGUGUCUUCAGCGAGAGCCGGAGGAUCUUCUGAUGCUCGGCUGUUCAGGCCAAACUGGCCACUACUUCUACCGGAUCUUUAUUUUGGCGCUAAUGGCGUUUGAAACUGUGUGGCCAUUUACUGUUAGCAGCAGGAUUUUUUUCGGAAGCUGUAUUGUAACACGCAAAUACGCAAUGGCAAAGCAAGAUAGACGACUUGGUGCGCUACCUUGACUGCCCGGACGGAUACGCUAGCUGCAACUACUACUUUGCAGCAGUAAUCAAAUUUUUAGCGGGAACGCGGGCAAUUGAUUUCAAUUUUUUAGCACAAACGCAGCCUAGCCAAUCAAAAUAACCUGUCAUCACCAUAUCAAUAGCCAAUGAAUCAGUGCCGUUCUACUAACAGUUCAUUACAAUAAAAAAUUCCGCACAAAUUACUUGACAUACAACGUAUGGCUUAAACAAACACACAUAGACAUAGAACAUUAUAUGGAUGCAACAGCGAGGCAUCGAGUACCAUUGCUAGGGUUUGUUGGCUCAAAUUCCACGAACUGGCUGCCUAAUUGUCAAAAUUUGCUGUCACCACUUGCAUGUACCCAUUUUGGCAUAGCCAUCAGUCAUCACCAACAUCCGUCCAAACUUGUAUAGAAGGAAAAUCCAAAAUCAGCCAUACCUGUUAACUACAUGAAGCAGAUUCUCACCGCGCUCCAAUAUCGUACACUUGCCAUAUCAUAUCAGGUGUAGCAUUUGCUGUCACCCAUUCGGAUACUUGGUAAUCCGGAGUUCGCGUCACGUUCCUUUCUGCAGUACUUGCAUCGGCACGGUCCAACAAAUAAUUGUGAAGUGCAAAGCAAGCAAUAACGAUCUUCGUUUGCCUCUCUCGUUCAUAAAAUGGGAUUCCUCGCAAAAUAUGCCACCUCGAUUUGAGCAUGCCAAAUGCCCGUUCCACAACAUUGCGAAGACUCGAAUGGUGGAAGUUGAAUUUCUCCUCCAAAGUUUCAGCCCCUCUGCGACUGAACUCAUCAAGAUGGUACCUCGUACUGUGAUAUGGCCCCAAAUAUCCUUCACGAACUGCGUAACCUGAGUCCACCAAAUAGUAUCUUCCUACACAACAUCAAACAUAUUCACCAUUAGUGACAACACUUUUACAAUUGUUGCUUCAUGAACGUAAGUAGCCAACUAACAUACUUGGAGGUGGAUGUGGGUAAUUUGGUGUCUCCAUACAAUCCCUCAACACCGCCAUGUCAUGAUAGGACCCAGCCCUCCCUGCUCCUACAAAUGUGAACCGCAUGUCCAUGUCCACUAUGGCUAACACAUUAAAGCUUGGCCACUCUUUGCUAUCAAUGAAGUCCAAACAUGACUCACGCCCGAUUUGUAUAGGAACGUGAGUUCCAUCUAAAGCACCUAUGCACCCAUCAAAGAACGGUGCAUAUGGGUUGAGCCUAUAAUUAACCUUUAAGUACGAUGGGUCCUUUGGAGCGAUAACCGUCUGUGCGAAUGAGAACAUGACAUCUGCCACAUAAGCCAUCUUCCUACAUAUUGUGUCCAAUGACCGCUCAAAUCUAUCUCUAAUCUGUCUAGAAGUCUGUUGUGUCCCACAAGCCCAGAGGAACAUAGCUAAAGCCUUGAUAGAUUCGACCACUUGUGUUGAUUCCAGCCCAUGAAAAUUAACUAAGAUAUCAUGCAAAUGAAGGAAUGCGUCAGGAUACAUACGAAAAUUUUUGUGGCACCUCCAGCUUUCCCGCAUAUUGCGUCAGGAUACAUACGAAAAUUGUCAUGGCACCUCCAGCUUUCCCGCAUAUUCAGCUCAACCCAUUGACGUCCGGUCAUUCGUGGCAACUCCACGGGCGGGUUCACCACAGGAGCUGGACUACUGCUCCCAGCUGCAUAUGCUCCUACAGCUGCUGCUACCCCCGCCACAUGGUAUAUGACGGAGCUAGCAUCACUGCCAAUGUCGCUAUUUGAUUCCUCAGCGCUGCUCAUAACGCAAGCAAUAUGUGCAUGUAAUAGACAUUAAUGGUACAUGUAAAUCCGUAUGAUUUCUCAAGGCGGAGCAGAGCUAUUUGAUAAGUAUUUAAGAUCAUGACGAGUUACUUAAGGCUACAAAAUGGCAGAACCAAAUUUCAGGCUAUAAAGUAAAAGUUCCACCACAAGUUAGAGAACAAACUCUUUCAAACCUGUCAAUAUGGCUUCCCUUUCCUCCUCAAUGGUCCUCCACGCCUUUCUGUAGAAUGAAAAGCAAGUUAAAACUUCUUUCUCACUGAUGCACAUGCAAUAUAAAUCACAUGUGUUUUCACUUAUGAAUGAAAUAGAUGCACAUACAAUGUAAAUCACAAACCAUAUUUUAUUUGGAAAAUAAGACACCACCCACCACACAUUAUUUAGGUCAGAGGCCACAUUACAUGCUAAGACAUUUAAACAUGUCGACCAUCAGUUCAACUAAAGAAGUACACAACACUUCAAUAAAACCAACGAAUGCCACACGCCAAUAUCUGCAAAGCAUUUGCCGACCUACUGCACUAGUUCUCCCAGUUGAAUUGGAUCCAAUGCAGGCGACCCUCUUUGAUCUUCAUCAUCAUGAAGGCCCUUUGGUUCACUGCAUUCUUGCAUAAAAAUAUUACCAUGCAGUACAGAUCAGACCCCUCCUCAAUACCAUCUUCUUCUAAAAUCUGCAUUGCAAGGUCCAGCUCCUCUUGCUCACAACUGAGCCGUUUCUGGCUUCUCAUGGAUACAAUUUUGGAGAUUUCUCUGACGUAGUCUUCAAGCUGCCACUCUUUUUUUCGGAGGACUGUCAACAACUUCCUCCCAGGUUGGCCUUUUAGAUAUAUUACGAACACUAGAGGAACCAAUGGGGUCUUGGGACAUGUCUACUUGAGUGUCCUCGCUCCCAGUAGUGGGUGUUGCCUCACGGACACCUCCUGCACUUAGCAAUGUCCCCCUAUCUUGGGUGGUGCGGCCGAACAACGUGUGAAGUUUUCAACGAACGGUGGUGGUUUAGCAUUACUCGCUUGGUCGGCACCAGCACUAGUUUCCUAUAGGUGACGCAGAAACAUGUUAGAAAUGGAGCGGGUCAGAAAAAAUUUGUUGCUCGAAUUGAAUGAACAAGAAGGACUGCAAAUGUGACAGGACGUACCCCUUCGUCGGUAGCCAAAAAAGUGUCAUCAGCUGCAACGCCUCCAGUAUUUUUGUCAGGAUCUAGGCCUGUGGACUUGAAGAUCCCUCCAAUGCAUGUACAACCUUCGCAUGGUGUUCAGAUUGUUCUGCAUCUGCUUGCUGUCAUAACUAAGACUAGUCUGUUGUUCGAAGUUGCGGUAGACGUGUUGCCAUCCCAACUUAGUUAGGCACUUGUUGCUCCAAUUCAGUUGGUUCUUCUCAGCAAUCCAGAGGUUGAGGAACAUUUUCGUUGUCGCCUCAUCCCAAUUGGCAUGGCUGUUAGCCAUCUGAGCCCAGUUGUACAAUGCAUUGUUGCAUUAGGUACGAGCUGAAAUUUUAUUUAACAAAGAAGAAAAUGCAUGAGACAUAAAAGUAGACAAACAAGAAGUAGACAAACUCAGCAUGUAACGAACAUGUCACUUGCCUUAGCAGUUGUCUUGACGCGUUUGUAACGGAAAUUUUAUCGAUAGGCUGGUGGGGGAGAGCACGAAGAAGUAGAUGAUGAUGCUAGUGUGGGCACCAUUGCAAAGGACUAAAGUGCAGUUGAAGUAGGCUCGUUGCGGAGGACUGCAUAUGUGCAAAAGAAAAUAUUGUCAGAUUAAUGCUUCAAAUUUGCACUCAACAUUGUACCAGAAUUUAGUUACAGAACUUGAGGACAAUCAAAUUCAGAGAAGCAAUAAACUUGCAUAAACCUUUAUGCAAGCUAGAAAUAUAAUCUAUAGAUAAAGAGAAGUAAUAAACUUGCAUAAACCUUUAUGCAAGCUAGAAAUAUAAUCUAGAAAUAACACAGGGAUCAAAAUCUGAUAGGCAGGCAUACUGAUCAUGGCAAUAUGCAAAUCUCGUAGAGACAUAGACUAAUGAGUAAUUAACAAGCAUACUGACUGGCAUCAUUGAGAUACUAAGUUAAUUCAGGAAUUUAAUCCUAUAUUUCGAAUUGUUAUAGAGGAAUCAUAGUAUGAUAAAUUCAUGAACUGGUAAGUUAAUAAUUGUGUUUAUGGGAGCUACAAAUGUCUCUCGGUAUAAGUAAAAUAAAAAGUGAUAUAUGAAUAUGAGAAAAACUUGCCUAAAAUAUCAGAAUGUAUUUACUAAUCCAAAAAAAGCAACCACAUGCAUAUCCAAUUUCAUUCAUUUGAAUGAGAUGGCAGAAGGUCGGGAUGUUGUACGUACAUUAAACAAAGACUUCAACAGGAAAGGGAAAUCAAAACAUUUGAUCUUUUGUUAUGAGCAAACACAUGAGCUGAAAUAGUAAACCAAAUGACUAAUCAGAUGAAAAAGAAAAAUACAUGCAAUUUAAGCAAAUUUACUUAAUUCAAUAUUGUUUUUUGCUAUGUAGGUCAAUUGUACCAAAUUAUGAUAUUAUAAAUCUUAGGUUGAAAAGACAAUGUUAGGUUGUCUCAGCAUCAUGUAUGCUAUUAUCUAACAUCAACAUGUUGCAGAAGAAUGAUAGCUGCAAUGACAGCGCACCAUGUUUUCAUCUUUGCAGCAUCCAAUAUUACUAUUUUGGAUCUCAUGAACAAAAAGAAACCAUGAGCUUACAGUAACACAAGUGAAGGUUGGCCUAAACCAGGUGGUAAGCUUUUCGUGUCAGUGAAUUAUAGCUCAAGUUCCUGACCAAGCAAAAGAUAUAACAUUAGCUACCAAGGCUGGAUCACAUACUGUUAACUAUAGAAAUAACCCAAAUAGGCAUUUACAUAAGCUAGAAAAAAGAAUUCUCAAGAAAGGUACAAGCACAUAUAAAAAAAUUGGCAAUGGUAAACAAUAUAAACUUCUUAAUUCAGACAAUGAUAAGUCUAAAAUAUAACCAACUAUUAAUCAGGUCCGGACAAGCAAGAAGGUAAUUAAGACGAAUUCUCAAAACAACUUAUAUUUGACAUCCUUUAGUAUUUGUGGUCAUCAUUUGUACAGAUGAAUAUAUAUCAUUCCAAAGCAAAAGAAUGUAAAAAAACAUGUGUAUAUAUGAUUUCGAAACCAUUUCGACCAUUCAUAGAGCAAUUAAUAGUACUAGUAGAUGCAGUUUACCCAAACAGAGAAGAUUAACAAGUCAAUCAGUUCAUUCUUAGGUAUUAUUUGAAUGAGCUUUAUCAAUUUAUACGUGAUUAAUCAAGUAAGAGGGACAAGGAUCCGAGUCCGAUGGAAACUUUUAGAGGUGGAGAGAAAAUAUGAACCUACACCCCUAUGUACCAACAAUAAUCAAUAACAAGAUAAUAUACGCUUCUAAGGUAUUCAAUUUUGUACCCAAGGCCUACUGCCAGACAUUCACCUGCCUCAACAAUGAGCAGGCUUUAGAUCCAAUAACAUCACUCUAAAUAUUUCCUUUUGCUAUUGCAGUACAGCUUCAGUCAUCUUGAGGAAGAAGCAUUUUGCGGUAAACAAGGGGAUUACCUGGAUCUAAAUGGGGGACUUCCUCGGGCUAUGACGACGCUAGGCCGGGAUGUGGCGGAUGAGAGAUCUGCCGCUGGACUUCUUACUCAAGUUGUCAGGCGGGGGGUGCCGCGGUGGAGACGGCGGCCACCGCGAGCCCGGAUCCUGGCUGGCGUGCUGGGCGGCGAGCUGGAUCCCUAGCGGCCGGCUUGACCCCGACUGCCUCAGCGCUGCGGGUAGACAACAGAGGAUGCGGUGGGGGCGAAUGGUCCAACGUCGGCGACGAAAAGGCCACCCCGUGCUGGAUCUGCUUCAGGGAUGCCGCGUCGAGGACAGAGGGAGGCCGUCGCCAGGGAGGGAGAUGCUGGGGACGACAACGGCGGAGAGAGGGUGAGAGGGAAGUGGAUAGGGAUGCGAUGCGAUGCGGGGAAGAUAAUGAGAGAGGAAGAGGAAAGGAGGCUGGGUGUUGGUGCUAGUAAUGCAGCCGAACGGCUGCGCUUAUCAGCCCAGCUGGAAACGGCCGCAGCCGGCUGGAUUCAACCCAGCCGAACAGCGUGAUGGAUCAAACGUGCUCUUCUAGUGGUCACAUCAAAUCAGGCUCAUUCGAUAUCAUGCAAGUCUGGUAAAGGCAAAUCAAACCAUGAUCCAAAGAUCAAAGCGUAGUCCACGUAAUUCAAAGGCAUACUCCGUUCCAAAUUUUAGGUCGUUUUGACAUUUGUAGGUUCAUAAAUAUUAUUAUGCAUCUAGAUAUAUACUAUAUCUAGAUGCAUAAUAAUCACAUCGCAGUCAGCCUACAACACACAAUUCAUUGGAUUAUCGAUGACGAAUUUUGAAACGUUGAUUUGGCGGCCUUGGGCACCACAGAGGUGCAAGAUUUUCUCGUGGUUAGCGGUGCAAAACCGGCUAUGGACGGCAGAUAGACUGCAGAGUAGAGGGUGGCCAAAUCAUAUCUACUACCCGCUCUGCUGCUCAGAGUUAGCGACGUCGCUACACAUCCUCGCGGGCUGUAGGUUCACUAGGCGGACAGGGAAAACAUUGCAAGCUGGACGGCAACUCAGACGGUUCACCCAAGAGAAUGGGCCCACUCGGACACCGUACAUGAAUGGUGGACGGCAACAGCGGCAUCGGCAAGCACCUCCAGGAAGGGUUUGCAAUCUAUGAUCAUGCUAGCAUCCUGAACAAUUUGGAAGGAGCGCAAUGCGAGAAUUUUUGAGCGAAAGGAAGCUAUAAUCGCCGUGGUAUUUGCACGGAUAAAGGAUGAAGCGGCUGGAUGGAUGAUGGCGGGGGCUAAGCACCUGUCCAAAACUACUAGCUAGAGUUUAAUGUACAUGCAUAGGAGUUUUUCUCUUUUUCCUCUGUACAUAGAGGUCUUUACGGUCCUCCUUUCAUGUAUUUGUUGCCCGUCUUUAGUCAUUCUGCUUUUUAAUAUAAUAGGCAGCUCUUCUGUUGGUUCGUAAAAAAAAAUAAUAAUAUUUAUGAACCUAGAAAAACCAAAACGACCUGUAAUUUGAAAUGAAGGGAGUACAUAUAUUCCCUCCGUAGGAAGGAAAAAGAGGGUGGUGACGGUCAGCAAUGCACUACUCUAUCCACAAAUUCUAGUAUACUAAAAUAUAUGAAAAUCAAGGCAACAGGCUGAGGGUGGUCUUCCUAGUGUGUGUACGGCACGGAAUUUAUGGAAGGAGCACAGCAGAUGAAUUUUCGACGGCAAGUCAACGGCCGGCUGCCCGGUUUGGGUGUUUAACCUGAUCAAUGACCCAGGGUGAACUGAUGUUAAUUCAAGUGGCCCAAACUUAUUACAGAGUGUAAAAGCAGGUAACAGUCAACAACAUUAGUUGCGAAAGCCUAAGCUGGGCCUGUAGUCCUGUACCAUGUAGCUAGGCAUGUAUGACAGUUCAAAGCACAGGCACCCAGCCUCCUCGCGCAUUCCACAAUGCCGCCCAGCACCUCCUCUACUCCGUAUCUGUACCUGAGUCCCAGGUCUACGAGCUUGCUCGUCGAUGCUUGCACUCUAUCUCCCUCUCCUACCACCCUAUUAAUGAUCCAAGCAAAACAUAUAUACAGACCGAGAUACCACUGAAAGAUGACAUCUUUCCUGACGCGCAUUUGUUCAUAUUGACAUCAGCAGAGCAGAUCGGAACAUCAGGAGGAGAUCAGAGGAAGAAAAAUGAGUAUGAAACGUUGAGUGAUGCCGUGAUGGAGUCAUCUAGAUUCGAUGGCUGCUGUAAAUUCAGGUAAAAACACUCGAUACAGGCACGUUCCCUUCCAUAUCUCAAGAACAGGUUUAUAGCAACAAUGAUAGAGAGAUUAGGAACAGGAUUAUGCGUGAUAGCGCUCCGGUUGCUACAAAUCAGCUAUGAAACCUGGGUACACAAAACUGCAAGCAUGAACACACCAUGCAUCACAGCAGUCCAAGCCUUUUUGCGCACUCCACGCCGCCGUCUAUCACCUCCUCUACUCCAUGCCUGUACUUGAAUCCCAUGUCCACGAGCUUGCUUCUGUCGUCAGUGGCAGGCUGGACUCUCACUCCCUCUCCUGCGACCCUAGCAGUCCAAGGAGAACGACAGGGCCACGAAAACUCAAUGAACGAUGACCAACCAAUACAUUUGAAGUGAAUUCAUACUUUGGGAAAAAAAAAAGAACAGUUCAAAACCAGACAUUUACACAUACUCUUUGAUCCGCAGCUUCAGCUCCGGGUGCUUGCGGCAGUAGUGAUCCACGAUGCCGCGCAUGUUCGGGUAGCCGGCGGCGCAGAGGAACCGGCCGGCGACGGGCGCCGGGCGCUCCAUGCAGAAGGCGUGCGCCUCGCAUACGUCGUCGACGUGCACCAGCGGCACAGCGCCGAGGAGGGCCUGCAUGAACUUGAGCCCGCCGUGCCACGUCUCGUCGCCGGUGAGGGGCGACACCACGCUCCGUAUGCUGCCGGGCACGUCCGGCAGCAGCGUGUCGCCUCCAACGAGGCCGCACAGCAGGGUCACGACCUCGAACGCCUUGCCCGGCGAGUCGUUGUAGCGCAGCAACUCCUUCUCGGACAGAGUCUUGGAGGACACGUAGGCCUGCGUGCAUGUCACUUCAGCAAGUGUUGAUCAACAUCAAUGGCCUGUAAGUGUUACUGAUUACUGGAAAAUUCUCAUCAGUUUCUCCUACAAAAUAACUUGUGCAACACUUGAGAAUUUGUAGCAUUAUGCUUCGGUUUAACGUGUUGCAUCGACCUUAAGCAGGUGAAAAGGCAUGGAAACUGGACACUCACGUCCAGGACUUCGUUGCUGGCGUAGCCGUAGGACAGAUUGAGCGGGGUCCAGCAGGAUUCAUCAACGAAGCGCUUGAACCCUUGGCCGUCCUCCUUGAGCGGCGCCGCCGCGACGACGGAGCCGGUGUGGAUGACACGCCUCACCGUCUUGGACCGCUCGCACUGCUGCAGAAUGGUGCGCAUGGCGCCGACGAUCCCUUCGGUGGCGUCCUUGUACACCAUCGCGAACAAAAGUUAGAAAAAAGCAAACCAAAAGCGCUAGGAUGCUAAAAUUAAAAAAAAACAUGAGUAGACGGCCGCCCUUGAUCAUAUCCGAUCAAUCCUUAAUUAAAUUGGAGCCUCCACGUUAAGAACUUAUAAGGUGUACUGAAGUCAAACUAGCACUAUAAGAUAUAAAAUCUCCCGGUUAGCUGUUGGAUGAGCCGAUCCAGUGGUCCACAAACAACACAGCAAACCUAUCGUCUUCUUCUAUCCCGCGAACUUGAACCGGUCUCAAGCUACAAACACGUGUUAGCUUUAGCUGUAAACAUUCACUUGUGAAUGGUUGAGGCCGGAUUUUCCUUAAUUAAAAAGUGAAUGGUUGAGGCCGGAUUUUCCUUAAUUAAAAAACCGCGUGUUAGCUCAUGAAUCUUUAAUUUCUUUCCCCGGCAGCCUCGAUGGUUGACAAGGAGCAAACCUUCAAAAGAUACGCAUCUACUCAUCCAUCCCAAAUUAUAAGUCAUUCCAAGAAUCUUGGAGAAUCAAAGUAUCUCAAGUUUGACCAAAUUUAUAUAAUAAUAUAAUAACAUUUAUGAUGUCAUCUAAGUAUCAUUAGAUUCUUCAUCAAUUAUAUUUUUAUAGUAUACCUACUUGAUGUCAUAAAUCUUUAUAAUUUUCUCUAUAAUUUUGAUCAAACUUGAGAUGCUUUGACUUUCCAAAAUUUUUAGAAUAACUUAUAAUUUGAGAUGGAGGGAGUAGGACGCAAUCGUCGUGUGGCCACCAAUCAUGCAAAGAUAAUCCACGCUCUCACGGCCUCGGCCGGGCUCCACAGCUGGGGUGUGUACGUGUGGUGGGCCGGGAUACUACCGAAAACGGCAAGGAGACUCCUGUGCAGUAGAUGUAGCUGCAGAGGAUAUGUUUCCGAAAAUGAGAAAGCUCAACUCCACGGUACUAUGCCUUUGACCAGAAGCGCAUAACAAACGCAUACUGCACAUUUGCGAGCGGUUCUCCUGCUACAAUAUAAUUCAGGUGCAUGGCGUACCUUGGAUCUCCCGGCGGGGAUGUCAUGCAUCAUCGGCGCGGCGACGAGGAAGACGAACUCGCAGCCGGCGAUGGCCGGCUCGAAGGUGGCGGCGUCGUACAUGUCCGCCUGGAACAGCACCAGCCGCUCCGCCGCGCCGGGGAGCGCCCGCAGCAGCGCGGUCUUCUUCUCAUCCGCUGCCGCCGCCGCCGCCGCCGUCCAUGGGUAAGUGUAACGAGAUCAGGUUAUUGAGUGCCUAGCUAACUCUGAACUCUGAAGGCAUGAAAGCAUGGCACGUACCGAGGUUUCGCAAGGUUGCAUGGACGAUGCAGCCUCUGUCGAGGAGCUUCUUCACGAGCCAGGAGCCGAUGUAGCCGGCAGCUCCAGUGACGCAGCAAACCCUGCUCAUCUCUGUCGAGUCUCGACGUAGAUCUGCUUCCGUCUUCGUUCCCCUCCUAUAUAUAUUACUGCUACCUCUAUGUAUAAGCGCGUCAUAAUCAAGUGGCCCAAGCGGCAUUUAUUGCCGGGAUAGAGGCAUUUAUUGCACCUCACAUGUUUUCAUUACAUUUUUUGCCCACGAUGGGUGUACGGUUGCUCGAGUUAAAGUUUAGUCCAUGUCACAUCGAAUGUUCGGAGGCUAAUUAGAAGAACUAAAUAUAAGUUAAUUAUAAAACUAAUUGCACAAAUGGAGGCUAAACGGCGAGACGAAUCUAUUAAACCUAAUUAAUCCAUUAUUAGUAAAUAUUUAUUGUAGCAUCACAUUAUCAAAUCAUGAACUAAUUAGGUUUAAUAGAUUCGUCUCGCUGUGUAAUGAAUUUUAUAAAUAGUCUAUAUUUAAUACUUAUAAUUAGUAUUUAAAUAUUCGAUAUGACAUAUGUUAAAAAUAAACGACGGAACCAAACAGGACCGAAAUUUCAGUCUUUUGCAAGGGCACACCAAUACACCAUUGCCAGCAUGCAUCACAAGUCACAGCCACAGCACUUACAAUAUCUUCCCGCACUCGACGCUGCCGUCUAGAACCUCUUCACUCUUCUACUCCAUACCCUCUUUCUUUUUUUCGAAAAUACGCGAGAGUUUUGCCUCAUCAUUUAUUACAUAGAAAGAAAGUUGACUACAGCACCUCUCGGGGUGAGAACACAACUCAGGACUUGUUUUGAUACAGAGCGAUUGGAGUGGAACAAGACCUCACAGUCCCUUCCAUUCUUCAUUAAUCCACCGCUGUCCGAACAAGACCUCACAGUCAUGCUACCUGGGCCAAAUUAAAACACCACAUGAAAAAGGAAGAGAAAAGCGAGAGAUCCAACAACUGGACACUGAAAAAGCUACUAAUUAAUUAAGGUGAAGCAGCUAGAAGUCCUUGUUGGAUUGAUUCUUGGACCAGGAAUAAUGCCGCCUCCAUCUCAAUGGGUGUACUUGAGCCCCAAAUCAACAAACUUGCUCGUUUCAGGCUGCACUCUCUCCUUCCAUCCUCAGGGCAUGUACAACGCUAACUAAUGAGCCGUCUGUAUAAUGCCAAGUAAUAAAUUGUUUUCGCUGAGUUGGAUGAGAGUGAGACAGGAGAGAGAACGAAGCCGUCGUCUCACGAGAGGACGACCGCGGCUCGUGCUCCCACGCUCGUCGACAGCUUCAGUUCCCCGUUGUACGAUCCGUCGACGCCCACUCAGAUCGAGUGUGAAGAUGAGCCCCCUGCUCGGUUCGCUCUAGCUGCGCUGCAUCGGCGCAAGGCCGGACGCGCCGAGCAGCGCUUGCCGUGCCCGCACUCCGCCUCGCCGGCCGCCGUUGUCAAUCCACGCUUGGCUGCAGCGCUUCCAGCCAGGCCAGAUGCCGUGGCGUGCCGAACAGGUCCGGACCAGACUUCAUCUUCUCUCCCCUUCGAUUGAGAGACGGAAGCCAUGAGAGAGACGAGAGAGAUUGAGAGGAGAGACGGGAAAAGAAACAGGAAGGGGACAAGAGUCGCCAGAUUGCCGCAUGCAAAGAGAUAAGGUUGGAAAGAUAAUUUCUAAUCUAUAAACCACGGCAAUCUGGCGGCGUGCCCAUGGCGUGCCGCCCCUUCUUCGGGGACCAGCAGAUGAAUGCGCGUGACGUGGCGCGCCGGUGGUGCUUUGGCAAGGUGCUGGACGAGGACGCGCCGAUGACGCGCGGCGGCGUGGCGGAGGCGGUGGCGUCGCUGCUCGCAGGGGAGGAACCGAGGAAGGGGUCCGGAUGAGGGCCAGGGCGCGGGACCUGCAGGCCAGGGUGGUCGAGGCGUUCGAGCCCGACGGUGGAUCCACGAGCAACUUCCAUAAGGUCAUGUUUAGCUACCUCCCAACUUCCAAUUUUAACACUAUGCAAAAGGAAGAUUCUCCAUCACAUCAAACUUGCGGUACAUGCAUGGAGUACUAAAUGUAGACGAAAUUAAAAACUAAUUGCACAGUUUUGUUGUACUUUGCGAGACGAAUCUUUUGAGCCUAAUUAGUCAAUAUUUGGACAAUAAUUCACAAAUACAAACGAAAUGCUACAGUGUGCUACAGUGUUGGCACAGUAAUUUGGCACCUUCCAAUUUGGCCAACUAAACGAGGUCUAAGUUUGUCGAGAUGGUCAGUGCUCAGUGUGAUGGAUCGAUGGCGUGCUACGUACUGCAGUGCACGCGAGGUAGUCAUGGGAGAGAGGCUCCGUGGAUCAGGCGUCUCAUUCUCGUGAUACCGUUGGUAAUAUCGAUUGGAACUUUAUAUAAGCUCGCCGUACACACGUGCCGCGGCAGGUUGAACACGACGUGAUCAGUGCCUGUGUCUGUGUCAAUAGCACACGCACGUAACUGAACGAGCCAUCCCGGGUGCGAGACAGCAAAAGCAGAGACGAUGCAAAAAGGUGUGCUUCAGCUUACAGCGAGCUUCCCCCUUUUAUUCAUAGGCUCAAACAAUACAUCGAUCACGCGAAGGAAAGGCCUGACCCGCGGAGCUUCUCCUCCAUGAUGGCGUCCAGACGCCGGGCCAUCUCUGGCGUCAUGUGGUUCGCCCAGUCCCCGGCCUCCCCUCUUCUGAAGUAGGAGUUGUUCGGGAAGAGGCCGUGGGAGACGGCCUUCUUGUUAACCUCCAAGCCCUUCAUCUUGUCGAAGCUGCAGAGCCUCACGACAUCCAUCGCGACCCCAGCGUCCUCCUCGGCCGGCGAGAACGGCUGCCCGACGAACAGCGCGAGCUUCCUCACGUUUUCGACGGGGUCGCGCAGGAUCUCCUCGUACCUCAGGAACAGCACCGUCUCCGGGCUCUCCUUGCUGGCGUUCCAGUACCCCAGGACAUGGUCCCAGAUGGGGCCAUUGAAAGACACGCCCUCGCAUGCGCUCUCGAACACGUCGGUGAAGGUGAGGUUGGGUUGAACCGUUCUGGUGAAGUGCCACAGAGAAACUAGCAUGUCCUUCGGGUCCCUGCCAAACAGUUGUUAGCCUGUUUGGACGUGAGGUAGUUUAUGACAUGUCACAUCGGAUGUUUAGAUACUGAUUAGAAGUAUUAAAUAUAAUCUAAUUAUAAAACCAAUUACACAGAUGGAGUCUAAUCUGAUUAGAAGUAUUAAAUAUAAUCUAAUUACAAAACCAAUUACACAGAUGGAGUCUAAUGUAGCACCACAUUGUCAAAUCAUGGACUAAUUAGGUUUAAUAGAUUCGUCUCGCGAAUUAGUAUAGGGUUCUGCAGUUAGUUUUAUAAUUAGCUCAUGUUUAGUCCUCCUAAUUAGCGUCCGAACAUCCGAUGUGACCCAUGUUCGAUGUGACCCACCCCUCCUAAAGUUUAGUACCUAACACAUGUACAUGUGAUUUUGCAUUUUUUGAGACUAUUGUCCUCAUUGUGUGAGAAACGCGCUGCAGUCUACCACUGAACGAACACGUGUAUGUACCCUAAAACUCAUUGCGAUUCGUCUCCACUAGAGAUCGAACCCGUGACCUCUUCUGGAAGCCGGUGCUACUGAGGCUCUACUGACCAUGGCAGGCCCAUUCAUCUUAUGCAUGGAGUUCUUACACAUAUUUUGGAAUUGAAGUUUGCUUUCAAGCAUAUUCUCCCUCCGUUUGAGAAUGUAGGUUGUUUUAUCUUUUCUAGAUAAAUAUAUAUUUUAAGAGUCAUGUUUAGAUACGUAGCACAAUCUAUAUAUCUAGAAAAGUUAAAACGACUUACGUUUUAAAAUGGGAGAGUAAUAUAUAAGGAGUCAGGAAGGUGAGAUAGCUGCGUUGUAACAACGCGUGUAUUAUUCAACUUCUGCAAGUGAUAGUGUCACAGUGUGUGUGAGUUCAAGUUGCAGUCCAUGUUCUUAUCUGCCACCGGAUGCAUUUGUCCGAUCACCGGAUGCAUUUGUCCGAUCCACGUACCAUCCACCCACCCUGGCGUCGGGUGCGCGCGCUGAGGUCGCUUGGUGGAUUGCCGCCGAAUCGAUCGGCCAUCGGGCUAAGGCUGGGGGAUCGCUGUGGAUUUCUCGGAUGAUCACGGCACAGCCGCACGCACGGACUACGCCAUGGCACGCGAUAGGCGAUGUGAGUCGUGUCACCGGUCGCCGGUCGGGUUGCUAGCGCGGCUCCGGCAAAAGCGAACGGCGAGCCUCCGAUGUAAAAAGGCAAACAGCAAAGCACGAAACAGGAUAGUCUACUGUCUUCCCAUAGAACACGUACAGCAAACGAACGAAAACAGCUUCCAUCAACACGAAUCCACUACAUGUUACAUCAAUAUAAUACUGUCGCUAGCUUUAUUCCCGUGUUAAAAUAUCUUGCAUUGCCCUAUUAUAUUGCUAGUGUUAGCUGACCAACAACCUAAAACGACGGAGCAGCUGACCAACCAACAUGGACGCCUGGCUCUUCAUCUCCGCUGCAUCUUCUAGUGUCACUUGUUCCAGCUCCACAGAGAAAGCUUUGGUACCAGCUCAUCCACUGGACUUUUCACCGACGCACACAACCCAGUCCAUGACCAUACGGCGAAACUUCGACAAGUUGAGCAGCCAUUACUGAAACCGCAUUGAGCGUAGCAGUUAUGUCCAUCAUCCAUGGGUGCAUUUCACUUUACGCAGCCCUAGCCUGAAGGCAGAUCUGUUCAGCUAUUCCUGCAUUAUUUUGGGGUUUGGACGUUGAGCGAUAAACCAGCGAAAGCAUACUCAUGAAUUGAACGCACAAAGAGUAACGCAACCGGCAGGAUAGCAAGGGUAACGUACGUAAGCACUGGUGUUACUGAAGAAGCCCGAUCUGUGUUUUCCGCUUUAUCUCUUUCAAGGAAUUCAAGAACAAGUUUUGCAGCUUCCCUUGGCUUUUCGACAUGAGGAAUAUGGCCACACUGCCGUACCUGCCUCAGAAUUGCAUCUGGGAGUUCCUGAUGCAAUCUCUGCAAAGUGACACAAGAAUAGCAUGAGCAUGUCUGGUAGGACACAGUAUUAGCUUUCCUCAGCGGUUUAAAUUGCGACAGCAGUUUAAAUUGGUGUUGUUUGUAACAUUUAAACUUACAUAUGCUAGUUUGCUGCUUAUUAUCCCGUCAUCCUCUCCCCACAUGAUCAGGCAUUUAUGCUUCACCUGUAAAGAAAAUAGGAAUUUCUUUAGUAAUUAGUUCUGCUCAACCCAUUCCAUUUCUUUUCAUGCGUGGCUUUGAUUCAGAAAGGUCAUAGUAUUUGCCUCAUCGUUCGUUGUUCCAGUGAGAAUACUAGUGUGUUACUUAUCGUUCCUCUUGGCAAAUAGAGUAUGACGAAACAACAGUGCAACAACCUUUCAGCAUUUUUACUAACAAGAUGCAAUAUUCAAGGUGUUGCAUUUUUGUCACCAUUUGGUUUGGUUAGUACUGCAGGAUGUGGUCAAAAGCCUUCAUGCAGAGAGGACCAAAAAUGUAUCAGGGACAAAGGAAGCAACCCUAAGCGUUAACAAGUAUCAAAGAAACCAUGGACGCCAUCCUUCCUGUUGCUAUGGUAUUAGUAUUGGUGUUACUGAUAUCUCAGUAGCUAACUAUCAACAUGCAGGGAAAUUUUCUUUUAGCAUCUGGGCGUUGUCAUAUAUAGCAGCAGUAAUUCUCAUCUCAAGAGCAUUUUGUUCUGUUGCAGCAUGACGCAGUAUCAUCAAUGCAAAGAGGACAAUGAAUGAACUAGAAAAAUCAGAAACUUUAACAUCCUUGAACAGUGAAAAAAAUCAUAAGCAGGGUGUUUAAAGAAAAGAACCUGUUUUAUUUGCUUUAUGACAUUAUAACCCCCUCUAAUCAUAAAAUCUACUGUAGAAUCCUCCCACCAAGGAAGUAGGCAAUGUAGACGGCCAAUCUGAAAUUGUAGGGGGGGACUGUCAAAACACAUGACUUCAGAUACCCAAGGUACAGAGGAACAAGAAAAUGGAAUGGCUUGAGUAGCCAGUUUGCAAAGUUUAUUGAAUUAAUCAUGGCGAUACUUUUGCACUGUUGAAAAUAGGAUUUCAGACAUGAGAAAAGGAAAGUUGGAGUGGCAGAUAAAUAUUUUGUUUCAAUACAGAAUUAUAUAUGCUCGUGAAAGAAUACAGAAUUAUAUAUUGUUGCAUGAAUCACAAAAGUUUGGAUUAUUAUGUUAGCCCCCAUCAACAGAAACACAAAUACUGUAUAAGUACUUAUACAAAGACACUGAUUAUCUUGCAGCAUCAGAGAUAACAACUUUAUAGUAAGGUACAUUGUAUAAUUUCAGAAGGUAGAGGAAACAACUUGAACAAGAUGGCCGUUGAAGGAAAAAAAAACAACAAGAACAUGAUUUCCUUUUCGUUUUGGUUUCCUUUUAAAGUUUAAAGCAAUCACUGGAGGCUUACUUGCACCCAAUCAAAGAAUUCGUUUGGAGUAUUGUUAAAUGCCAAGCGUGUUGCUAAAAAUCGCAGUGGAAGACUCUUCAGUAUAAACACCUGGGGCAACA